rnacentral:lncRNA from 1 species
UUUUUUUUGGUGGCUUCUUUGGCCUUUUUUUUAUUUGGGCUUCUUUGGCCUCUUUUAUUUUUUUUGUAAAGUCCGUAGUCUCAUCCCGACUUAUGGGGGAAUCAUAGUCUCCAUCAUCCUUUCCUUACUGGGGCAAUGCUCUAAUAAUGAUGAUCAUCACACUUUUAUUUACUUACAACUCAAUAUUACAACUCGAUACUAGAACAAAGAUAUGACUCUAUAUGAAUGCCUCCGGCGGUGUACGGGAUGUGCAAUGAUCUAGCGUAGCAAUGACAUCAAAAAAACGGGCAAGCCAUGAAAACAUCAUGCUAGCUAUCUUACGAUCAUGCAAAGCAAUAUGACAAUGAAUGCUCAAGUCAGGUAUAUGAUGAUGAUGGAAGUUGCAUGGCAAUAUAUCUCGGAAUGGCUAUGGAAAUGCCAUGAUAGGUAGGUAUGGUGGCUGUUUUGAGGAAGGUAUAUGGUGGGUUUAUGGUACCGAUGAAAGUUGCGCGGUACUAGAGAGGCUAGCAAUGGUGGAAGGGUGAGAGUGCGUAUAAUCCAUGGACUCAACAUUAGUCAUAAAGAACUCACAUACUUAUUGCAAAAAUCUAUUAGUCAUCGAAACAAAGUACUACGUGCAUGCUCCUAGGGGGAUAGAUUGGUAGGAAAAGACCAUCGCUCGUCCCCGACCGCCACUCAUAAGGAAGACAAUCAAUAAACACCUCAUGCCCCGACUUCGUUACAUAAUGGUUCACCAUACGUGCAAGCUACGGGACUUGCAAACCUCAACACAAGUAUUUCUCAAUUUCACAAUUACUUGACUAGCAUGACUCUAAUAUCACCAUCUUUAUAUCGCAAAACUAUUGCAAGGAAUCAAACAUAUCAUAUUCGGCGAUCUACAAGUUUAUGUAGGAUUUUAUGACUAACCAUGUGAAUGACCAGUUCCUGUCAUCUCUCUAUAUAGAUAUAAGUGAAGCAUGAGAGUUUAAUUCUUUAUACAAAAGAUAUGCCCGUGCUCUAACAAAUAUAAGUGAAGCAAAAGAGCAUUCUACAAAUGGCGGUUGUCUAUGUAAAGAGAAACAGGCAAUCCAAACUUCAAAUGAUAUAAGUGAAGCACAUGAAGCAUUCUAUAAAGCCAUACUCAAAAGAUAUAAGUGAAGUGCAAAGAGUAUUCUAUAAAUCAACCAAGGACUAUCUCAUACCAGCAUGGUGCAUAAAAAGAAAAAUAAAAACCUAAAUGCAAAAGACGCUCUAAGACUUGCACAUAUCGCAUGAACGAAACAAAUCCGAAAACAUACCGAUAUUUGUUGAAGAAAGAGGGGAUGCCUCCCCAGCAUCCCCAAGCUUAGACGCUUGAGUCUCCUUGAAUAUUUACUUGGGGUGCCUCGGGCAUCCCCAAGCUUAAGCUCUUGCCUCUCUUCCUUCUUCUCACAUCGAAACCUUCUCAAUCAUCGAACACUUCAUCCACACAAAACUUCAACAGAAAACUCGGUAAGAUCCGUUAGUAUAAUAAAGCAAAUAAAUACUCUAAGUACUUGUUGCAAACCAAUUCAUAUUUUGUUUUUGCACUGUGUCUACUGCAAUAUAACUUUUUCAUGGCUUAAUCCACUGAUAUAAAUUGAUAGUUUCAUCAAAACAAGCAAACUAUGCAUCAAAAACAGAAUCUGUCUAAAACAGAACAGUCUGUAAUAAUCUUAACAUUCACCAUACUUAUGAUACUUGAAAAUUCUACCAAAAUUAGGAAAAAUAAAAAAAAUUGUAUAGGAAGACAGUGCAAAAAGAAUCAGAACCAUUCGGCGUUCCAGCUAAAAAUGUAAAAUCACGCACUACAGCCAAAGUUUCUGUCCUGCACCGUACAAACCAUCAAGCAAAUGUAAACAUCCUAAAGGCAAACCUUGGCACAUUAUUUUUAUAAUACAAUGGAAUUAUACAAGGGGAUAAUUAUUUUUAUUGAAAAAUUUCUGUAAUCAAGAUUCACAAAGUUGCCGUGAUCAUGAACAAAGUUCAAGGAGCUCUCCCACUUCAACAAUGUUUGUCUUUCUCACUUUCACUUUCCUUUUUGAAAAAGUUUUGGGUUCCCCUCUUUAUUUUUGUUUUUUUAAACUAUAUGAAAGCACUCAACAGAAAUAAAUGACUCUCUAAAACUUCCGGUUUGUCUCCCUGGCAGCGCUUUCUUUAAAUCCAUUAAGCUAGGCAUAUAGUGCUCAAGUAAUGAAUCCUCCCGGAUCCCAAGGUAUAUCAAAGCCAAUUUUAAUUAGCAAUGAUUUGUAAUUUAGUAGUGAGCACAAAGUAACAUAUAUCAUGUAAUGAUGAAGUCUAACUCUCUUCCUAUGCAUCGGCAUGUCAUAAAAGAACAAUUCAUGCACACAUAGCAAAGGCCAAUGCAUAGUAUAAACAGUUUCUUGCAAUUUUAUCGUAUUGGAAACAUAGAGAGGUGGAGAUAUGGUUCCUCUCUCAUAAUAAUUGCAAGUAGGAGCAGCAAGCACAUGCAUAUUAUAUUCAUCAAAAUCAUCAUGUGUAGUAGUAAAAGGCAACCCAUCAAUAUAAUCCUUAAUAAGUGCAAACUUCUCUGGUAUAGUGUAGUCGGGAGAAUUCAAAAAGAUAAUAGGACUAUCAUGUGUGGGUGCAAUAGCAACAAUUCCAUGUUUAACAUAAGGAACUAUAGCAAGUUCAUCUCCAUAAGCAUAAUUCAUAUUGGCAUCUUGGCCACAAGCAUCAUCAAAAAGGGAUAUUUCAGGAGAAUCAAAGGGAUCAUAACAAUCAUCAUAGCAAUCAUCCUUCGGUAAGCACGAAGGGAAAUUAAACAAUGUAUGAGUUGAAGAGUUACUCUCAUUAGAAGGUGGGCACGGGUAGCUGAUCCGCUCUUCCUCCUUUUGUUCUUCGCUCUCUUCAUCAUCUUUUUCAUCCAAUGAGCUCACAGUUUCAUCAAUUUCUUCUUUCGUAGACUCCUGCAAAAUAUUAGUCUCUUCUUGAACAGCGGAGUAGUGCUCAAUAUAUGGUUAAACAUAGGCAUUAGAAGCAUAAUUAUCAUAGCAAUAUUUAAAUAUGGCAAAAUUUUCAGAUUUGUGAAGAGUAGCAUCAUACUUUUCAAUCAAAGAAGCAAUUUCAAAAGCACCCUUAAAAGCAACAAAUUCUUCAAUCUGUUGAACAUCAUAGUAAUUAUAAACACCCUUAGCAUAUGAAGAUAUGAUUCCAUUAUCAAUAAACUCACAUUGGUAGGGAAGGUGUUUCUUAGGGUUUUCAGAACAACAAGUAAAAUCAUAUAUUUCACAUAAAUUCCAAGCAAAACAUUGCAAACGUUGAAUUUGACCCCAUAAUAGUUUCCCUUUUUCAGAUAUACGGUGUCGCACAUAAGGAGCAUGCUCAUCUAAAGAUUUGCCCUCAACUAAGCUAGUUGGGGUUUCGGCACGAGCACAAAGGGAUCGAAGAUGAUCCAAGUAAUAAGCUUCAACAGGGUGAUAGAUUUUGAUUGGUUCUUCAACCAUUGGUUCAGUAGGUACAACUAAUUUUUUUGGUAUUUUGCGUUUGCUACCCAUAACUAAAGAUACAAAACAACUAAGAACAGCAAAUAAAAAUUACUUAGUGAUAAAGCAAACAAGCACACACGAGAAUAUUCACCCCACGCUAUUGCUCCCCAGCAACGGCGCCAGAAAAAGGUCUUGAUAAUCCACAAGUAUAGUGGAUCAAUUGUAGCCUCUUUCGAUAAGUAAGAGUGUCGAACCCAACGAGGAGCUAAAGGUAGAACAAAUAUUCCCUCAAGUUCUAUCGACCACCGAUACAACUCUACGCAUGCUUGACGUUCUCUUUACCCAGAACAAGUAUGAAACUAGAAGUACUUUGUAGGUGUUGUUGGAUAGGUAUGCAAGAUAAUAAAGAGCAAGUAAAUAAAAAGUAGGGGCUGUUUAGACACAACUAAAUUAGUUUUAGUAGAGAGCUUUUGUCAACAAGAAGGUUAUUUGUCCCUAGGCAAUCGAUAACUAGACCGGUAAUCAUUAUUGCAAUUUUAUUUGAGGGAGAGGCAUAAGCUAACAUACUUUCUCUACUUGGAUCAUAUGCACUUAUGAUUGGAACUCUAGCAAGCAUCCAAAACUACUAAAGAUUCAUUAAGGUAAACCCAACCAUAGCAUUAAAGCAUCAAGUCCCCUUUAUCCCAUACUCAAACAACCUACUUACUCGGGUCUGUGCUUCUGUCACUCACGCCACCCACCAUAAGAAAAUCAUAAACAUAUUGCAAACCCUACAUCGGGAAUCCCUCACACUUGCGCGACACGGAGAGCACCAUAGGACAGCACCAAUAAUAAAACAUACAACUCAAACCAAUCACGAUCAUCAAAUAGCCAUUAGGACAAAACAGAUCUACUCAAACAUCAUAGGAUAGCCAUACAUCAUUGGGAAAUAAUAUAUAGCGUUGAGCACCAUGUUUAAAUAGAGAUUACAGCGGGUAAGAGAGAGGUUACACCGCUGCAUAGAGGGGGGAAGAGUUGGUGAUGAUGGCGGUGAAGUUGUUGGUGAAGAUCGCGGUGAUGAUGAUGGCCCCCGGUGGCACUCCGGUGCCACCGGAAGCGAGGGGGAGAGAGCCCCCCUCCUUCUUCUUCUUCCUUGACCUCAUCCCUAGAUGGGAGAAGGGUUUCCCCUCUGUUCCAUGGCCUCCAUGGCGUGGGAGGGGCGAGAGCCCCUCCGAGAUUGGAUCUGUCUCUCUGUCUCUCUCUGUUUCUGCGUUCUGUUCUGGCUCUGUUUCACCGUUUUGUAUAUAUAUGGAGAUCCGUAACUCCGAUUGGCCUGAAACCUUCGCCGUGAUUUUUUUCCGAAUAUUAGCUUUCUUGCGGCAAAAGAAGAGCAUCAACCGCCUUACGGUGGGCUCACGAGGGUAGGGGGCGCGCCCUAGGGGCCCCCCUGUCUCGUGACCACCUCGGGCACAGGUUCGCGUUGAUUUUCCUUCCGAAUUUUCCAUAUUUUCCAAAAAUAAGCUCCAUCUGUUUUUAUCCCGUUUGGACUCUAUUUGAUAUGGAUAUUCUGCAAAACCAAAAACAUGCAACAGACAGGAACUGUCACUGGGCACUGGAUCAAUAUGUUAGUCCCAAAAAUAGUAUAAAAAGUUGCCAAAAAGUAUAUCAAAGUUGAAUAAUAUUGGCAUGGAACAAUCAAAAAUUAUAGAUACGACAGAGACGUAUCAAGUAUCCCUUGAGCCCAUCGAAGUUGCCCUUCAAGAACUCAAAUCCACCAUGCGCUGGCCCCACGGUGGGCGCCAACUGUCGUGGAAUUGUCACGGCAGAUGUCCUAGAGCAAGGACUUAGUCGUAGGGCCAUCGCACUAGGAAGCUUAAAGAGGUUAAUCGGGACAAAGGACACGAGAGAGUUUUAUACUAGUUCGGCCCCUUACGAUGAAGGUAAAAGCCUACGUCUAGUUGGGAUUGGUAUUGUUGGGUUUUCGAUCACCAAGAGGCUCAACUCGCCGGCUUGGUUCUUGACUUGUUGUUUCUUGCCCUAAGCCGCCACCGGGUCAUCCCCUUAUAUACAUGGGUUGACGUCUGGUGGCCUACAGAGUCCCGGACAGCUCAUAAUCGUGUCUGGCUCGGUGACUUCCUUUACAUGCCUUUCGUUACAAGUCUUUCCUUACAUACGAGCGGUUCACAAUAUCGGGCCUUAAACUGCCUUCAGGCCUUUAGGCCUUCUAUAGGACUUAAUAAACUAUAAUCUUGAAUGUUUGCUGGGCUUCUUGUGUAACCCGCCAUUGGGGCUGACCCGGCCCAUCCUAGGCGGGUCAUAACUGAUAGUAAUAUCCCCAACAUAUCUUGUUCUAAGUAUCGAGUUGUAAUUCUUGAGUUGUAAGUAAAUAGAAGUGUGAUGAUCAUCAUUAUUAGAGCAUUGUCCCAGUGAGGAAAGGAUGAUGGAGACUAUGAUUCCCCCACAAGUCGGGAUGAGAUUUCGGACGAAAAAAAGAGGCCAAAGAAGCCCAAAUAAAAAAAAGAGAAAAAAGAUGCCAUAAAAAAGAGAGAAAGGCCGAAAUGAAAAAAAAUAAAAAAAUGAGAGAAAAAGAGAGAAGUGACAAUGCUACUAUCCUUUUACCACACUUGUGCUUCAAAGUAGCACCAUGAUCUUCUUGAUAGAGAGUCUCCUAUGUUCUCACUUUCAUAUACUAGUGGGAAUUUUACAUUAUAGAACUUGGCUUGUAUAUUCCAAUGAUGGGCUUCCUCAAAAUGCCUUAGGUCUUCGUGAGCAAGCAAGUUGGAUGCACACCCACUAGUUUCUUUUGUUGAGCUUUCAUACACUUAUAGCUCUAGUGCAUCCGCUGCAUGGCAAUCCCUACUCACUCACAUUGAUAUCUAUUGAUGGGCAUCUCCAUAGCCCGUUGAUACGCCUAGUUGAUGUGAGACUAUCUUCUCCUUUUUGUCUUCUCCACAACCACCAUUCUAUUCCACCUAUAGUGCUAUGUCCAUGGCUCACGCUCAUGUAUUGCGUGAAGAUUGAAAAAGUUUGAGAACAUCAAAAGUAUGAAACAAUUGCUUGGCUUGUCAUCGGAGUUGUGCAUGAUUUAAAUACUUUGUGUGGUGAAGAUAGAGCAUAGCAAGACUAUAUGAUUUUGUAGGGAUAGCUUUCUUUGGCCAUGUUAUUUUGAGAAGACAUGAUUACUUGGUUAGUAUGCUUGAAGUAUUAUUAUUUUUAUGUCAAUAUUAAACUUUUGUCUUGAAUCUGAUGGAUCUGAAUAUUCUUGCCACAAUAAAGAUAACUACAUGGAUAAAUAUGUUAGGUAGCAUUCCACAUCAAAAAUUCUGUUUUUAUCAUUUACCUACUCGAGGACGAGCAUGAAUUAAGCUUGGGGGUGCUGAUACGUCUCCAACGUAUCUAUAAUUUUUGAUUGUUCCAUGCUAUUAUAUUAUCCAUCUUGGACAUUAUUGGGCUUUAUUAUACACUUUUAUAUUACUUUUUGGACUAACCUAUUGACCCAGAGCCUAGUGCCAGUUCCUGUUUUUCCCUUGUUUUAGUGUUUCGAAGAAAAGGAAUAUCAAACAGAGUCGAAACGGAAAGAAACCUUCUGGAGAAGUUAUUUUUUGGAAGGAAAGCUACCCGAUAGACUUGGAGUGCACGUCAGAAAAGAAACGAGGGAGCCACGAGGUAGGGGGGAGCGCCCAACCCCUAGGGCGCGCCCUCCCCCCUCGUGGGCCCCUCGUGGCUCCCCUAACGUAUUUCUUCCGCCUAUAUAUAUCCAUAUACCCUAAAACGAUCGGGGAGCACAAUAGAUCGGGAGUUCCGCCGCCAGAAGCCUCCGUAGCCACCAAAAACCAAUCUAGACCCGUUCCGGCACCCUGCCGGAGAGGGCAAUCCCUCUCCGAUGGCCAUCUUCAUCAUCCCGGCGAUCUCCAUGACGAGGAGGGAGUAGUUCUCCCUCAGGCUGAGGGUAUAUACCAGUAGCUAUGUGUUUGAUCUCUCUCUCUCUCUCUCUUGUGUUCUUGAGGUGAUACGAUCUUGAUGUAUCGCGAGCUUUGCUAUUAUAGUUGGAUCUUAUGUUUCUUCUACCCCUCUACUCUCUUGUAAUGGAUUGAGUUUUCCCUUUGAAGUUAUCUUAUCGGAUUGAGUCUUUAAAGAUUUGAGAACACUUAAUGUAUGUUUUGGUGACCAACUUGCGGGUUCCGCCCAUGAACUUAUGCAUAGGGGUUGGCACAUGUUUUUGGCGUGAUUCUCCGAUAGAAACUUUUGGACACUCUUUGAGGUCCUAUGUGUUGGUUGAAUAGAUGAAUUUGAGAUUGUGUGAUGCAUAUCGUAUAAUCGUACCCACAGAUACUUGAGGUGGCAUUGGAGUAUCUAGGUGACAUUAGGCUUUUGGUUGAUUUGUGCCUUAAGGUGUUAUUCUAGUACGAACUCUAGGGCUGUUUGUGACACUUAAAGGAAUUGCCCAACGGAUUGAUUGGAAAAAAUAACUUUGAGGUGGUUUCAUACCCUACCAUAAUCUCUUCGUUUGUUCUCCCCUAUUAGUGACUUUGGAGUGACUCUUUGUUGCAUGUUGAGGGAUGAUACGUCUCCAACGUAUCUAUAAUUUUUGAUUGCUCCAUGCUAUAUUAUCUACUGCUUUGGACUAUAUUGGGCUUUAUUUUCCACUUUUAUAUUAUUUUUGGGACUAACCUAUUAACCGGAGGCCCAGCCCAGAAUUGCUGUUUUUUUGCCUAUUUCAGUAUUUCGAAGAAACGGAAUAUCAAACGGAGUCCAAACGGAAUAAAAUCUUCGGGAACGUGAUUUUCUCACCGAACAUGAUCCAGGAGACUUGGACCCUGCUCCAAGGAACAAAAGAGGCGGUCACGAGGGGGGCGUGCCCCCUGCCUCAUGGGCCCCUCGUUGCUCCUACGGCGUACAUCUUCCUCCUAUAUAUACACACGUACCCCCAAACGAUCAGAACAGGGGCCAAAAACCUAAUUCCACCGCCGCAACUUUCUGUAUCCACGAGAUCCCAUCUUGGGGCCUAUUCCGGAGCUCCGCCGGAAGAGGGCCGUCAUCAUGGAGGGCUUCUACAUCAUCCUAGCCCCUCCGAUGAAGUGUGAGUAGUUUACCUCAGACCUUCGAGUCCAUAGUUAGUAGCUAGAUGGCUUCUUCUCUCCCUUUGAAUCUCAAUACAAAGUUCUCCCCCUCUCUUGUGGAUAUCUAUUUGAUGUAAUCUUCUUUUUGCGGUGUGUUUGUUGAGACCGAUGAAUUGUGGGUUUAUGAUCAAGUCUAUCUAUGAAUAAUAUUUGAAUCUUCUCUGAAUUCUUUUAUGUAUGAUUGGUUAUCUUUGCAAGUCUCUUCGAAUUAUCCGUUUGGUUUGGCCAGCUAGAUUGGUUUUUCUUGCCAUGGGAUAAGUGCUUAGCUUUGGGUUCGAUCUUGCGGUGUCCUUACCCAGUGACAGAAGGGGCAACAAGGCAUGUACUGUAUCGUUGCCAUCGAGGAUAACAAGAUGGGGUUUAUUUCAUAUUGCAUGAAUUUAUCUCUCUACAUCAUGUCAUCUUGCUUAAAGCGUUACUUUGUUUUUAACUUAAUACUCUAGAUGCAUGCUGGAUAGCGGUCGAUGAGUGGAGUAAUAGUAGUAGAUGCAGAAUCGUUUCGAUCUACUUGUCACGGACGUGAUGCCUAUAUACAUGAUCAUGCCUAGAUAUUCUCAUAACUAUGCUCAAUUCUGUCAAUUGCUCAACAGUAAUUUGUUCACCCACCAUAGAAUACUUAUGCUCUUGAGAGAAGCCACUAGUGAAACCUAUGGCCCUCGGGUCUAUUCUCAUCAUAUCAAUCUCCAUCACUUUAAUCUUGCUUUGUUUUUACUUUGCCUUUACCUUUUACUUUGCAUCUUUAUACCAAAAAUACCAAAAAUAUUAUAUCUAUCAGAUCUCACUCUUGUAAGUGACCAUGAAGGGCUUGACAACCCCUAAUCGCGUUGGUUGCGAGUAGCUAUCGCUUUGUGCAGGUACGAGGGACUUGAGCGUGGGCUCCUACUGGAUUGAUACCUUGGUUCUCAAAAACUGAGGGAAAUACUUAUGCUACUCUGCUGCAUCAUCCCUUCCUCUUCGGGGAAAACCAACGCAAGCUCAAGACAUAGCAAGAAGGAUUUCUGGCGCCGUUGCUGGGGAGUCUACGCAAAAAGUCAACAUACCAAGUACCCAUCACAAUCCCUAUCUCUCGCAUUACAUUAUUUGCCAUUUGCCUCUCGUUUUCCUCUCCCCCCAAUUCACCCUUGCCGUUUUAUUCGCCCUCUCUCUCUCCCUACCCUCCCUCUCUAUUUGCCUCUUUUUGCCCGUUUGCUUUUGUUUGCUUGUGUGCUAGUUUGCUUGCUUGUCGUGAUGGCUCAAGAUACUACUAAAUUGUGUGACUUCACCAAUACCAACAAUAAUGAUUUCCUUAGCACUCCGAUUGCUCCUCUUACCGAUGCUGAAUCUUGUGAAAUUAAUACUGGUUUGUUGAAUCUUGUUAUGAAAGAUCAAUUCGCCGGCUUUCCUAGUGAAGAUGCCGCUACUCAUCUCAAUAGCUUCAUUGAUUUAUGUGAUAUGCAAAAGAAAAAAGAUGUCAAUAAUGAUGUCGUUAAAUUGAAGCUAUUUCCUUUUUCUCUUAGAGAUCGUGCUAAAGCUUGGUUUUCAUCUUUGCCUAAGAAUAGUAUUGAUUCAUGGAACAAGUGCAAAGAUGCUUUUAUCUCUAAGUAUUUUCCUCCCGCUAAGAUCAUAUCUCUUAGAAACGACAUUAUGAACUUUAAACAACUUGAUCAUGAACAUGUUGCACAAGCUUGGGAGAGAAUGAAAUUAAUGAUACGUAAUUGCCCUACUCAUGGUUUGAAUUUGUGGAUGAUUAUACAAAAAAAUUUAUGCCGGAUUGAAUUUUGCUUCUAGAAAUCUUUUAGAUUCGGCCGCGGGAGGCACAAAUCACUUUAGGAGAUGCUACUAAACUCCUAGAUAAUAUUAUGGUUAAUUAUUCUCAAUGGCAUACUGAAAGAUCUUCUAAUGAAAAAGUGCAUGCGAUAGAAGAAAUUAAUGUGUUGAGUGGAAAGAUGGAUGAACUUAUGAAAUUAUUUGCUACUAAGAGUGUUUCUUCUAAUCCUAAUGAUAUGCCUUUGUCUACUUUGAUUGAGAACAACAAUGAAUCUAUGGAUGUGAAUUUUGUUGGUAGGAAUAAUUUUGGUAACAACGCUUAUAGAAGAAAUUUUAAUCCUAGGCCAUAUCCUAGUAAUCCUUCUAAUAUUUAUGGUAAUUCCUACAAAAACUCUUAUGGAAAUUAUAAUAAGAUGCCCUCUGAAUUUGAGAAUAGUGUUAAAGAGUUUAUGAAUUCACAAAAGAAUUUCAAUGCUUUGCUUGAGGAGAAAUUGCUUAAAGUUGAUGAUUUGGCUAGAAACGUUGAUAGAAUUUCUCUUGAGGUUGAUUCUUUAAAGCUUAGAUCUAUUCCUCCUAAGCAUGAUAUCAAUGAGUCUCUCAAAGCCUUGAGAAUUUCCAUUGAUGAGUGCAAGGAAAGAACCGCUAGGAUGCGUGCUUCCAAAGAUGCCUUUGUUAAAGCGUUUUCUUCCAAUACCUAUGAAAAUCAAGAUGAAGAUCUAAAAGUUAUUAAUGUGUCCCCUAUUAAAUCUUUAUUUUGCAAUAUGAAUCUUGAUGAAACUGAAUAUGAUCUUCCUUUACCUAGAAGGCGUUCUAAAAAUUCGGAGUAUUUAGAUCUUAAUGAUGAAAUUGAUGAAAGUGGGAUUGAAAGAAAUAAAAAUCUAGAUGUUGCUAAACCCACUAUAUUGGAUUUCAAGGUAUUUAAUUAUGAAAGUUUCUCUUUGAUUGAUUGUAUUUCCUUGUUGCAAUCCAUGCUAAAUUCUCCACAUGCUUAUAGUCAAAAUAAAGCCUUCACCGAACAUAUUGUUGAUGCCUUGAUGCAAUCUUAUGAAGAAAAACUUGAGUUGAAAGUUUCUAUCCCUAGAAAACUCUAUGAUGAGUGGGAACCAACUAUUAAAAUUAAAAUUAAAGAUCAUGAGUUUUAUGCUUUGUGUGAUUUGGGAGCUAGUGUCUCUACUAUUCCCAAGACUUUGUGUGAUUUACUAGAUUUCCAUAAUUUUGAUGAUUGCUCUCUAAACUUGCAUCUUGCGGAUUCCACUAUUAAGACACCUAUGGGAAGGAUUAAUGAUGUUCUUAUUGUUGCAAAUAGGAAUUAUGUGCCCGUAGAUUUCAUUGUUCUUGAUAUAGAUUGCAAUCCUUCUUGCCCUAUUAUUCUUGGUAGACCUUUCCUUAGAACAGUUGGUGCGAUUAUUGAUAUGAAGGAAGGGAAUAUUAGAUUUCAAUUUCCAUUAAAAAAGGGCAUGGAACACUUUCCAAGAAAUAAAAUAAAAUUACCAUAUGAAACUAUCAUGAGAGCCACUUAUGGAUUGCCUACCAAAGAUGGCAAUACCUAGAUCUAUCCUCGCUUUUAUGCCUAGCUAGGGGCGUUAAACGAUAGCGCUUGUUGGGAGGCAACCCAAUUUUAUUUUUAUUCCUUGCCUUUUGCUCCUGUUUAGUAAUAAAAAAAUUAUUUAGCCUCUGUUUUUUUGUGUUUUUUGUGUUUAAUUAGUGUUUGUGCCAAGUAGAACCGUUGGGAAGACUUGGUGAAAGUCUUGUUGAACUUGCUGUAAAAAACAGAAACUUUAGCGCUCACGAGAACUGCUGUCAUUUUUAUUUGAAGAGUGAUAUUUAGUUAAUUCUUUUUGAAUAUGAUUAGUAGAUAAAUUCCUCACGUCCAUCAGUUUAUUUUUGAAUUUUUUGCGUUCCAGAUAUUGUGCUAGCUACAUAUUACUACAGACUGUUCUGUUUUUGACAGAUUCUGUUUUUCGUGUGUUGUUUGCUUAUUUUGAUGAAUCUAUGGCUUGUAAAAUAGUUUAUAAUCCAUAGAGAAGUUGGAAUACAGUAGGUUUAACACCAAUAUAAAUAAAUAAUGAGUUAAUUACAGUACCUUGAAGUGGUCUUUUUUUCUUUCGCUAACGGAGCUCACGAGUUUUCUAUUUUGAGUUUUGUGUUGUGAAGUUUUCAAGUUUUGGGUGAAUUCUUUUGAUGGAUCAUGGAACAAGGAGUGGCAAGAGCCUAAGCUUAGGGAUUCCCAAGGCACCCCCAAGAUAAUCCAAGGACACCAAAAAGUCAAAGCUUGGGGAUGCCCCGGAAGGCAUCCCCUCUUUCGUCCACUUCCAUCAGUAAUUUACUUGGAGCUAUAUUUUUAUUCACCAACAUGAUAUGUGUUUUGCUUGGAGCGUCUUGUAUUAUUUGUGUCUUUGUGUCUUAGUAUACCACAAUCAUCCUUGCUGUACACACCUUUUGAGAGAGCCAUACAUGAAUUAAAAUUUGAUAGAAUACUCUAUGUGCUUCACUUAUAUCUUUUGAGCUAAGUAAUUUUGCUCUAUGUGCUUCACUUAUAUCUUUUGAGCGUUAUAAUUUUGCCCUAUGUGCUUCACUUAUAUCUUUUGAGCAUUAUAAUUUUGCUCUAUGUGCUUCACUCAGAUCUUUUAGAGCACGGUGGUGGAUUCGUUUUAAAGAAACUAUUGAUCUCUCAUGCUUCACUUAAAUUAUUUUGAGAGUCUCUUAAUAGCAUGGUAAUUUGCUUAAUAAUAAUAUGCAUGGUAUUCAAGAUUUGUGAAACUUUCUUUUGAGUGUGUUGAAUACUAAGAAAAGAUUGAAGCAUGAUAAUUGUUUUGAGAUAUGGAGGUGAUAAUAUUAAAGUCAUGCUAGUUGAGUAGUUGUGAAUUUAAAGAAUACUUGUGUUAAGGUUUGUGAUUACCGUAGCAUGCACGUAUGGUGAACCGUUAUGUAACGAAGUCGGAGUAUGAUUUAUUUAUUGAUUGUCUUCCUUAUGAGUGGCGGUCGGGGACGAGCGAUGGUCUUUUCCUACCAAUCUAUCCCCCUAGGAGCAUGCGCGUAAUACUUUGCUUUGAUAACUUCUAGAUUUUUGUAAUAAGUAUAUGAGUUCUUUAUGACUAAUGUUGACUCCAUGGAUUAUACGCACUCUCACCCUUCCACCUUUGCUAGCCUCUCUAAUACCAUGCACCUUUCACCGGUAUCAUACACCUACCAUAUACCUUCCUCAAAACAGCCACCAUACCUACCUAUUAUGGCAUUUCCAUAGCCAUUCCGAGAUAUAUUGCCAUGCAACUUUCCACCAUCUAGUUCAUCAUGACACAUUCAUCAUUGUCAUAUUGGUUAGCAUGAUCAUGUAGUUGACAUAAGUAUUUGUGGCAAAGCCACCAUUCAUAAUUUAUUCAUACUUGUCACUCUUGAUUCAUUGCAUAUCCCGGUACACCGCCGAAGGCAUCCAUAUAAAGUCAUACUUUGUUUUAGAAUCGAGUUGUAAUCAUUGAGUUGUAAAUAAAUAAAAGUGUGAUGAUCAUCAUUCGAUAGAGCAUUGUCCCAAUAAAAAAGAGAAAGGCCAAAGAAAAGAAAAAGAAGGCCCAAAAAAAGAAAAUAAAUAAAAAGGGGCAAUGCUACUAUCUUUUUUCCACACUUGUGCUUCAAAGUAGCACCAUGAUAUAGCAAGUCUCAUAUAUUGUGCUUCAAAGUAGCACCAUGUCCUUCAUAUAGAGAGUCUCAUAUGUUGUCACUUUCAUAUACUAGUGGGAAUUUUACAUUAUAGAACUUGGCUUGUAUAUUCCAAUAAUGGGCUUCCUCAAAUUGCCCUAGGUCUUCAUGAGCAAGCAAGUUGGAUGCACACCCACUAGUUUCUUUUGUUGAGCUUUCAUACACUUAUAGCUCUAGUGCAUCUGUUGCAUGGCAAUCCCUACUCAGUCACAUUGAUAUCUAUUGAUGGGCAUCUCCAUAGCCCGUUGAUACGCCUAGUUGAUGUGAGACUAUCUUCCCCUCCUUUUUGUCUUCUCCACAACCACCAUUAUAUUCCACCUAUAGUGCUAUAUCCAUGGCUCACGCUCAUGUAUUGCGUGAAGAUUGAAAAUGUUUUGAAAAAGUUAGAGUAUGAAACAAUUGCUUGGCUUGUCAUCGGGGUUGUGCAUGAUUUAAAUACUUUGUGUGGUGAAGAUGGAGCAUAGCCAGACUAUAUGAUUUUGUAGGGAUAACUUUCUUUGGCCAUGUUAUUUUGAGAAGACAUAAUUGCUUCGUUAGUAUGCUUGAGUAUUAUUAUGUUUAUGUCAAUAUAAACUUUUGUCUUGAAUCUUUCUAAUCUGAGUAUUCAUACCACAAUUAAGAAGAUUUGCAUUGAAAAUUAUGCCAAGUAGCACUCCGCAUCAAAAAUUCUCUUUUUAUCAUUUACCUACUCGAGGACGAGCAGGAAUUAAGCUUGGGGAUGCCUGAUACGUCUCCAACGUAUCUAUAAUUUUUGAUUGCUCCAUGCUAUAUUAUCUACUGUUUUGGACUAUAUUGGGCUUUAUUUUCCACUUUUAUAUUAUUUUUGGGACUAACCUAUUAACCGGAGGCCCAGCCCAGAAUUGCUGUUUUUUGCCUAUUUCAGUAUUUCGAAGAAACGUAAUAAAAUCUUUGGGAACGUGGUUUUAUCACUGAACGUGAUCCAGGAGACUUGGACCCUGCUCCAAGGAACAAAAGAGGCGGUCACGAGGGUGGGCCCCCUGCCUCGUGGGCCCCUCGUUGCUCCUCCGGCAUACUUCUUCCUCCUAUAUAUACACACGUACCCCCAAACGAUCAGAACAGGAGCCAAAAACCUAAUUCCACCGCCGCAACUUUCUGUAUCCACGAGAUCCCAUCUUGGGGCCUGUUCCGGAGCUCCGUCGGAAGAGGGCCGUCAUCAUGGAGGGCUUCUACAUCAUCCUAGCCCCUCCGAUGAAGUGUGAGUAGUUUACCUUAGACCUUCUGGUCCAUAGUUAGUAGCUAGAUGGCUUCUUGUCUCUCUUUGAAUCUCAAUACAAAGUUCUCCCCCUCUCUUGUGGAGAUCUAUUCGAUGUAAUCUUAUUUUUGCAGUGUGUUUGUUGAGACCGAUGAAUUGUGGGUUUAUGAUCAAGUCUAUCUAUGAAUAAUAUUUGAAUCUUCUCUGAAUUCUUUUAUGUAUGAUUGGUUAUCUUUGCAAGUCUCUUCGAAUUAUCCGUUUGGUUUGGCCAGCUAGAUUGGUUUUUCUUGCCAUGGGAGAAGUGCUUAGCUUUGGGUUCGAUCUUGUGGUGUCCUUACCCAGUGACAGAAGGGGCAGCAAGGCACGUAUUGUAUCAUUGCCAUCGAGGAUAACAAGAUGGGGUUUAUUUCAUAUUGCAUGAAUUUAUCUCUCUACAUCAUCUCAUCUUGCUUAAAGCGUUACUCUGUUUUUAACUUAAUACUCUAGAUGCAUGCUGGAUAGCGGUCGAUGAGUGGAGUAAUAGUAGUAGAUGCAGAAUCGUUUUGAUCUACUUGUCACGGAUGUGAUGCCUAUAUACAUGAUCAUGCCUAGAUAUUCUCAUAACUAUGCUCAAUUCUGUCAAUUGCUCAACAGUAAUUUGUUCACCCAUCAUAGAAUAGUUAUGCUCUUGAGAGAAGCCACUGGUGAAACCUAUGGCCCCCGGGUCUAUUCUCAUCAUAUCAAUCUCCAUCACUUUAAUCUUGCUUUGUUUUUACUUUGCCUUUACUUUUUUACUUUGCAUCUUUAUACCAAAAAUACCAAAAAUAUUAUAUCUAUCAGAUCUCACUCUCGUAAGUGACCGUGAAGGGCUUGACAACCCCUAAUUGCGUUGGUUGCGAGUAGCUAUCGCUUUGUGCAGGUACGAGGGACUUGAGCGUGGGCUCCUACUGGAUUGAUACCUUGGUUCUCAAAAACUGAGGGAAAUACUUACGCUACUUUGCUGCAUCAUCCCUUCCUCUUCGGGGAAAACCAAUGCAAGCUCAAGACGUAGGAAGGGAUAGUUAUGUGAUCCAAUUAUGUUAUUAUUGUUGAGGGAACUUGCACUAGUGAAAGUAUGAACCCUAGGCCUUGUUUCAACACAUUGCAAUACCAUUUACGCUCACUUUUAUCAUUAGUACCUUGCUGUUUUUAUAAUUUCAGAUUACAAAAACCUAUAUCUACUAUCCAUAUACCACUUGUAUCACCAUCUCUUCGCCGAACUAGUGCACCUAUACAAUUUACCAUUGUAUUGGGUGUGUUGGGGACACAAGAGACUCUUUGUUAUUUGGUUGCAGGGUUGCUUGAGAGAGACCAUCUUCAUCCUACGACUCCUACGGAUUGAUAAACCUUAGGUCAUCCACUUGAGGGAAAUUUUCUACUAUCCUACAAACCUCUGCACUUGGAGGCCCAACAAACGUCUACAAGAAGAAGGUUGUGUAGUAGAAAUGAAUCUCUUGUAUCCAAUCUUUGUCUCAAAACCUCAGAUUGGUACCUACGGGUUGCUAGUUGUGUUGAUUACUCCUUGUAGUUGAUGCUAGUUGGUUUAUUUGGUGGGAGAUCAUAUGUUCAAAUCCUUUAUGCAUAUUAAUACCCCUCUGAUUAUGAACACGAAUAUGCUUUGUGAGUAGUUACGUUUGUUUCUGAGGACAUGGGAGAAGUCUUGCUAUAAGUAGUCAUGUGAAUUUGGUAUUCGUUCGAUAUUUUGAUGAGAUGUAUGUUGUCUCUCCUCGAGUGGUGUCAUGUGAACGUCGACUACAUGACACUUCUCCAUUAUUCGGGUCUAGGGGAAGGCAUUGGGAAGUAAUAAGUAGAUGAUGGGUUGCUAGAGUGACAGAAGCUUAAACCCUAGUUUAUGCGUUGCUUCGUAAGGGGUUGAUUUGGAUCCAUAUGUUUCAUGCUAUGGUUAGGUUUACCUUAAUACUUAUUUUGUAGUUGCGGAUGCUUGCAAGAGGGGUUAAUCAUAAGUGGGAUGCUUGGCCAAGGAAGGGCAGUACCCAAGCACCGGUCUACCCAUAUAUCAAAUUAUCAAAAUACUGAACGCGAAUUAUAUGAACAUGAUGAAAACUAGCUUGACAAUAAUUCCCAUGUGUCCUCGGGAGCGUUUUCCUUUAUAUAAGAGUUCGUCCAGGCUUGUCCUUUGCUACAAAAAGGAUUGGGCCAUCUUGCUGCAUCUUAUUUACUUUUAUUACUUGUUACCCAUUGCAAAUUACCUUGUCAGAAAACUAUAUGUUACCGAUAAUUUUCAGUGCUUGCAGAAAAUACCUUGCUGAAAACCGCUUAUCAUUUCCUUCUGCUCCUCGUUGGGUUCGACACUCUUACUUAUUGAAAAGGCUACGAUAGAUCCCCUACACUUAUGGGUCAUCAAGACUCUUUUCUGGCGCCGUUGCCGGGGAGUGAAGCGCCUUUGGUAGGUGGAAUUUGGGAAGGAAAAAUUUAUAUAGUGUGCUGAAAUUUACUGUCACUUGUUACUAUGAAACAUAAUCCUUUGAGGGGCUUGAUUGGGGUAUCUUCACCCCGACCAGUAGAGCAAAGAGUUUCUCCUCAACCUACUAAACCUACUAAAAAUGUUUACUUUGAAAUUCCUUCUGGUAUGAUAGAGAAACUACUAGAUAAUCCUUUCACAGGUGAUGGAACAUUACAUCCCGAUUUGCACCUAAUCUAUGUGGAUGAAGUUUGUGGAUUAUUUAUGCUUGCAGGUAUGCCUGAGGAUGUUAUCAAGAAGAAGGUCUUCCCUUUAUCUUUGAAGGUAAAGGCAUUUACAUGGUUUAGGCUAUGUGAUGAUAUGGGAUCAUGGAACUACAACCGAUUGAAUUGGAAUUUCAUCAGAAGUUUUAUCCUAUGCAUCUUGUUCAUCGUGAUCAUAAUUAUAUAUACAAUUUUUGGCCUCACAAAGAAGAAAGCAUCGCUCAAGAUUGGGGGAGGCUUAAGUCAACGUUAUAUUCAUGCCCCAAUCAUGAGCUCUCAAAAUAAAUGAUACUUCAAAAAUUUUAUGCUCGGCUUUCUCUCAGUAAUCGCUCCAUGCUCGAUACUUCUUGUACUAGCUCUUUUAUGAUGAAGACUAUUGAAUUCAAAUGGGAUUUAUUGGAAAUAAUUUAACGCACCUCUGAAGAUUGGGACCUCGCUGAAGGUAAGGAGUCAGGUAUAACACCUAAGUUUGAUUGUGUUAAAUAUUUUAUGGAUACCGAUGCUUUUCAUGAAUUUAGCACUAAAUAUGGACUUGACUCUGAGAUAGUAGCUAUUUUCUGUGAAUCCUUUGCUACUCUUGUUGAUGUCCCUAAGGAGAAGUGGUUUAAAUAUAAUCCUCCCAUUGAAGUAAAAGUAGUUGCACCUAUUAAAGUUGAAGAAAAGACUAUCACUUAUAAUGAUCCUGUUGUUCCCACUGUUUAUAUUGAGAAACCACCUUUCCAUGCUAGAAUAAAGGAUCAUGCUAAAGUUUCAACUGUAGUUCGUAAGAGUAAUACUAGAACACCUACUCCCUCUGAGCAAAUUAAAGUUGAACCUAGUGUUGCUAUGGUUAAAGAUCUCUUGGCCAAUAAUAUUGAUGGGCAUGUUAUUUACUUAUGUGAUGAAGCUGCUAGAAUUGCUAGACCCGAUACUAAAAAUAAACAUAGACCUGUUGUAGGUAUGCCUAUUAUUUCAGUUAAAAUAGGAGAUCAUUGAUAUCAUGGCUUAUGCGAUAUGGGUGCUAGUGCAAGUGCAAUACCUCAUUCCUUAUAUAAACAAAUUAUGCAUGAUAUUGCACCUGCUGAGAUAGAGGAAAUUGACGUUACUAUUAAACUUGCCAAUAGACACUAUUUCACCAGUUGGGAUUGUUAGAUAUGUUGAAGUCUUGUGUGGGAAGGUUAAAUAUCCUGCUGAUUUUCUUGUUCUUGGUUCCCCACAAGAUAAAUUUUGCCCCAUUAUAUUUGGUAGACCCUUCUUGAAUACUUUUAAUGCUAAGAUAGAUUGCAAUAAGGAUAUUGUUUCUGUUAGUUUAGGGGUAUGUCUCAUGAAUUCAGUUUUGCUAAAUUUCGUAGACAACCCCGUGAUAAAGAAUUGCCUAGUAAAGAUGAAAUUAUUGGUCUUGCUUCUAUUGCCGUGCCUCCUAGUGAUCCUUUAGAACAAUAUUUGCUAGACCAUGAAAACAAUAUGUUUAUGAAUGAAAGAAGGGAAAUAGAUGAAGUAUUCUUUAAACAGAGACCUAUUUUGAAACAUAACUUUCCUGUUGAUAUUUUAGGGGAUCCCCCUCCACCCAAGGGUGAUCUCGUGUUUGAGCUUAAACCUUUACCAGAUACUCUUAAAUAUGCUUAUCUUGAUGAGAAAGAGAUAUAUCCUGUUAUUAUUAGUGCUAACAUUUCAGAGCAUGAGGAAAAGAAAUUAUUGAAAACUCUGAAGAAGCACCGUGCUGCUAUUGGAUAUACUCUUGAUGAUCUUAAGGGCAUUAUAGUCCCACUCUAUGCCAGCACAAAAUAAAAUUGUAGAAAGACGCGAAACCGGUUUUUAAUCACCAACGACGGUUAAAUCCUAAGAUGAAAGAAGUGGUAAGAAAAGAAAUACUAAAGCUUCUGGAGGCAGGUAUAAUUUAUCCUGUUGCUGAUAGUCGGUGGGUAAGCCCUGUCCAUUGUGUCCCUAAGAAAGGAGGUAUUACAGUUGUUCCUAAUGAUAAAGAUGAAUUGAUCCCACAAAGAAUUGUUAUAGGUUAUAGAAUGGUAAUUUAUUUCCUCAAAUUAAGUAACGCUACUAAAAAGGAUCAUUACCCAUUACCUUUUAUUGAUCACAUGCUAGAAAUAUUAUCCAAACAUACACAUUUUUGCUUUCUAGAUGGUUAUUCUGGUUUCUCUCACAUACCUGUGUCAAAAGAGGAUCAAGAAAAGACAACUUUUACUUGCCCUUUCGGUACCUUUGCUUAUAGACGUAUGCCUUUUAGUUUAUGCAAUGCACCUGCUACCUUUCAAAGAUGUAUGACUGCUAUAUUCUCUGACUUUUCUGAAAAGAUUGUUGCAGUAUCCAUGGAUGAUUUUUCUGUAUAUGGAACUUCUUUUGAUGAUUGCUUAAGCAACCUUGAUCGAGUUUUGCAGAGAUGUGAAGAAACUAAUCUUGUCUUGAAUUGGGAGAAGUGCCACUUUAUGGUUAAUGAAGGUAUUAUCUUGGGGCAUAAAAUUUCUGAAAGAGGUAUUGAAGUUGAUAAAGCUAAAGUUUAUGCUAUUGAAAAGAUGCUGUGUCCUAAGGACAUUAAAGGUAUAAGAAGCUUCCUUGGUCAUGCCGGUUUUCAUAGGAGGUUCAUUAAGGACUUCUCUAAAAUUUCUAGGCCUCUGACUAAUCUCUUACAGAAAGAUGCUCCUUUUGUCUUUGAUGAUGAUUGUGUAGAAGCAUUUGAAAUACUUAAGAAAGCUUUGAUAUCUACACCUAUUGUUCAGCCUCCUGAUUGGAAUUUACCAUUUGAAAUUAUGUUUGAUGCUAGUGAUUAUGCUGUAGGGGCUGUUCUAGGACAAAGCGUUGAUAAGAAAUUAAAUGUUAUCCAAUAUGUUAGUAAAACUCUAGACAGUGCUCAAAGAAAUUAUGCUACUACUGAAAAGGAGUUUUUGGCAGUUGUAUUUGCUUGUGAUAAGUUCAGACCUUAUAUUGUAGAUUCUUAAGUAAUUGUUCACACUGAUCAUGCUGCUAUUAAAUAUCUUAUGGAAAAGAAAGAUGCUAAACCUAGACUUAUUAGAUGGGUUCUCUUGCUACAAGAAUUUGAUUUGCAUAUUAUAGAUAGAAAGGGAGCUGAGAACCCCGUUGCAGACAACUUGUCUAGGUUAGAGAAUGUUCUUGAUGACCCACUACCUAUUGAUGAUAGAUUUCCUGAUGAACAAUUAGCUGUGAUAAAUGCUUCUCGUACUGCUCCAUGGUAUGCGGAUUAUGCUAAUUAUAUUGUUGCUAAAUUUAUACCACCUAGUUUCACAUACCAGCAAAAGAAAAAGUUCUUCUAUGAUUUAAGACAUUACUUCUGGGAUGACCCACAUCUUUAUAAAGAAGGAGUAGAUGGUGUUAUUAGACGUUGUGUACCUGAGCAUGAACAGGAACAUAUCCUACACAAGUGUCACUCCGAGGCUUAUGGAGGACACCAUGCUGGAGAGAAAACUGCACAUAAGGUAUUGCAAUCUGGUUUUUAUUGGCCUACUCUCUUCAAGGAUGCCCGUAAAUUUGUCUUGUCUUGUGAUGAAUGCCAAAGAAUUGGUAACAUUAGUAGACGUCAAGAAAUGCCUAUGAAUUAUUCACUUGUCAUUGAACCAUUUGAUGUUUGGGGCUUUGAUUAUAUGGGACCUUUUCCUUCCUCUAAUGGGUAUACACAUAUUUUAGUUGCUGUUGAUUACGUUACUGUGGGUAGAAGCUAUUCCAACUGGUAGUGCUGAUCAUAACACCUCUAUUAAGAUGCUUAAAGAAGUUAUUUUUUUCGAGGUUUGGAGUCCCUAGAUACUUAAUGACUGAUGGUGGUUCACAUUUUAUUCAUGGUGCCUUUCGUAAAAUGCUUGCUAAGUAUGAUGUUAAUCAUAGAAUUGCAUCUCCUUAUCACCCACAGUCUAGUGGUCAAGUAGAACUGAGCAAUAGAGAGCUUAAAUUAAUUUUGCAAAAGAUUGUUAUUAGAUCUAGUAAGAAUUGGUCCAAGAAACUCGAUGAUGCAUUAUGGGCCUAUAGAACUGCAUACAAAAAUCCUAUGGGUAUGUCUUCGUAUAAAAUGGUUUAUGGAAAGGCAUGUCAUUUACCUCUUGAACUAGAACAUAAGGCAUAUUGGGCCAUUAAAGAGCUCAAUUAUGAUUUCAAACUUGCCGGUGAGAAGAGGCUUUUUGACAUUAGCUCACUUGAUGAAUGGAGAGCCCAGGCUUAUGAGAAUGCCAAACUGUUUUAAGAAAAGGUUAAAAGAUGGCAUGAAAAAAGGAUACAAAAACGUGAGUUUAAUGUAGGUGAUUAUGUGUUGUUAUACAACUCUCGUUUAAGAUCUUUUGCAGGAAAACUCCUCUCUAAACGGGAAGGUCCUUACGUCAUCGAGGAGGUAUAUUGUUCCGGUGCUAUAAAUAUCAACAACUUCGAAGGCACAAAUCCGAGGGUGGUGAACGGUCAAAGAAUCAAACAUUCUAUCUCAAGUAAUCCCAUAAAUGUUGAAACUAACGUUAUUGAAACCGUAACCCCGGAGGAAUACAUAAGGGACACUUUCCAGAAUAUUUUAGACUCCGAAAAGGAAUAGGUACGUGGUACGGUAAGUAAACCGACUCCAAAACAGUUCUAAUGGCAUUUUUUCUCCAUUUUGGAAUAUUUAAGAAAAUAGGAAAAUAAGAAGUAGUCCGGAAAGGACACGAGGCUUCCACGAGGGUGGAGGGCGUGCCCUACCCCCCGGGCACGCCCCCUGCCUCGUGGGCACCUCGUGCGCUCUCCGGACUCCGUUUUCUUGCACGAUACUUCUUUUGGUCAGUAAAAAUUCAUUAUAUAAUCUCCCAAAAGUUUUGACCACCGUAUCAUGCAAAUAUCUUCUGUCUUUCUUUCGAGCUGUUUUUCUGACUGAUCUAGAUUACCAUGGCAUCUCCAAGUGCUCCCAAGGACAAGUUCUUCAAGAAGGUCAUCAACCCCUACCUCGCGGAGGUGCUGCAACACCCUCAAACCAUUGAGAUGUGUGAGGGGUUGCUGCACAUCCGCGAUGUUGAGGGACCUAGGAGGACCGGAAGCGUGGAGACAAGGCUCGAGGCAAUGGAUCAACAAGUUUUCAAGUGCCAGGAUAUGGUGGAACAUGGACUCGACUCCAAUCAUAUAAUGAUCACGGAGUUCACCAACAACCACAAGCUAGAUGACAAGAACAUUGGGGAGGCCAUCUUCAAGCUUCACGAGAAAAUCGAGUGCCUCCAAGCCCAGAUCUAUGACAAGCAAAACUAAAACUGUGAGUAUGAAUAUAGAUUCAAGAGGAUGAGUUUGGCUGCAGAUUUGAGGAUCCCGGAGACUCGAUCAUCCUUCUAUGAUGGUGAGCCUAUGCCUUGGAAGAUGGACGACAAGCCCACAUCAUCAACACCUUCUUCACCAACAAAGAAGAACUGAGUAUCGGGUAUGGGCACUCCCCUUGGCAACUGCCAAGCUUGGGGGAGUGCCCCGGUAUCGUAUCACCAUCACUUUUAUCUUUACUAUUUUUCUUAGUAUGAUCCUUUUGGUAAUAUCUUGAUCUAGUAGAAUAAAGUUUUAGUAUGAUCUAUUUUUGAGUUUUGCUCUAUAAUCCUUCUAUGUAAUCGAGUCCGUGAGCUAUAUAUAAUAAAGAUUAGUGUUGAGUUAAGGGCUUGAUUGUCUUGCUAUGAUCUUGAGGGAAUAAAAUAAAAGAGGAAGAAUAAAAAGAAAUAAAGAUAUCAUAUGGAUCUUAUGGAGAGUAAUGACUUCACAUAUAAAUAGUAUGAUGAAUAAAAGUUGUUGAGAGUUGACAAACAUAGUUUUGGUCAUCGUUGCAAUUAAUAGGAAGUAAUUAAAAAAGUGGUUUUCACAUAUAAAUAUACUAUCUUGGACAUCUUUUAUGAUUGUGAGCACUCAUUAAAAUAUGACAUGCUAAAGAGUUGACGUUGGACAAGGAAGACAAUGUAAUGGGUUAUGUUUUCUUACAUCCGAGAUAAAUUAUAUUGUCAUGGAUCAUCCAACAUGUUGAGCUUGCCUUUCCCUCUCAUGCUAGCCAAAUUCUAUGCACCAAGUAGAGAUACUACUUGUGCUUCCAAAUAUCCUUAAACCUAGUUUUGCCAUGAGAGUCCACCAUAUCUACCUAUGGAUUGAGUAAGAUCCUUCAAGUAUAAAAAUUGCUCUCUAAAUAUGUAUGAUUUAUUAGUGCGGAGAAAAUAAGCUUUAUACGAUCUUGUGAUGUGGAAGAAAUGAAAGCGAUGGACUACAUAAUAAAGGACCAUGUCACAAGUGGCAAUAUAAAGUGAUGUUCUUUCGCAUUAAGAAUUUGGGCAUCCAACCAUGAAAGCACAUGACAACCUCUGCUUCCCUCUGCGAAGGGCCUAUCUUUUAUUCUUGUCUUAUACUUCAUAUAAAAGUCACGAUGAUCUUCACCUUUUUUUUACAUUUUAUCAUUUGGCAAGGACAAUGUGUUGGAAAGAUCUUAAUAUAUAUAGCUAAUUAGAUGCAAGUUUUCAUGAACUAUUAUUGUUUACAUUACCCUUGGGGUAAAAGGUUGGGAGGCAAAACUAUAAGCCCCUAUAUUUCUCUGUGUACGAUUAAAACUUCAUACCCAUAAGUAUUGUGUGAGUGUUAGCGAUUGUGAAAGACUAAAUGAUAGUUGAGUAUGUGGACUUGCUGAAAAGCUCUUAUAUUGACUCUUUCUGAUGUUAUGAUAAAUUGCAAUUGCUUCAAUGACUUAGAUUAUAGUUUGUUAUCUUUCAAUGAAGUUUAUGAUUCAUACUUGAAAUUGUGAUUGAAUUAUUACUUUUGCAUAAGAAAUCAUAUGACAAUAUAUAUAUAUAUAUAUAUAUAUAUAUGUUGUUGUUCUAAGAAUGACCAUGAUACCCUCUGAUAACCCACAAGUAUAGGGGAUCGCAACAGUUUUUGAUAAGUAAGAGUGUCGAACCCAACGAGGAGCUAAAGGUAGAACAAAUAUUCCCUCAAGUUCUAUCGACCACCGAUACAACUCUACACACGCUUGACGUUCGCUUUACCUAGAACAAGUAUGAAACUAGAAGUACUUUGUAGGUGUUGUUGGAUAGGUUUGCAAGAUAAUAAAGAUUAUGUAAAUAAAAAGUAGGAGCUGUUUAAGUAAAGACACAAUAAAGUAAAUAUAGCGAGUGUGGAAAAGUGGUGGUAGGAGUUGUGAAAUUGCCCCUAAGCAAUUGACUACUUUACUAGACCGAUAUCAAGUAUUAUGUGGGAGAGGCCACUGCUAGCAUGUCAUCCCUGACUUGGAAUUCUAUGCACUUAUGAUUGAAACUAUUAGCAAGCAUCUGCAACUACUAAUGUUCAUUAAGGUAAAACCCAACCAUAGCAUUAAGAUAUAUUGGGCCCCCUUCAAUCCCGUAUGCAUCAAUUUCUAUGCUAGGUUGAAGCUUCUGUCACUCUUGCCCUCCAAUACAUAGUCCUAUCAACAUACAACUAACCCUAUGGUGUGAUACAUGUGCGCAAUCAUAUGAUGGGCACCAAAGGACAGCAACAUAACCACAAGCAAAUUAAAUCAACCAUAGCAAUUCAUCAACCACCGAUAGGACAACGAAAAUCUACUCAGACAUCAUAGCAUGGCUACACAUCAUUGGAUAAUAAUAUGAAGCAUAAAGCACCAUGUUCAAGUAGAGGGUACAGUGGGUUGCGGGAGAGUGGACUGCUGUAGAUAGAGGGGGGAAGGUGAUGGAGAUGUUGGUGAAGACGGCGGAGGUGUUGGUGUAGAUCGCGGUGAUGAUGAUGAUGGCCACGGCAGCGUUCCGGCGCCACCGGAAGAGAAGGGGAGAGGGGGCCCCUUCGUCUUCUUCUUCGUUGACCUCCUCCCUAGAUGGGAGAAGGGUUUCCCCUCUGGUCCUUGGCCUCCAUGGCAUGGGAGGGGCGAGAGCCCCUCCGAGAUUGGAUCUGUCUCUCUGUCUCUCUCUGUUUCUGCGUUCUCGGAUUCUACCCUUUCACCGUUUCUUAUAUUCCCGGAGAUCCAUAACUCCCAUUGGGCUGAAAUUUUGACACGAUCUCUAUCCGGAUAUUAGCUUUCUUGCGGUGAAGGAAGGGCAUCAACCGCCUUGCGGGUGGCCCACGAGGGUCAGGGGCGCGCCCCCUGCCUUGUGGCCACCUCGGGCACCGUCUCGCGUGGAUUUUUCUUCCCAAAAAUCAUAUAUAUUCCAAAAAAGUCUCCGUCAACUUUUAUCCCGUUUGGACUCCGUUUGAUAUGGAUAUUUUGCGAAACAAAAAACAUGCAACAAACAUGAACUGGCACUGGGCACUGGAUCAAUAUGUUAGUCCCAAAAAUAGUAUAAAAAUUGCCAAAAGUAUAUGAAAGUUGUAGAAUAUUGGCAUGGAACAAUAAAAAAUUAUAGAUACAACUGAGACGUAUCACCCUCAUGUCCUUAUUUUAUUUUUUUAUCGACACCUCUAUCUCUAAACAUGUGGACAUAUUUUGAUACGUCCAUUUUGCAUCAUGCUUUUAUAUCAAUAUUUAUUGCAUUAUGUGCUAUUAUUACACAUUAUGUCACAAUACUUAUGCCUAUUCUCUCUAAUUUUACAAGGUUUACAUGAAGAGGGGGAAUGCCAGCAGCUGGAAUUCUGGGAUGGAAAAGGAGCAAAUAAUAGAGACCUAUUCUGCACAUCUCCAAAAGUCCUGAAACUUCACGGGAGCAAGUUUUAGAAUAUACAAAAAAUAUUGGAAGAAAGAAGUACUAGAGGGGGGCCACCCAUGGUCCACGAGGGUGGGGGCGCACCUACCCCCCGGGUGCGCCCCCUGCCUCGUGGGCCCCCUGGCAGCCCUCUGAUGCCCAUCUUUGGCUAUAUGGAGUCUUUCGUCGAGGAAAAAAAUCAUAAGCAAGCUCUCGGGACGAAACUCUACCGCCACGAGGCGGAACCUUGGCGGAACCAAUCUAGGGCUGCAGCGGAGCAGUUCUGCCGGGGAAACAUCCCACCGGGAGGGGGAAAUCAUCACCAUCGUCAUCACCAUCGAUCCUCUCAUUGGGAGGGGAUCAAUCUCCAUCAACAUCUUCACCAGCACCAUCUAAUCUCAAAUACUAGUUCAUCUCUUGUAUCCAAUCUUUGUCUCAAAACCUCAGAUUGGUACCUCUGGGUUGCUAGUAGUGUUGAUUACUCCUUGUAGUUGAUGCUAGUUGGUUUAUUUGGUGGGAGAUCAUAUGUUUAGAUCAUUUAUGCAUAUUAAUACCCCUCUGAUUAUGAACAUGAAUAUGCUUUGUGAAUAGUUACAUUUGUUCCUGAGGACAUGGGAGAAGUCUUGCCAUAAGUAAUCAUGUGAAUUUGGUAUUCGUUCGAUAUUUUGAUGAGAUGUAUGUUGUCUCUCCUCUAGUGGUGUCAUGUGAACGUCGACUACAUGACACUUCACCAUUAUUUGGGCCUAGGGGAAGGCAUUGGGAAGUAAUAAGUAGAUGAUGGGUUGCUAGCGUGACAGAAGCUUAAACCCUAGUUUAUGCGUUGCUUCGUAAGGGGCUGAUUUGGAUCCAUAUGUUUCAUGCAAUGGUUAGGUUUACCUUAAUAAUUCUUUUGUAGUUGCGGAUGCUUGCAAGAGGGGUUAAUCAUAAGUGGGAUGCUUGUCCAAGGAAGGGCAGUACCCAAGCACCGGUCCACCCACAUAUCAAAUUAUCAAAGUACCAAACGCGAAUCAUAUGAACGUGAUGAAAACUAGCUUGACGAUAAUUCCCAUGUGUCCUCGGGAGCGUUUUCCUUUAUAUAAGAGUUCGUCCAGGCUUGUCUUUUGCUACAAAAAGGAUUGGGCCAUCUUGCUGCACCUUAUUUACUUUUAUUACUUGUUACCCGUUGCAAAUUACCUUAUCACAAAACUAUCUAUUACCGGUAAUUUCAGUGCUUCCAGAAAAUACCUUGCUGAAAACCGCUUAUCAUUUCCUUCUGCUCCUCAUUGGGUUCGACACUCUUACUUAUUGAAAAGGCUACGAUAGACCCCCUACACUUGUGGGUCAUCAUGGUCCACUUGGAUACAACACCCAAUGUGUGAGAAAUCAGAGGAAUCAGAGUAUGGGAUGGGGAUCAACAAAGCAUGAGAUGAGGAAGGAGACGAACUAAAAGAAGGAGAAGGCUUGUAACAUCCCAAAUUUUCAAUUUGGAAUGUUAUACAUAGAUCAUUCAUGCAUAUCAUAUUUUAUUGCAUUUUUGUUCCGCAAUCCUCGAAAUCCUAAGCAACUCAAGGACCCUCGGAGAGAGUUGGGGAUUUCCCGGUUUUCAUAUUUGGUUUUUAUCACAUAAUGAAACAACGAUUUUUGAUUUUGAUUAUUUUUCUCUCCGAAAAAUAUUUCAUAAUAAAAUAUAUGAGAGGCUUUUUAUAAUUUUAUUUUAUUUUCUUGAAUUUUUUUAGUUUUGGCGGAAUUGUUUUUUUAAACGCGCCUAGGCCGACUGGGCCGAAGCGCAGCCGCCGGCCCACCUCCCCGGCCGCCGUCUCCCGCGCGGCCGCCGCCGCCGCCGACUCGGACACGGGUCCGAGCCGGACUCCGCAGCUGCCUUGCCCCUCCCCCAAGGCACCACAUCCACCCCCUUUUAUAACUGCACCCCGCCGCCCUUGNNNNNNNNNNNNNNNNNNNNNNNNNNNNNNNNNNNNNNNNNNNNNNNNNNNNNNNNNNNNNNNNNNNNNNNNNNNNNNNNNNNNNNNNNNNNNNNNNNNNNNNNNNNNNNNNNNNNNNNNNNNNNNNNNNNNNNNNNNNNNNNNNNNNNNNNNNNNNNNNNNNNNNNNNNNNNNNNNNNNNNNNNNNNNNNNNNNNNNNNNNNNNNNNNNNNNNNNNNNNNNNNNNNNNNNNNNNNNNNNNNNNNNNNNNNNNNNNNNNNNNNNNNNNNNNNNNNNNNNNNNNNNNNNNNNNNNNNNNNNNNNNNNNNNNNNNNNNNNNNNNNNNNNNNNNNNNNNNNNNNNNNNNNNNNNNNNNNNNNNNNNNNNNNNNNNNNNNNNNNNNNNNNNNNNNNNNNNNNNNNNNNNNNNNNNNNNNNNNNNNNNNNNNNNNNNNNNNNNNNNNNNNNNNNNNNNNNNNNNNNNNNNNNNNNNNNNNNNNNNNNNNNNNNNNNNGCUGCCGCGCCGCGUCGCCGCCUGCUGCCCACGUCGCUGCCACCCCUCGCUGGAGACCCGCCGUGCCGGACCUCGCCAAGGUUAGCGCCAUUCGUUUUUUUAGAAAACCGGAUCGGUUUUCAUAGAAAACCCUAGCCGUUUUUUUUGGUUCGCCGGUUAUUCUUUUUGGUUUUCUUUUUAGCGGACGUUCGUCCGGACGUUCGUUUCAAUGAACGGUUUUCACUCGUUAGUUACAGAUAAUGAACGCUUGUUCAUUAGCCUGUUCGUCAGUUUUCUUUUAUCGGAUUUUUCUGCGAUUAUUCUCGAUCACAAUUUCUGAUCCGAUUUUCGUUUCGGUUUAUCUUUUCGCUCGUCAGGCGAUUCAAGUGCCUAGAUCUUCGUCUCGAGACCCUCUUUCCGCUUAACCAACUUGAACAAGAUUUUGGUACUAUAAAAUUUGACCUUAGUUCGGAUUAGUAAACGGAACUUGUUUCCUUCGCUGUUUGAGUUUCAUUGCUCUGUUUGAUUUGAUUCUUUUUGCAAACCAGAGUUCUUAAGUUGAACUUUCCGGUUAGAUCUUCUUAUUUGAGUUUUACCCGUGCUUCUUUGAUUGUUGCUUAUGUAAGCUAUUGUUUGUUUGCGAUAGAAUUCCCGGAGUGCGAAGCGUGUUAUUUGGAGUCUCUAGGUUUCGCGGAUCAUCAGCAAGGCAAGUAACACUUUGAUCAUAUCCCUUUAUCACCCAGUUUUUAUGCAUUAGUUCCAAUCCUCAAACAUUGCAUGGUUAGGAUGUCUUUAACAUGUGGUUUGGGAAGUAGUUGAUGAGGUAGAACCUAUUACCCUGUUACAUUCAAACCCUGGGAGUUACUUCUACGCGUUGCUUAUAUUGCUAUGCUAUGCUCGUAGACGUGGUUUGGGUGAGUGAAAUCCAUGACAGAUGUGUAAGUGCAUCUAGUGCCACCCCUAGUUGGUUUUGGAGUAUUGACGACAAACCUAGUUGAGGGACUAAUGUGUUUGUGAGAAUUGUAGGAUAACACAGGUAGAAGUCCCUCAUUGAUUCGGUUUUCCUACCAGAGAUGACCCCUAAAAAUGUAUGAAGACAUUGAAGUCAAAGGUGGUAUAUGAAGAUAUUCACAUUGAAGACUAUGACAAGAGAAGACACCACAUGAAGCCUAUGGAGCUCGAAGACUUAGAUCUUUUGUAGUUCUCUUUCUUCUGUAUUGAGUCAUAGGAACCACCGUACUGUUAAGUGGGGUCCAAGAGAACCAGUCAGAAUGACUGAAGUGAUGCUUAAACAAAACCUAUGUCUUCGAGUGAAGACUUUGAGAGCGAAUCUUGUCCAGAGUCGGGCAAGUCAGCUUUGCUUGAAGCCCAAGUAAAGUUGCCGUGUGAGUUUGAAAUCUGACCGUUGGAACACGUGUCAGUUCCUUAGUGACCCAGGGUCAUUUCGGACAAAUCAGGUUGGGUUGCCAAUUGGCUAUAAAUAGCCCACCCCCUACAACCAUAAACGGCUGGCUACUCAGAUUCAGAGUAUGGCUUUUGUUGUUUGAGAGCAACCCACCUCGAAGCCUUUGAGAGAGAAUUCCUUGCGAGGAUAAACCCCUAACCACCCAGAGCCAAAGAGAAUUAGGCAUCACUUAAGUCUUCUAGUCUGUGUGAUCUGAAGACUUAUUACACUUGAGGACUGUGCAUCCUCUAGCCGGUUAGGCAUCGCGUUCUGAGCAUCCAAGAGACAUUGUGGAUUGCCAGUGAACGAUGUCUGUGAAGGUUUAGGAGUCUACCUCGAAGACUUACCAGAGUGAUUGGGCGAGGUCUGUGUGACCUUAGCUCAAGGGGAAUAUGGUGAGGACUGGGUGUCCUGAGCUGCGUGUUCAGGACUGGGUGUCCGGGACUGUGUGUCCUAAGGUUUAAAUACCUAGCCGCCCUAACCAGACGUACAGUUGUCACAGCAACUGGAACUGGUCCAACAAAUCAUUGUCUUCAGCGAGUCACUGGUUUCAUCUUCCUUUCCCUUUACUUACUGUUACUCCUUGUGAAGUCAUUGUAUGUUCGCACUAUCUUUUGUCUUCACUGAGUGACUGCGUGUUCUGUGUGGCUUCACAAUAUCUUCCUACCUGAUCCUUACUACAUUGCUGCUAUUAGUCAUUGUGCUUUCACUCUAUUGAAUACUUGACUAUGGCUUGCCAAGUGUAGUCUACCUUCCGCUGCAGGGUAAUAGGUUUAUUUCUAUCGUCUGUCUUCAUAACUUCCACGUUUUGAAGACUUUCAUAAAAAUCGCCUAUUCACCCCCCUCUAGUCGAUAUAACGCACUUUCAAGAUGUGAGAUUGUUAAUUAAUGGUUCAACUUAAGGUGGCAACUUAAAUACACAUCUGGGUGGAUUGAGGCACCUGGAGUACCCAGUGUUGCCUGUAUUUUUGGAAAUCCCGAAGUACCCUUGUGAUCUUCAUAUGGACCGCCACCCAGGCUCAAAGGGAACUGAGAUGAUUUGUGCUAGAAACUUCCAUGUGUAGCCACAAGCUAUUAUGGGCUCUAGCAUAGUUGAGUAAGUUACGCGAAGCUCUUGAAGAGGUAGAUCAGCAGGUAGUGGGUUUGUAGGUUUGGUAUGGUCUACCCGGAGUAGAGAUUUAAUGUUUCUGAAAGACUGUGUCUCAGUCAUCCGUUUCUCAAACACCAUGUAGUGCGAGAAAUCCAACGGAGGAGAUCGAGUCUUGUGGGCAAAAGUGCACAAACCUCUGUAGAGUGUAUAAACUAAUCAUGGUUAGCCGUGUCCCCGGUUAUGGACAAUCUUGAGUAUCUAGUACUUGGAGUAUCUUAAGUAUCUCAUCACUCUUAAUUAAUAUUGUUGGGUUGUUAAUCACUUUAAUUGGGAUUGAGUUGGAGGAACCUUCUCAAUGAUGUUUCAACUACCAUGAUAGUUCAAUUAAAAUCUAUUCCUUUGUUGUAGGGAAAAAUUGGCUUUUCGCAAAACUGUAACCAUAGAGCUUUCCACCAGCCAAAUAUGCAUGUAGUGAUAGCAUUAUUCUGUUCUCGCUCUACUGUGUUACUUUGCCAGCAUAUUCCAUGUGCUGACCCGUUUUCGGGCCGCAACGUAUUAUGUAGCAGACUUUUCAGAUGAGGAGUAAGGUUCCUUAGGUCGUUGCCGUGCAGCUCAGCUAUGCCGUUGGAGUUGAUGGACUCACUUUAUCUUCCAGGCUUUCCGCUGUUAUCGUAUUAGAUGGCCUUAGCCAUGUUUAUUGUAAUAAGAUCUCUUUUGAGACAUCCGAUGUUAUAAGUGUGUGAUUGUUACUCUGUUAUAAAUCCUUCGAGUACUAUGUGUGUCAACAUUACCGAUCCAGGGAUGACACUCAAGCACAGAGACUUGACCGUUUGAGAUCGGGUCACUACAAAGAUGGUAUCAAAGCACGCGCUGAGUGUAGGACACGAGCACUAAGCUAAAGCCAUAGCUCACUAUUCUCUCCUCAUUUCUGACUCCUCUCCAUUUUUCUACUCUUUAGGAUGGCGGAGAUGAAGAACAAGUUUGCACAAUCAGAGGAAGAAUCACCUUUUCGACGACACUUGAAGGAAGUCACUAGGUACUUGAACAUUGGAAUACCAAGCUUCACCGGGACAUACAACGCCACUUUACCAGAAGAGGAGCGAUGGAUGAUUCAAGUUCAAGUUCCAGGAAGGACCUUCACGCCAGUCACUAAGCCUAUAGAAUUUUCCUUCAACGCACCAACCUGGAGUUUAGGAAAGAGUAUGGCAGCUCACAUCACCAUGGGACACAUUGGAGAAGUAUAUCACAAGGAUCUUAAGUACACUAUCUACCAGAUAUGUGGGCGCCGAGACGAGCAAUGGGAGAUGAUCAGCACCAGGAUGGAUAGAUCAAUUGCAGCUUUCAUCCAUGAACUAAACCAACACAUUCGACGCCAGGAGAAUCAGAUGUGCGCAGACAUGAUAGAUUUGAAGAAGGCGAAGACAAGGAUCAUCGAGCUGGAAGAAGAACUUAAUUCUACAUGCGAUGCAUAUGAGGAGGAAAUUGCGACACUACUGGAGAAGAAUGACCACCUAAUUAAGAAGAUCGAAAUAUUCAUGGGAGACCCCACUCCAGUAGAAGAAGAUGAAGAACACAAGGAGAUUCGUCCAGAGGACUACAUCAUCAUUGAGGGAGUCCUGGAUUAGGGGGUGUUCAGGUAGCCGGACUAUACCUUCAGCCGAACUCCUGGACUAUGAAGAUACAAGAUUGAAGACUUUGUCCCGUGUCCAGAUGGGACUUUCCUUGGCGUGGAAGGCAAGCUUGGCGAUGUGGAUAUUCAAGAUCUCCUACCAUUGUAACCGACUUUAUGUAACCCUAACCCUAUCCGGUGUCUAUAUAAACCGGAGGGUUGUAGUCCGUAGGCGAUCAACUCCAUAUACAACAAUCAUACCAUAGGCUAGCUUCUAGGGGUUUAGCCUCCUUGAUCUCAUGGUAGAUCUACUCUUGUACUACCCAUAUCAUCAAUAUUAAUCAAGCAGGAGUAGGGUAUUACCUCCAUCGAGAGGGCCCGAACCUGGGUAAAAAACAUCGUGUCCCUUGUCUCCUGUUACCAUCCGGCCUUGACGCACAGUUCGGGACCCCCUACCCGAGAUCCGCCGGUUUUGACACCGACAUUGGUGCUUUCAUUGAGAGUUCCUCUGCGCCGUCACAAUCAGGAAGGAUGCCUCCUCUCGUCUUUAAAGACGGCGCCGUUGCUAAGGGAGCCUUGGCUGUCGGCCAAACCCUCCGGCUAGGUGGUUUCCUCAUGACCGCCUGUUCGGCUGUUGCGCCGACGGUGACCUCUCGGGUCAUCAAAAGCAACCUACACGUCAGCUCGGAGCUCAUCGAGCAGCUAGAUCCAAUGGAGCUCUCUUCCGUAAACAAGCUCUUGGAUCGCAUCGCCGCCCUGGGGCCGCUACGGAUUACGACCAGGUUGGGCUUAAACCCGAUCUAAGAGAAAUUAACUCUCCCCAAGUCACCCACCAUGUUGCCGUGGUAGAGGCGCAGUGCGGCGACCCUUCAUCUAUUUUAAGGACUAGCUACGUCCGAAUUCCCGACUCCUCCAAGCCGGAUACCCGCGGAGAGGAGGAUGUAACUCAAGACCUGAGCUUAGGAUCAGGCAACGGGCUAGAUUCGUUGGACAACAUCCAAGAAUCCGAACUUCAGAGUUCGGAAACUCUUCGGCCUCCGAAUCUUGGAUUGGGUGAGGUUUCAGAUUCAACGACAGCCGCCCACCCGAACAUAAGCGAUCUCUCCCAAAUUAGGUUGAGGCCCGAGGAAACAGUACAUCACUACUGGGCCAGAUUCCUCCUGGUUAUGAACAGGAUAAAGGAUUGCCGCGAGGGAGACGCAAUCUCAAUUUUUCUGCAGUAAUUGCACGGACAAGGGAAUCCUUAACGCCGUAAGUCGUCGUGAUAUUACACGCUUCGCUAACUUGGCGUCCAUAGUACAAAAAUACUGUGCGAUGGAAAGCGCCUGGAAAACCGAAAUAAAAUUUUGGGAUAAUCCGGCCUUGAAUAGUAAUCCCGUCCGAACUAAGAGGGUGCAUCAUCAUAGGACACCCGGGAUAAACACCAAAAAGCCAAAACCCUCUACAGGGCAUGGAACCGUACUGGAAAGAUGGCUUGAUGGACCCUGUAGAAUUCACAGUACAGAGGACGCCACACCAACUCACAGCCUUAGAGCAUGUUGGAUACUCCAGCAGGUGGCCAAAAUUGGCGAGGACCUCUUAAUUCGGGAGGCCGCAGAAAGCCAGCCCGAGGACACCAGUACCGUUCUCACAGUCUUCGAGACUUUAGCAUCAAACAAUGUGCGAAAAAGAACACUCCGCAGCCUCGCUGAAGUUUAUCAAGUUGCAACAAUAAAUCCAUGGAGCGACACUGCCAUUACCUUCAACGCAAGUGAUGAACCUAGAUUCCGAACAGCCCGAGCACCAGCCGCAUUGGUCCUCAGUCCCAUAGUGGACGGCUUUCGCCUCACCAAGGUGCUCAUGGAUGGAGGCAGCGGACUGAACCUCAUUUAUGAGGAAACCCUUCAAAAAAUGGAAAUAGACUGGAACCGCGUCGAGCGAAGCAGCACAACCUUUAGAGGAAUAAUCCCCAGUCGGGAAGCGCGCUGCACAGGAAAAAUCACACUAGAUGUGGUGUUUGGCACAGCGGAUAAUUACAGGUCCGAAGAAGUCACGUUUCAGGUGGCCCCAUUCAAAAGCGGAUAUCACGCUUUACUAGGACAGGAAGCAUUCGCAAUCUUCCAAGCAAUACCCCAUUACGGGGACAUGAAGCUUAAGAUGCCCGGGCCGAACGGAAUUAUCACUCUAGCUAGUGAUCCGGACGUAGCACUCCGCGCCGAAAACAAGACGGCCGCAUUAGCCCUUGAGGCACUAUCCGAAGCCUUAGCGGCCGAGGAACUGACUGCGCUGCGCUCCACGAUUAACAGGGAUGACGUGAUACUCGAUAAGAGAUCCAAAUCCACAUCCUUCAAGCCAGCUGACGAAAUAGUCAAAUUCCAGGUCCAUCCAACGGACCCCAAUAAAACAGCUUCCAUCGGGGCACGACUGAACCCUGAUGUAGACGCCGCACUGCGAGAGUUCCUACGAGAGAACUGGGACAUUUUCGCCUGGCACCCUUUAGACAUGCCAGGGAUUCCACGCAGGCUGGCCGAACACAGCUUAAAUAUCCUAAAAGGAUUCAAACCUGUCAAACAAACCCUUCGGCGUUGUUCCGAACCCAAGAGACAGGCUAUGGGAGAGGAGCUAGCCAAGCUAUUGGAGGCCGGAUUCAUUAGAGACAUAAAACAUCCGGACUGGCUAGCAAACUUGGUGAUGGUACCAAAGAAGGACAAAUCCUGGCGCCUCUGUGUCGAUUUUAAAGACCUUAACAAGGCUUGCCCAAAGGAUCCCUUCCCCCUCCCCCGUAUCGAUCAAAUUAUCGAUGCCACCAUAGGACACGAUUUGUUGUGUUUCCUCGACGCAUACUCUGGUUACCAUCAAAUCAAGAUGGCAGAAUCAGACCAAGCUGCAACAGCAUUCAUCUCACCAUACGACCCAUUCUGCUUCAACACAAUGCCCUUUGGGCUGAAAAACACCGGCGCAACAUAUCAGCGCAUGAUCCAGACAUGUCUGGCAAACCAGAUCGGUAAAACAGUGGAGGCGUAUGUGGAUGAUGUGGUCAUCAAAUCAAGACAUGUCAAAUCCCUAGUAAAUGACUUAAGGCUUACAUUCAAUAACCUCCGACAAUAUGACAUCAAGCUCAACCCAGAAAAAUGCGUCUUCGGCGUCCCAGCUGGAAAGCUCUUGGGCUUCAUUGUAUCCGGUAGAGGAAUUGAAGAAAACCCAGCCAAGAUCCGAGCUUUGUCACAAUUGGAUGUCCCAAAGGACCUUAAACAAAUACAAAAAUUAACCGAGUGUGUGGCGGCUUUAAGCCGCUUCAUCUCCCGCUUGGGAGAAAAGGCACUACCCCUCUAUCGCCUCCUUCGAUGCACCGAACACUUCGAGUGGACGGAGGCCGCCAUGGCCGGACUCGAUGAAAUAAAAGCCAUAUUGGCAACAAACCCAGUCCUGGCCGCGCCGAACACUGGCGAACCAAUGUUAUUGUACAUUGCAGCAACACAUCAAGUUGUCAGCGCAGUGCUCGUUGUCGAGAGGGAAACGGAUGGACACAAAUUCCCCCUUUAAAUGCCGGUCUACUACGUAUCCACUGUCCUCACUCCAUGCAAAUCACGGUACCCACAUUAUCAAAAGAUUGCAUACGCGGUAUUCAUGGCAUCCCGGAAGCUACGACACUACUUUCAAGAGUGUUCCAUAACAGUAGCCUCGGAAGUACCACUCAACGAUAUUAUCAACAACCGCAACGCAACGGGCCGGAUUGCAAAAUGGGCCAUCGAGCUCCUCCCGUUCGAUAUAACCUAUAAGCCACGGCGAGCUAUUAAAUCGCAAGUUUUGGCCGACUUCGUCGCAGAAUGGACGGAGGCCGAGCUCCCUAAAGAGUACGACACAUAUUCAAACUGGAUUAUGCAUUUCGACGGCUCUAAAAUGUUGGCCAGACUGGGGGCUGGCGUCGUCCUGACGUCCCCCACAGGAGACACAGUCCAAUAUGUGCUCCAGAUCAUGUACAUAGAUUCCAACAAUGCAGCCGAAUAUGAGGCCCUCCUACACGGUCUCCGGAUAGCAGUAUCCAUGGGUAUCCAGCACCUAGAGGUACGCAGGGAUUCAAACCUCGCGAUAUCCCAAAUAAACGGAGACUUUGAUGCCAAGGACCCAAAAAUGGCAGCUUACCGCAACGCCGUCCUAAAAAUGUCAGCUCGGUUCGAAGGGCUGGAGUUUCACCAUAUAGCCCGAGAAAACAAUCAAGCAGCGGACGUCCUGGCACGCAUUGGAGCAAAACGCGAUGUAGUCCCCCGCAACAUCUUUUUGGAGAGAUUGGUCAAGCCAUCCGUAGCAUGGGAGGGGGAACCCGCAAAUAACAACCUGGACCCAGCCGCACCACUCGACGCCGAACAAUCUGACACAAUUGGAGGCUCUGCCAAUGAAAUUACACCUUCAGCCCACGUAAUAAUGGCGGUCAUCGCCCCGUGGAUAGAACCAUUCCUAGCCUACGUUACUAGGCAGGAACUCCCGGAGGACCAAAAUGAGGCCCGCUGCAUAGUGCGGCGAUCUAAAUCCUAUAGAGUCCAUGAGGGAGAGCUUUAUAAGAAAAGCACCACCAGAGUCCUUCAAAGGUGCAUCUCCGAAGAGGAAGGGCGGAACCUUCUGGCUGAAAUUCAUGCCGGACUCGGUGGUCACCACGCCGCUGCUCGGUCCCUUGUUAGCAAGGCUUUCCGUACAGGCUUUUAUUGGUCGACGGCCCGGGCAGACGCUCAGGACCUAGUCCAACGAUGCGCUGGUUGCCAACUUUUUGCCAGCCAAAGCCAUGUGCCACCCACCGCACUCCAAACCAUACCCAUCACCUGGCCUUUUGCGGUCUGGGGGCUUGACAUGGUCCGACCCCUUAAAGGUGGGACCGACAGGAAAAAAUACUUACUUGUCAUGGUGGAUAAAUUCACCAAAUGGAUAGAAGCCAAGCCUGUUAAAACGGCCGAAUCCGGACCUGUGAUAGACUUCAUAUCCGGGGUUGUACACCGUUAUGGCGUCCCCACAGCAUCAUAACCGAUAAUGGUACAAACUUUACCACCGACGAGGUAAAACUCUGGUGCAAAAACAUGGGCAUCAAGCUCGAUUAUGCUUCCGUCUAUCACCCACAAACCAACGGCCAGGUCGAACGUGCAAAUGGUCUUAUCAUGAGCGGCAUUAAACCCAGACUGGUGCGGUCCCUCAAGGAAUCUAACACGCACUGGGUAGAGGAGCUCGACUCCGUGCUAUGGGGGCUGCGGACCACGCCAAAUUGCACCACCGGAUACACACCAUUUUUUAUGGUGUACGGUGCAGAGGCAGUUCUGCCCUGCGACAUAAUUCAUGACUCACCUAGAGUGCGCAUGUAUGAAGAAAGAGAAGCCGAGCUCGAUCGGCAGGACAACUUGGACGCCCUGGAGGAGGAGCAUGACAUGGCAAAAGCCCGUUCCGCAUUUUAUCAACAGCAGGCCCGAAGAUAUCAAAGCAGAGAAGUACGGGCCAAAAAUUACAAUGUUGGCGAACUAGUUCUACGCCUGCCGGAUAAGAAAAAGGACAAACUCAAGCCCAAGUGGGAAGGUCCAUUCAUAAUCGACCAAGUCCUGACUGGCGGGGCGUACCGCCUAUGAGAUGCGUCGGAUAACCGACUCGAGCCGAACCCGUGGAACGCCACCCGUCUCCGAAGAUUCUACGCCUAGCGCCGGACUCUGUGUUCGUCUCCUUCCUCUGUCCAUUUUUUACACUUUUCUGUCUUACGUUUCUCUCCUUCCCCUCUUUUAUUUUAUAAGCCCUUAAAGGCUCAUCUAGUGACGCGCCACUCGCACUCAUUAAACCUGGGGGAUUCUUUAACAGAAGCUUAUUUAUACGGGCCUCACGCCCAACACAUGCGUCAAACUUCCGCAUGUACCUUUUUCUUCACCAUUAUAUGCAUCGAUACGACUUAAGUUUUGGCCAACCUGGGUUGCCUGGCUCCUGUGCUUACCCCUACGUUCCCGAUUGUUCGGCUAGGCGGUAAAGGGAGCACCUCUGCGAUUGUUACUGUUGAGUCAGUCGGAUGUGUACCUCAGACUGGGUGAAGCCGAAAGCUAGCGUUCUUAAGGGAAUAUUCGGUCGGUGAGAUAAAAGAUGAUCUUUUUUAUGCGCCCCCAGAUGCUUUUUUCCGCGUCUUUUUACGCAGUCCGGACAUGCACUUUAGGGCAUGCCUCCCAGCGAAAGGAACCCCUAACGGAACUAUUCUCUCUGGAAGAUGUUUCUUACUAACCAUGUAAUAUAACAUAACUAGUUGGGCACUUAUCUGAUAAAGCACUAAUGACCCCUACGCCUGGUCUCCACGCAUAUCACGGUUCUUAUAUAACCGCUAUGGUAUUUGGACACACUGCGGACCGUCAGGUCCCAAGGUUGAAGCGAAAAGGUCGGCAACGACAAACGAUCUACAAUCCGGCUAGAAGGCAUUACACAUGUCAAUUCAAAAUUACAUAGUCAUUCUGACUGAUUGUAUUCCUCUUCUAUACCAUCUAACAGGCUGUCUAAUUUACAGUCCUGCUGGGAAUACUUCGCGGCCAACUCUACUUGGCCAUAUACUAAGCUCACAGGGAUCUCCUUCCCGUCAGGCCCCACAGGUCCGACCUCGGCCAUGUGGUUUGGGUCAGACUUUGUAAAACGGGUCUUCACCAUGGCCCAGGCUUCCCUAGCGCCUUGUCGGCAGGCCGAUAUCUUCCACAACCAGAAGUGCCGCCGAGCUCCCUUCAGCUUCUCCGCAAGCUCUCUAAGGCCCUCGGGCAUGGAGUGGGCAGGCCAUAAGGCUUGGGCAACACCUCGCAUCGCCUGCCGAAUUCACUCGUGCAGUUGCAUGAGUUCGGGAAGAAGGUCACCCGUAGAACUGGGCAUCUCCUCUGCAGGACGACCUGUGAGCAUACCUACAGACAUUACUCUGUUAGUCGACUUCCUCGCCGAACUCUUUUUUCAAAGUUCGUUCAAGCACUUACUAAAUAUGCCGCGUCGAAGCCGCUGAUUCUCCUUCGCGGAGUCCGACAGCUGGCCACGAAAAUCUUUAAGUUCGACGUCCAGCCUGGUGUUGGCAUCCUGAAGAUCAUUCUUCUCUCGCCUCACCUUUGUCAACGUACUCUCACCGGCCUCUAGCCGGCGUAAGAGUUGUUGCUUUUCCGGAUCGAGUCCGGCGCCGUCCGCAACAUGGUUUGUCAGAUUUGCACCCACACCGCACAAUACUAAUCUUUCGAAGUGUAUCUUACCUGAGGGGGUCUCUUUGGGCUCCCCUGUUGCGGCUAGUGCGGCCUCUAGUUGGGCCUUGCACUUUUCCAGCUCCUGGGACAGUACAAUAUUCUUCUCUGUAAGAACCUGCAUAUUAAAUGAUCCUUAAAUCAGUUGCUCCAACUGUUUCAAGUCUCGGGGGCUACUGGUGUAUAUAUAUAUAUAUAUAUAUAUAUAUAUAUAUAUAUAUAUAUAUAUAUUUGACAAAAAAAUUCUUACCCGUAUGUCUUUUACAUACUGCUCCGUGGCUCUGGCUAAACCAUUUUGAGCAGAACGGAGGUACGCAUCUCCCGAAUUAAAGGCAUCUAAAGCCUCUUGGGAGAAACAAGCAUCGCGUAGAACUGUCCGGCGACGCCUGUGGUUCAUGGCACUCUCCACUUCAGAAUUUGUGGCAGACAGCCUAUCCGCAUCCUCUGUCGGAAGAGCGUCCGGUGCGCGCCUUGUGCUCGCCUCCGCUUCCUGGCCAGACGUUGGAGCCUGGCUGGUGGAGGCGCGAUUGGCAACCUCUCCAGAUGUAGUCCAGCGAGGUCUCUUCGUUCUGAAGAUAGCACGGACGUUAAUAUGCCCUGACAGAAUAACACCAGGGAAACAGAGGGUGCGCUAUACCUUUGCGCCGGCAUCUUAGUCCGGACUGCAUUCCUUUUUGCCCCACGGGGUCCUGCGGCCCCUCGUUGGCUAGCCGCCGCAGGUUCGGCCUCCUGCCUCGGAAAUCUCCCCUGCAAAACACGGCUGUCAUCAAAAACACCAGAAUACGUGAGAGUGGAAUCUCUCUCAAGGGAAUGAGACUCCGGUUUCUGUCACCUGGGAGGCCGGGAUUAACCCUGGGUAAUCAGCCGUGAUGGCUACCAAGGUAUUGUCCUUGCUUAGCUGAUGGAACACCCCGUCGAUAAGCUCCACCGAUAUGUCCGGGUCCUCUUCGGAGUCUGGAUCGAGGGACCGUUCUGGGUCCUCGGGCUGUGGAGGGCGGCUGUUUAUAUCCUUUACCUCCUGUCACAGUUCCUGCACUGAAGCCGUUAGACUACAUAUCUAACCGUGGGAAUAUAAAACAAACGGGCAAGCGCAAUUAUUCACUUACCCAACUUGGAGGGUCGUACAUAGUAAGUCCGGCCUGCGGAUUGACGUGCAGGAAUUCCUCCUUUUCUCCCUUGUACAAAGAGGAUAAGAUCUUUACUAGGGCGACGACUGAGGCCGGCCCCUUAUGACCGUAACAGGUGGCGUCAUCCUCCCCGUUGAAAUCCCACAUGGGGUGGCCUCUAUAUUGAAGCGGCUGCACCCCCCGCAUAAUGCACGCGACCAUGACUCCAAUCAUGGUUAGUCCGGAAUGAGCCAACAGUCUUAUCCGGCCCAUCAAGUAAAGGACGUCUCUGUCGCUUUCUCUCUAAGAGCUCCAUGGAUGCCAGCUCAUGCGUUUCUUCAAUGGAGCACUGUUAAACUCAGGGAGACCGGCCCGGAUAGGGUCCAGUAGCGGGACGUCAUCUAUAUAAAACCAUUCCGAAGGCCAGUCCUCGGACACCUUCUUUGGGGUUCCGGAUAGGUAUCCGGUCCCGGCGAUGCGCCAUACUUCGGCUCCGCCCACUUGGUAUAUAGACCCCUUUUGAGAACGGGGCACCAGGCAGAAUAACCUCUUCCACAGUGCAAAAUGAGCCUCGACGCCUAAAAAUAGCUCGCAAAGGGCGACGAAACCCGCAAUAUGCAAUACGGAGGCAGGCGUGAGAUUGUGCAGCUGGAGGCCAUUGAACUCCAGAAGCCCACGGAGAAAUGGAUGAAUUGGAAAUCCCAGUCCCCUUAUUAGAUAGGGGACGAGGCACACCCGCUCUCCUUUAGAAGGAUUGGGGGUGCUCUUCGCUUGUUUUCCGCCAUUAUAGGUGGCGAGACCGGCUCGGACCGGGACCAUGUAUGCCUGAGGGAGAAAUCCCUUGGCCUGAAGUGAUGCUAACUUGCUAUGCGGGAUGGUGCAACUCUCCCAGUCCCCGAGUUUGGGACCGGAGGGGCGAGGGGAGGAGCUGCGACGGCUGGUCAUGUUGGAAUGGACCUUUGCUGGAAGCGCUCUGAUCAUAAUUAGCGGAAAGGAGAAAAUGUGGUUUGGACCUAAAUCCCCAUCCCGUUAAAUAGGCGGCUCGUUUAUACGGCUAGGGGUGUGGAUGUAAAAACGCCCCGGCUUUUCGCAUUUGUUUGAACACGUGGAAGACGACCAUUAUUGGGCAUGGAAGCCGAGGAGCACUACAUUACAAAAAUCGGACAUUAUUCCUACAGGUACACAAGAUUUGGAGAAGAACCCGCCUUGCAAUGCCGAACAAUCUGUGCGCCGGACUCAUCGUCAUUGAAGCCUGGUUCGGGGGCUACUGAGGGAGUCCUGGAUUAGGGGGUGUUCGGGUAGCCGGACUAUACCUUCAGCCGGACUCCUGGACUAUGAAGAUACAAGAUUGAAGACUUCGUCCCGUGUCUGGAUGGGACUUUCCUUCGCGUGGAAGGCAAGCUUGGCGAUGCGGAUAUUCAAGAUCUCCUACCAUUGUAACCGACUUUAUGUAACCCUAACCCUAUCCGGUGUCUAUAUAAACUGGAGGGUUGUAGUCCGUAGGCGAUCAACUCCAUAUACAACAAUCAUACCAUAGGCUAGCUUCUAGGGUUUAGCCUCCUUGAUCUCGUGGUAGAUCUACUCUUGUACUACCCAUAUCGUCAAUAUUAAUCAAGUAGGAGUAGGGUAUUACCUCCAUCGAGAGGGCCCGAACCUGGGUAAAAAACAUCGUGUCCCUUGUCUCCUGUUACCAUCCGGCCUUGACGCAUAGUUCGGGACCCCCUACCCGAGAUCCGCCGGUUUUGACACCGACAAGCAUCGACGACACCGACUCCGACCCUAGUGAUGAUGACUUCGAAGACGAAGCUGGAGCAGAUAUCAUGGAGUCUUCCACCGAUCAAAAUUUCUAGAUGACCACCCAAUGAUUAGUAGUAUUCCCCCAUGUAUUCAGUAGUAGUUGAGCAAUUUUGCGAUAGUUCUAGACCGCUUGUAUGCCUUUGCUUGAUUGAUUGAGUGAAAUGAUUGUGUUUGUCUCAUGUGCAUAUGGGCAGUGCCUUCUCAUUAGACCUCAUUCUAUUCUAAUCUCUUCCAUCUAAACCCAUCAGAUGCCUCCGAGACGUGACCCCGGAUUUGCCUUCCUGCCGGAGCUCACUCAGUUGAUCCAGCAGCAGAACACCUUGAUGCAAUUGCUAGUUCAAAACCAGGGCAACAACAGCAACAACAACAACAACAACAACAACCCGCCGCCAGUGGACAACCUAGCCCGUUUUCUAAGGUUACAACCGCCGGUGUUUUCCAGUAGCACCGAGCCUAUAGUUUCUGAUGAUUGGCUACACCGUAUUGGAAGGGAGUUGACCACCGCAGGUUGCACAGAUGCUGAGAAGGUGCGCUUUGCCGCACAUCAAUUGGGUGGACCAGCAGCCUCAUGGUGGGAGAAUUACACGGCCACUUUCCCCAUAGCCAACGUCACUUGGGACCAGUUUCAGCAAGCUUUCCGCAUAGCCCAAGUCUCAACUGGAGCCAUGAAUAUGAAGAAGCAUGAGUUUCGCAACUUACGCCAGGGGAACCGUACUGUGGCUCAGUACGUGGAUGAGUUUAGCAAGCUAUCUCGCUAUGCCCCUGACGAUGUGGCCACAGAUCCCGCGAAGCAGGAGAAAUUUAUGGAAGGGCUGAAUGAUGAGAUGAGUAUGCAGUUGAUGGUAGCAACCUUCAACAACUACCAGGAGUUGGUAGAUAAGGCUCUUGUGAUUGAAGGGAAGCAGCAUCAGACUGAGAGCCGUAAGAGGAAGUAUGGACAAGGGAGGUAUAACUCAGGAGCUCAGCAGAAGCCUCGCCUAACCCCGAACUCGGGAGGACUUGUUCAUAACCAUGGAGGUCAUAACCACACCGGAGGAGGAUCGUAUAACCACAAUGGUACUAAGAAUGGGAAUGGGAAGAGAGCCAAUAACAAUCAGAACCGCUCCAACCCAGCCACACCCGCUAAAAGAGAUCUAAGUCAUGUUACUUGCUUCAAGUGCGGGAAGACUGGACACUACGCCACGGAGUGCCCUGAAGGAAAGAAUGGAAACGGAAAUGGGAGAGCUCGAAAGAAGCUCAAUCCAUUCAACAAAGGACAAGUGAACCACGUUAACGUGGAGGAGGUUGAAGAGCAGCCGGACGCGGUAAUAGGUAAGUUUUUGGUUAAGUCAUUUACCGCUCUUGUUCUAUUUGAUACUAGUGCAUCGCAUUCAUACAUAUCAAGGGGAUUCGUGGAUAAGUUUAAACUACCAACCCAAACCCUUAGGACCCCUCUCUUAGUGAGUUCACCUGGAGCAAAGUAUAUGGCUAGUCGAUGGUGCGACCAGAUACCCCUAACCAUUGGCACCCAUGUUUUUCCGUCCGACCUAAUUAUCUUGGAGUCACAAGGAUUGGAUGUGAUAUUAGGCAUGGACUGGAUGUCAAAGUAUGGAGGAAGUAUUGACUGUGCUAGUAAGUCAAUUUAUCUCACCACCCUGGAGGGAAAAAGGAUUAAGUAUGUACCUAGGCAUGUGCCUAGGAGGAGCCAAGUGAAUACCCUCGUGGGAGUUGUUCAGGAGGAAGUGCCUGUAGUGACGGAUUACCCGGAUGUUUUUCCAGAGGAGUUACCAGGCAUGCCACCGUAUCGGGACAUCGAGUUUUUGAUAGAGCUAUUGCCAGGGAUAGGGCCAAUAUCCAAGAGACCCUAUCGGAUGCCCGCGAAUGAUCUCGAGGAAAUUAAGAAACAGAACAAGGAGUUAUUGGAGAAAGGAUACAUUCGAAGGAGUUCAUCACCUAGGGGAGCCCCGGUGCUUUUGGUUGAGAAGAAGGAUAAAUCCCUAAGAAUGGUUGUUGAUUAUCGGGCCUUAUAUGAAGUGACGUUCAAGAACAAGUACCCACUGCCGAUGGUCAAUGAUCUGUUGAUCAGCUGCAAGGAGCUAAGGUGUUUUUGAAGAUCGAUUUGCGAUCGGGAUACCAUCAGUUGAAGAUUCGAGAGAAAGAUAUACCAAAGACAUGAUUCACCACGCGUUACGGAUUAUAUGAGUAUACGGUCAUGUAGUUUGGACUAACCAACGCCUGUGCCUAUUUCAUGAGCAUGAUGAACAAUGUAUUCAUGGAAUAUUUGGACAAGUUUGUUGUGGUGUUUAUUGAUGAUAUUAUGGUAUAGUCGAAGAAUGAAGGGGAGCACAAGGAGCAUUUGCGAUUAGUUCUCGAGAAACUCAGGGAACACCAGUUGUAUGCCAAGUUCAGCAAAUGCGAGUUUUGGUUGAAGGAAGUCAGAUUCCUUGGACAUGUUAUAUCAGGAGAAGGUAUAGCAGUAGACCCCAGCAAGGUUCCGUCAGUCACUGAAUGGUUAGCACCCACUUCAGUUAGCGAGAUCCACAGUUUUCUUGGACUCGCAGGAUACUAUCGGAGAUUCAUUGAGAAUUUUUCCAAGAUUGUGAAGCCAAUGACGGAGUUAUUGAAGAAGGAUACCAAGUUUAAAUGGACGGAAGAUUGCGAGGCAAGUUUCCAGGAGUUGAAGAAACGUUUGUCUACAGCCCCAGUGCUGACACUGCUAGAUAUACAUAAGGAUUUCCAAGUGUAUUGCGACGCCUCUCGCUUGGGACUUGGAUGUGUGCUUAUGCAGGACAGGAGAGUUGUUUCGUAUGCCACGCGACAACUAAAACCUCACGAGUUGAAUUAUGCCACACAUGAUUUGGAGUUAGCAGCCGUAGUGCAUGCAUUGAAGACUUGGAGACAUUACCUUAUUGGAAACCGUUGUGAUGUGUACACGGAUCAUAAGAGUUUGAAGUACAUCUUCACACAGAAGGAACUGAACCUUAGGCAGAGGAGAUGGUUGGAGCUUAUAAAGCAUUAUGACAUGAAGCUGCACUAUCAUCUAGGAAAGGCCAAUGUAGUAGCAGACACUUUGAGUCGGAAGAGUUAUGCUAAUAUCCUUGCGAGUAAGGGAGUGCCAAAGGAGUUAGCAGAGGAUAUCAUGGAACUUCGAUUAGAGAUUGUUCCUAGAGGUUUUGUUGCAACAAUGGAAGUUCAGUCAACGCUGUUGGGUAAGAUUCAGGAAGCUCAGAAGGAUGACAAAGAGAUUUCCGAGAUAAAGGAGAAGAUGAGCAAAGGAAAGCCAAAGGUUUUCGUGAGGAUGAGCAUGAUACCUUAUGGUUUGAGGACCGGAUAUACGUGGCCAUUAACACAGAGAUCAGGAAGUUAAUACUACAGGAGGCCCAUGACUCACCAUACUCGAUACACCCCGGAAACACCAAGAUGUAUCUGGAUUUGAAGGAACGUUUCUGGUUGAUAGGAAUGAAGAAGGAUAUUGCCGAGUACGUAGCAGUAUGUGAUGUAUGUCAGAGAGUGAAGGCAGAGCAUCAAAAGCCGGCAGGAUUGUUAUAGCCUAUGUCGAUACCCGAAUGGAAGUGGGAUAAACUUGGCAUGGACUUUAUCACCGGAUUGCCCAGGACCAAAUCAGGAUAUGAUUCCAUAUGGGUAGUAGUUGGUCGCUUGACCAAAGUGGCUCACUUUAUCCCAGUGAAAACCACUUAUACAAGUGCGAAGUUGGACAAGAUAUAUAUGUCCAGGAUCGUAUGUCUGCAUGGAGUUCUGAGGACCAUUGUAUCAGAUAGAGGAACACAGUUUACCUCAAAGUUUUGGCAUCAGUUACACCAGACUUUGGGUAUGAGAUUGGAGUUCAGUACCGCAUUUCACCCGCAAACGGAUGGACAGACCGAGAGAGUCAACCAGAUUUUGGAAGAUAUGUUGAGAGCCUGUGCGCUAGAUUAUGGAUCUAGUUGGGAUGACAAUUUGCCUUACGCAGAGUUCUCAUACAACAAUAACUACCACGCUAGUUUAAAGAUGGCACCGUUCGAAGCCCUGUAUGGACGAAGGUGCAGAACGCCGUUGAUGUGGGAUGAAGUAGGAGACCGACAGCUGUUUGAACCGGACUUAAUCAAGGAGUCUGAAGAGAAAGUUAAGCUGAUUCGUGAUAGACUGAAGAUUGCUCAGUCCAGGCAGAAGAGUUAUGCAAACUCAAAACGCAAGGAAGUAACCUACGAAAUUGGAGGUAGAGCAUAUCUGCGAGUAUCCCCCUUGCGAGGAGUGAACCGUUUUGCAGUUAAAGGAAAGUUAGCCCCGAGAUUUGUAGGACCGUAUCGUGUUCUGGAACGGAUAUGAGAAGUUGCCUACAAGUUGGAGUUACCUGCAGGAUUGUCAGGAGUUCAUGACGUGUUCCACGUUUCACAGUUGAAGAAGUGUCAUGCUGAGAUGGCCGGUAUACCGUUAAGAGAUACAGUACCCUUGGAGGCGAUUAAGUUGGACAGUGAUUUGACUUAUGAGGAAAAGCCAGUUAAGAUUCUUGAGUUUGCCAGCCGAGUCACCCGCAGCAAGGUUAUCAAGUUUUGCAAAGUUCAGUGGAGUCACCAUACCGAGGAUGAAGCCACCUGGGAACAAGAGGAUGAUCUACGCAAAGACCACCCACACCUAUUUUCUAGCCAACCCGAAUCUCGAGGGCGAGAUUCAUCUUAAGGGGGGUAGGUUUGUAGCAUCCCAAAUUUUCAAUUUGGAAUGUUAUACAUAGAUCAUUCAUGCAUAUCAUAUUUUAUUGCAUUUUCGUUCCGCAAUCCUCGAAAUCCUAAGCAACUCAAGGACCCUCGGAGAGAGUUGGGGAUGGUUUUUAUCAAAUAAUGAAACGGGGAUUUUUGAUUUUGAUUAUUUUUCUCUCCGAAAAAUAUUUCAUAAUAAAAUAUAUGAGAGGAGAUGAUAUAACUUCUCCAAAAUAACAGAAAUAUUGGAGGAAAAUAUUAAAAUCAUUUAUUAGAUUUUAUUUGGAUUUUAUUUGCAUUAGAAAAAUUGCACGUUUUCAAAAUUGCAUUUUAGGGCCAAGAAAAUGUUCAUCUCGUUCUAAAUAUUUUAUUUAGACGGUGAAAAUUUGUUUUGGCAUUUUUAGAAUUUUAUUUUAUUUUCUAGGAUUUUUUUAGUUUCAUCGGAAUUGUUUUAAAAAAAUGCGCCUAUGCCGAAUGGGCCGAAGCCCACCCGCCGGACAACCUCCCCGGCCGCCGUCUCCCGCGCGGAGACCGCGCCGCCUCCGCUGCCGACUCGGACACGAGUCCGAGCCGGACUCCGCCGCCGCCUUGCCCCUCCCCCAAGGCUCCACCUCCCCCCCCCUUUUAUANNNNNNNNNNNNNNNNNNNNNNNNNNNNNNNNNNNNNNNNNNNNNNNNNNNNNNNNNNNNNNNNNNNNNNNNNNNNNNNNNNNNNNNNNNNNNNNNNNNNNNNNNNNNNNNNNNNNNNNNNNNNNNNNNNNNNNNNNNNNNNNNNNNNNNNNNNNNNNNNNNNNNNNNNNNNNNNNNNNNNNNNNNNNNNNNNNNNNNNNNNNNNNNNNNNNNNNNNNNNNNNNNNNNNNNNNNNNNNNNNNNNNNNNNNNNNNNNNNNNNNNNNNNNNNNNNNNNNNNNNNNNNNNNNNNNNNNNNNNNNNNNNNNNNNNNNNNNNNNNNNNNNGAGCCGCCGCGCCGCCCCGCGCCUCGCCUGCUGCUGCGCGGUGCCGCCGCAAGCCGUAGCCGCCGCCCCGCGCCACGCCACCCCUUGCCGGAGCCCGCCGUGCCGGACCUCGCCGAGGUUAGCGCCGUUCGUUUUUUUAGAAAACCGGAUCGGUUUUCAUAGAAAACCCUAGUUGUUUUUUUCGGUUCGCCGGUUUUUCUUUUUGAUUUUCUUUUUAGCGGACGUCCGUUUCAACGAACGGUUUUCGCUUGUUAGUUACAGAUAACGAACGCUCAUUCGUUAGCCUGUUCGUCAGUUUUCUUUUAUCGGAUUUUUCCGCGAUUAUUCUCGAUCGUGAUUUCUGAUCCGAUUUUUGUUUCGGUUUAUCUUUUCGCUCGUUAGUCAAAAUCACGCGAUUCAAGCGCCUAGAUCUUCGUCUCGAGACCCUCUUUUCGCUUAACCAACUUGAACAAGAUUUUGGUACUAUAAAAUUUGACCUUAGUUCAGAUUAGUAAACGGAUCUUGUUUCCUUCGCCGUUUGAGUUUCCUUGCUCCGUUUGAUUUGAUUCUUUUGCAAACCGGAGUUCUUAAGUUGAAAUUUCCGGUUAGAUAUUCUUAUUUGAGUUUUACCCGUGCUUGUUUGAUUGUUUCUUAUGUAAGCUAUUGUUUGUUUGCGAUAGAAUUCUCGGAGUGCGAAGCGUGUUAUUUGGAGUCUCUAGGUUACGUGGAUCGUCAGCAAGGCAAGUAACACUUUGAUCAUAUCCCUUUAUCACCCAGUUUUUAUGCAUUAGUUCCAAUCCUCAAACAUUGCAUGGUUAGGAUGUCUUUAACAUGUGGGUUGGGAAGUAGUUGAUGAGGUAGAACCUAUUACCCUGUUUCAUUCAAACCCUGGGAGUUACUUCUACGCGUUGCUUAUAUUGCUAUGCUAUGCAUGUAGACGUGGUUUCGGUGAGUGAAAUCCAUGAUAGAUGUGAGAUUGUUAAUUAAUGGUUCAACUUAAGGUGGCAACUUAAAUACACAUCUGGGUGGAUUGAGGCACCUGGAGUACCUAGUGUUUCCUGUAUUUUUGAAAAUCCCGCAGUACCCGUGUGAUCUUCCUAUGGACCGCCACCCAGGCUCAAAGGUAACUGAGAUGAUUCAUGCUAGAAACUUCCGUGUGCAGCCACAAGCUAUUAUGGGCUCUAGCAUAGUUGAGUAAGUUACGUGAAGCUCUUGAAGAGGUAGAUCAGCAGGUAGUGGGUUUGUAGGUUUGGUAUGGUCUACCCGAAGUAGAGAGUUAAUGUUUCUGAAAGACUGUGUCUCGUUCAUCCGUUUCUCAAGCACCAUGUAGUGCGAGAAAUCCAACGGAGGAGAUCGAGUCUUGUGGGGAAAAGUGUGCAAACCUUUGCAGAGUGUAUAAACUAAUCAUGGUUUGCCGUGUCCCCGGUUAUGGACAAUCUUGAGUAUCUAGUACUUGGAGUAUCUUAAGUAUCUCAUCACUCUUAAUUAAUAUUGUUGGGUUGUUAAUCACUUCAAUUGGGAUUGAGUUGGAGGAACCUUCUCAAUGAUGUUUCAACUACCAUGAUAGUUAAAUUAAAAUCUAUUCCUUUAUUGUAGGGAAAAAUUGGCUUUUCGCAAAACUGUAACCAUAGAGCUUUCCACCAGCCAAAUAUGCAUGUAGUGAUAGCAUUAUUCUGUUCUUGCUCUACUGUAUUACUUUGCCAGCAUAUUCCAUGUGCAGACCCGUUUUCGGGCUGCAACAUAUUAUGUUGCAGACUUUUCAGAUGAGGAGUAAGGUUCGUUAGGUCGUUGUCGUGCAGCUCAGCUAUGCCGUUGGAGUUGAUGGACUCACUUUAUCUUCCAAGCCUUCCGCUGUUAUCGUAUUAGAUGGCCUUAAGCCAUGUUUAUUGUAAUAAGAUCUCUUUUGAGACAUCCGAUGUAAUAAGUGUGUGAUUGCUACUCUAUUAUAAAUCCUUCGAGUAUUGUGUGUGUCAGCAUUACCGAUCCAGGGAUGACACUGAAGUAUAGAGACUUGACCGUUUGAGGUCGGGUCGCUACAAGGCUACUGCCUUGUUUCAUUUUCUGAUCGAUGACUCCCUCGGGAUUACAAGCCCAGUACUUAUACCACUACUCCUACCGAAUCCACACAACGAUGGUCCACGACCCAUCGAAGCCCAGGUUACAAACGCCCUGGUGGCAGCCCAUAGGUGGGGUGUUACAUCAAGGAAAUCUCCUCCGAUCCCCUACUUUUCAUCCAAAAAAUGCUCAUAUCUGCUCAAGUCUUGCAAGUUUAGGCAACCUCUAGUUCUUCAUGGAUUUUGAAAUGUGUAUGAAAAUAUGAAAUGAUUGUUUGGUGCUUAGCAUAUGCAUUGGCAUUUUGCUAGGGCAGGGUUCUUAGUAUGUUAUGAUUAGGGUUAUUGUUCUUGUUAUGUUGGGGUAGGGUUGUUGUUUAAUAUGUAUGUUAUGGCUAGUGUUUGGAUAUGUGACUAGGUCUUUGUGUUAAACUUUGCAUGGGUAUUUAUGGAAUAUAUUUUCCUUUGUGUUGUUUUAAUUAUUUUAAGGAUGGAAGAACAUGUGUUUAUGUUCAUCAUGUGGACAAUGACUCCUUUUUGAAAGGCAAUAUCGAGCCGGAUCUGGAUGACUUUGACAUGGUGUUUGUGAGUAGUCCUAACUAUGCCGAGGUCUUGGAACAAAUGGGGAAAUAUUUGAAUUGAAUGGAACCAAGUCAUAUUAUUGAGUUGGAGGGAAGGCAUAACGUGGGGUUUGAAAUGCACAUCCGUUGAAAGACAAUGCGUAUAAACUCUGAGCAAUGUUGGGUUGCAUACAAGGAGACGGUGGCUGAAUAUCUAGACAAGGCUCUUGAGUUAUUUGCCACAAAAUGUUAGGCAAUGCAAAGAUGUGUACUAGUCCUAAUAGGAAAGCGAAGAAGGGCACACUUUACCACAAAGUUGAGCACUAGAGCAAAAGCGGUUUAGGUCUCAUCCUUGAUAAAUCUGUUGUAUUGGCUCUGGGCAAGUUUAUCAAAUACGGUGGACUCUUCCAAUAUUUCCUCCUCGUAAGCCAGCGAGCAUAUCUCCACAUAAAUAUUUUGUUGAAACCAUCGAAUGUAGUUGUUGAAUGCAAGUAGGCAAUGCUCACGUAGCUGGGAUCCUGCCCUAGUCACAACUUCCUCCACACAAAGCUCGAACAUGGUGACAUACUUCUUAUGAAGUUUAUCUCAAUCCUUGAUCUUUCUCCACUUUUUCCUAUCCAACCUGCAUGUUAAAUACCACACUAUUAGCACCAUCAAAAAGGACAUAACAAUGCUAAGUGCACACAGUUCAUGCUCUCUUACCUGUGAAGCUAGCAGUCAAAUCCCCCCACUCCGGUGAGUGACCCUGAAACAACCAGACUAGCUCAUCACACAAUGUGGCAAAUGAAGCUCAACCGCACAAUUACAUAUCAAUGGGCAACACAAGCGCGAGAUGCUUUUCCUCCAAGUACUUCAGAUUCAACUGGAACUGGUAUGCUACAUCAAAGCUAUCUCCACCACUAUAUGACUGCCAUUCCACCUGUAACAUAGCACAACAACAUUGAUGUCGAGUUUUCAAUAGGAAGCAUGCGAGUGAGUGAUGUAAUGUCAACAUUUACCUAAUCAGCAGUAAGCGUAUCCAUCUUGUUGGUGUACUGCCUAUACAUGAAAUCGGCAUCGCUCGUCAUCUCUGAUACCACGUCCCACUUGUAAGCCCAAGUGGGGAGCCCUAGAGGGUUGACAUGAUCAUCUCAAUCCUUAAAUGACACCUCUUUCGGGCAUCCAACUAGCAAACAUUCCUAGCUCCAUACCUAAAGUAGGAGCAUAGGACCACCAAUUCCGUCGACUUCUGAGGACCUACGACAAGGUCCAACUACACGUAAAGGCAAACAUGAUUCAGUUAAGGACAAAUUUGCACUCGUAAUGUACAAAUAAGCUAAAAACAAGCAAUUGAUUACCUGUCGGUAUAAGUAGGCUAGUGCCGCCGAACGCCAGCUACAUUUGUCGUCGAAGAUAGUCAACGCCUUGAGCCACAUCCACUGAGCGGUCCUACCAUCCAUCGACAAAGAGAGUCCUAGAUAUAACAUAUCACACGUAUACGCGAGAGCUACUUGUGAGCUGUGUUGAGAUUUCCUCGAAGAGGAGAGGAUGACGCAGUACAAUAGAGGUACGUAUUUUCCUCUGUUAAGAACCAAGGUUAUCAAUCCAGUAGGAGAACCACGCAACACCUCGUUAGUAGUACCUACACAUAAAAUAAAAAUACUUGCACCCAACGCAAACAAGGGGUUGUCACUCCCUUGGUGGUUAAUUGCAAGGAUCAAAUCUUGUAGUGAUAGAGAUAUAAACAAAAACACAAAAUAAAAGUGAAGUAAAUAAAUUACAGCAAGGUAUUUUUGGAUUUUUGAUAUAUGAUAAAGAUAGACGUGGGGGCCAUAGUUUUAAUUAGACACUUCUCUCUUGAACAUAGCAUACAGUGGGUAAACAAAUUACGGUUGGGCAAUUGAUAGAAAAGCGAAUAAUUAUGAUGAUAUCCAAAGCAAUGAUCAUGUAUAUAGGCAUCAUGUACGAGACAAGACCGACUACUACCUGCAUCUACUACUAUUACUCCCACAUCGACCGCUAUCCAGCAUGCAUCUAGAGUAUUAAGUUCAUAAAGAAUGGAGUAACACAUUAAGCAAGUUAACAUGAUGUAGACAAAGUAAACUCAAUCAAUAUGAGUAAACCAUCAUUUUAUACUUAACGGAAACAAUACAAAUACGUGUAUUGUCCCCUUCUGUCAUUGGGAUAUAGAUCACUACAAGAUUGAACCCAUCACAAAGCACCUCUCCCAUUGCAAGAUAAAUCAAUCUAGUUGGCCAAACCAAAUCAAUAGAUCAGAGAGAAAUGCAAAGCUACAAUAACAUGCAUAAAAGAGUUCAGAGAAGACUCAAAUAAUAUUCAUGGAUAAUCUCAUUAUAAACUCACAAUUCAUUAGAUCCCAAUAAACUGACCAAAAAAAGGAUUACAUCGAAUAGAUCUCCAAGAACAUCGAGGAGAACAUUGUAUUGAAGAUCAAAGAGAGAGAAAAAGGCACUAGUUACUAGCUAUGGACCCAUAUGUCUACGGUAAACUACUCACACAUCAUUGGAGGGGCAGCAAAGUCGAUGUUGAGGCCCUCCAUGAUCGAUUCCCCCUCCGGCAGAGUAUCGGAAAAGGUCUCCUGAUGGGAUCUCCGAGGAACAGAAACUUGCGGUAGUGGAAAAAGUAUUUGGGGUGGCUCCCUGAUGCACGGGAAUAUUUGGGGAUUUAUAGAGCUGGAAUUAGGUCAGGAGGUGCCUCGAGGGGCCCAUGGCCUAGGGGACGCCCCCUUGGGGCGCGCCUGGCAGGCUUGUCGCUACCUCGUGGCACUUCGGGUCUUCUCCCGAAGCUUCUAGGGUCCCUUUUGGUCAAGAAAAAAUCAUCAAAAGGUUUCGUAGCGUUUGGACUCCGUUUGGUACAGAAUUUCUGAAAAGUCAAAAACAAGCAAAAAAACAGCAACUGACACUAGGCAUUAGGUUAAUAGGUUAGUCCCCAAAAAUGAUAUAUAAUUUCAUAAUAAGCAUCCAAGAUUGAUACUAUAAUAACAUGGAACAAUAAAAAAAUCACAGAUAGGUUGGAGAUAUAUCAAGCAUCCCCAAGCUUAAUUCCCGCUCGUCCUCGAGUAGGUAUGAAAGUGCUAGUGAUCGACUAGAGGGGGGUGAAUAGGCGAUUUUUAUGAAAGUCUUCAAAACAUGGAAGUUUCGAAGACAAUCAAUAGAAAUGAACCUAUUAACAUGCAGCGGAAGGUAGACUACACUAGGCAAGCCAUAGUCAAGUAUUCAAUGAAGUGAAAGUACAAAGACUAAUAGCAGCUAGGCAGUAUGGAUCAGGAUGGAAGACAGUAUGAAGCCAAUCAGAACAAGCAGUCACAUAGUGAAGACAAAUAGAUAAUGCAAACAGGCAAUGACUUCACAAGGACCAACCGUGAAUAAAGAGAUGGGAAGGAUAGAACCAGUUGCUCGUUGAAGACAAGGAUUUGUUGGACCAGUUCGAGUUGCUGUGACAACUGUACGUCUGGUUACGGAGGCUGAGAUUUAACUCAGAAGACCGUUGAGGGAGUCCUGGAUUAGGGGGUGUUCGGGUAGCCAGACUAUACCUUCAGCCGGACUCCUAGACUAUGAAGAUACAAGAUUGAAGACUUCGUCCCGUGUCCGGAUGGGACUUUCCUUGGCGUGGAAGGCAAGCUUGGCGAUGCGGAUAUUCAGGAUCUCCUACCAUUGUAACCGACUCCAUGUAACCCUAACCCUAUCCGGUGUCUAUAUAAACCGGAGGGUUGUAGUCCGUAGGCAAUCAACUCCAUAUACAACAAUCAUACCAUAGGCUAGCUUCUAGGGUUUAGCCUCCUUGAUCUCAUGGUAGAUCUACUCUUGUACUACCCAUAUCAUCAAUAUUAAUCAAGCAGGAGUAGGGUAUUACCUCUAUCGAGAGGGCCCGAACCUGGGUAAAAAACAUCGUGUCCCUUGUCUCCUGUUACCAUCCGGCCUUGACGCACAGUUCGGGACCCCCUACCUGAGAUCCGCCGGUUUUGACACCGACAUUGGUGCUUUCAUUGAGGGUUCCUCUGUGUCGUUGCCUUUAGGCCCGAUGGCUCCUGUGAUCAUCAACAACGAUACGGUCCAGGGUGAGACUUUUCUCCCUGGACCGAUCUUCGUCUUCGGCGGCUUCGCUCUGCGGGCCAAUUCGCUCGGUCACCUGGAGCAGAUCGAAAGCUACGCCCCUGGCCAUCAGGUCAGGUUUGGUAGCCUAAACUACACGGCUGACAUCCAUGGGGACUUGAUCUUCGACGGAUCCGAGCCACAGCCAAGCGCGCCGCGCUGUAUCGAUGGGCAUGAUAUAGCUCUGCCCCCGGACAGUGUCCUGGAGGCCGCACACGCAUCGGUUCCGACCCCUAACGCGGAGCCUAUUGCGCCAAUUGAGGAUGAGCAGUUGGACGUCACCUCGGGGGCUGUGAUCCCGAAAGCGAUCGAGCCGAACGCUAGCCCCGCACUCUGCAUGACCCGUGACUCCGAGGAUCCGGAGUCCUCCCCGGACUCCGAACCCCCCGCGCCCCUGCCAAUCGAAUCUGAUUGGGCACCGAUAAUGGAGUUCACCGCCGCAGACAUCUUUCAGCACUCGCCUUGUGGCGAUAUCCUGAACUCUCUCAAGUCUCUCUCCUUAUCAGGAGAGCCCCGGCCGAACUACGGUCAGCGAAGGUGGGAUACGGACGAUGAAGAAAUUCAAAGCCCACCCACCACCCACUUGGUAGCCACUGUCGACAAUUUAAACGACGUGCUCAACUUCGACUCCGGAGACAUCGAUAGCAUGGAUGACGAUGCAGGAGAUACAGACGAACCAACGCCCAUAGGGCAUUGGACAGCCACCUCAUCUCACGAUGUAUACAUGGUGGAUACCCCUAAAGGAAGCGACAACGAUGAAAAAGGGGAUGGGACGGGAGAUCGACCCCCCGGAAAGCAAUCAAAGCAUCAGCGUAAUCGCCGACCCAAGCCCCGCCUUGACAAAAACCCAGCCAUAGAGCAGGACGAGCCGGUAGACAAUGAGCAGGCCCUUAGAGCAACCGUCCAAACAAGGAAACACGGAUAGAGAAACCGAACAUCCCUCCUCUGGCGAAAACGGCAUUCCAGACGACCUCACACCGAAUAAACUUAUGGCGCAGAAGAAUCUCCAUGAGAGGCUCGUUGCAACUGCACGCAGCCUAAAGAAGCAGAAGCGGAAGCUAAAAACAGCGGAAGACGCACUCCGGAUUAGAUGGAGCAAAGUAAUCAAUACCACAGAUAAGUACGGCGACAGUCACCGCACUAAAAGCUAUCCGAAAAGAAAGCUACUGCCUGAAUUCGAUGAAGAGGCCCUAGAGCCCUCGCAUUCAAAAAAUGAAAAAGCCACACGGUCGGAUAGACGACCCCAUAAAGCGGCAAGCGGCGCCGCACCUAAAUCGGCAUGUGACCCACUUAAGGAUUCGCAUCAUGGCCCAGUCAGGUCCAUCUAUGGGCCAAGAAAGCAAGCUCUUGUAAGCAACGCUACGAAGCCAUCAUCAGAAUCCGGCACACCCAAAUACAGGGGCACCGCACACCCCCUAUGUUUCAUUGAUGAGGUCCUGAACUAUGAAUUCCCAGAAGGAUUCAAACCCGUAAACAUAGAGGCAUAUGAUGGAACAACAGACCCUGGAGUCUGGAUCGAGGAUUAUAUCCUCCACAUACACAUGGCUAGAGGAGAUGAUCUCCACGCCAUAAAAUAUCUUCCCCUUAAGCUUAAAGGGCCAGCCCAGCAUUGGCUUAAAAGCCUUCCCGAGAACACAAUUGGAAGCUGGGAAGAGCUCGAGGAUGCUUUCCGAGCAAACUUUCAAGGGACCUAUGUCCGCCCUCCGGAUGCAGACGAUCUUAGUCACAUAACUCAACAACCCGGAGAAUCAGCUCGGCAGUUCUGGAAUAGAUUCCUCACUAAAAAGAAUCAGAUAGUCAACUGUCCGGAUGCCGAAGCCUUAGCAGCUUUCAGGCAUAACAUCCGAGACGAAUGGCUCGCCAGACACCUCAGCCAAGAAAAGCCAAGAACAAUGGCCGCACUAACAAGCCUCAUGACCCGCUUUUGUGCAGGAGAGGACAGCUGGUUGGCAAGGUGCAACCCCAGCGACCCAAGUACAUCCGAAAGUAGGGAUGGAAACGGAAAACCGCGAUGCAACAAGGACUGUCGCUGGACUAAGGACAAAAAUCCGAAGAGGACGACAGUCAAUGCCGGAUUCAAAGGCUCGCGACGAAAUCAGGAAAAUCGCCCCCCAGGAUAACAGGGACGAACCAUCCAACCUAAAUAAAAUCCUGGACAGGAUAUGUCAGAUACACAGUACUCCCGGGAAGCCUACUAACCAUACCCACAGAUACUGUUGGGUUUUCAAACAAUCCGACAGACUCAAUGCCGAACACAAGGGGCUCGACACACCAAGCGAAGACGAGGACGAACCCCAAAAGCAGAGCACCAGGAAACAAAAGAACUUCCCACAAGAAGUAAAAAUAGUGAACUCACUUCACAUAACAAAACGUGCAGCGCCCGUAAAGGUACGCACCACACGGCCCACCCCCAAAGGGUCCUGCAACUGGUUGUCAAAACCGAUCAUCUUUGAUCAGCUAGAUUAUUCUAGGAAUAUCAAGAAUGUAGGCUGGGCUGCCUUGAUACUCGAUCCAAUAAUUGGCGGACUCCAGUUCUCAAAUGUCCUUAUGGACGGCGGCAGUGGACUAAACCUGAUAUAUCAGGAUACAAUCCAGCACAUGGGGAUAAACCCAGCAAAAAUCCACCGCAGCAAAACCUCCUUUCAAGGGGUAAUACUUGGUCCGGACACCCAUUGUACGGGUUUUCUCCGGCUCACAGUGACAUUCGGCUCUGCCGAUAACCUCUGCCGUGAAAAGCUGACCUUCCAUAUCGUCCCGUUCUCAAUUCGCUACCAAGCACUAUUGGGACGCGAAGCUUUCACUCGCUUUAACGCAAUACCGCAUUAUGCAUCUCUUACGCUUAAGAUGCCCGGUCCACGAGGCAUCAUCUCUUUGAAGGGGAAGCACUAAAGUGCGCCUCCCCAAGCGGAGGACUGUGCGGCCGCUUUGACAGCCCCACAGCAAAAUGGCCUCACUGGCCGAAAAAAACUUCGACAUAGGUCAUUCAAGACCACGAACGCGGAUAGACGAGUUCGGUGCAGAAUCAUCAUUGAUGCAGGCCUAGAAGCCAUAUACCCCCGCACUAGGGGCUCCACGCAUAUACAAUAAGAGACAAUAAAGCUCAACCUUAUAUACCUUACUUUAUACUUUACUUAUUUUAAACUUUUUUGGCACGACCCGUUUUCAACUCAGUUCCUCUCUUUUACAGAUGAACGUCGUGCGGCGCCCGUCCAGGAUACGGCACAAGGGAGACACAGGCGCAGACAUGCAGUAGGGACCCGUCCUAAAGGAUUCUUUUUAGAUUAAGACCCUGCGUAAACCUUUUUUACUGUCUCUUGUUGCUACACAUCCCCUGGUUUUUUCUUUCUGAUAUAACCAAGGAGGAGGCUGGUGUCUUGGCAUGUGGCCACGCCAGAACUUUCGCACGUACCUGGACACUAGGGGCUUUUUUAAUAAUAAAGAGUGUUGUUUCGCCCGCACUCAUAAAGACCGAACACCUUAGGGAGUGUUCGGCGUCGCGAGUUUUGGCAUUAUAUGCAUCAGCUCCGAAUCAUGUCUUUGGUCAAAUGUUGGGUUGCCCGGCUCCUGAGUUUGGCUACCUUACGUUCCGCUCUAUCAGCUAAGGUAGCACCAGGAGAACUACUGCGAUUGUGCCCCCGGUUCGGCCGGACGAGCACCUCAGUAGAGAAAGCCGAAAACUGACUAUCAUGAUAUAGCGUGAGACUGGUCAGCCACUCGAUGACCUAUCGGAAUGUAUCGGAUUCCUCUGCUUUAACGAAGGGCCGCUUCCCGGUCAGGCACAUACGCGCCCCGAAUUCGGACGAGCGCAGUUGCCACCAAGGAGCUACCUAAAGAGUCUCAUUGUCAAAAUCAUAUGGCUAAGUGAAAGUGUUAAAGCAUUAUAGUCCGGUUGCCUGGCCCGCUGUGCUAUCACCUCCUUUGUAGGACCAAGACAUUGGGUUAAGUGUGAAAAUGCGUCUUCUGCGAGCACCCCCGCACUAUGUGCGUGGGGGCUGAAGCCAACGACUGCCAUCUUUCAGAUUCUAUAUAUAUAUAUAUAUAUAUAUAUAUAUAUAUAUAUAUAUAUAUAUAUCUUAAAAACGGCCGCACAUGAGGGGUUCCCAAUACUUGGAGGCACAAAUAUAAAAAAGGCCACUACAGUUUAUCAAAAUAUUACUUUUCAAUUACAUAUGCUAUCAUAACAUAGCAUCUUUCGAGCACUGCGUCUCUAUUACACGAGCGCCUUCAAGGACUUCCUGAAAAUAGUGCUCGGAAGGUACUCGGCUUUUGUCCGAAUCUCGGGACGCAACAACGGUGGUCUCCAUCUCUGCCCAGUAUGUCUUGACACGGGCAAGAGCCAUCCUUGCGCCCUCUAUGCAUGCUGACCUCUUCAUUGCAUUAAUGCGCGGCACCGCGUCAAGGAAUUGCUGCACCAAGCUGAAAUAACUCUUCAGCUCCGAUCUCCCCGGCCACAGAUGACCCAUGACGUACUUCAUGGCGAGUCCGGACAACCUAUUCAGUUCGGCCCAUUGAGCCAAACGAUCAUCCACUGCCAGUGGACGCUCUGAAUUGUGAAACUGCGACCAGAAAAGCUUUUCCACUUCGCGAUCUUUCUGAUCUCGAAAGUGUUCGGUCGCAUCAGCGGCACUCGCUGCCAAGUCCAGAUAGGUGUCCUCCACAUUCCACAUCCGGUCCAACGGAGCAAACUUCGGAUCACAAAACUUGCUCCGCAGCAUAAAGGGCUUUCCAGCCGCAAUCUGUUCGGCCUGAUGCAGCUCCUCCUUCGCAGCUCUCAUCACAGAGCGAGCGUCCUUGGCAUCGGCAAUGGCCUUCUCUAAGUCCGUCUGUCUCGCCCGGUCUUCUUUCUCAAGAAGUUUGCAAUGGUCUGCAGCGCUCUUUAACUUCUCGGCCAUCUCGGCUAUCUCUUCUUUGCUUCGGCAGUGAGCAGCCUGUUCAGCUCUCAGCCCUUCAAGGGCCUUCUCGGCAGCCGCAUCGCUUUUUCUGGCUUGCUCCUUAGCUCGGGCAAGUUCUGCCCUAAGAUUCUCCACGGCGGUCGUACCAUCUGCGUCAAGCACACACAUUGUAAGACACUGGCAUGAAGCUCCUCUUACCUGAUGCCGCCCGAAGAAUUACAUACCUUGAGCCUCAUCAAGCCGCUUGUUGACAAGCGCGAUGUGAGCAUCUGCCACGUCCAGUUGCCGCUUUAGUUCGGCCACAUCAUUAGUUCGGCUUGAUUUCGGACACCUCGGCACCUACAUUCAAAGGCGACAUCUUAGACCUGGGAUUAUGAUCCUCUGAGCGCCGUCAUUUCUUGACAACGCGCAGAGUCUCAGGGGCUACUAUCUACACAGGGCGCAUCUUACUUAUGCGCAACUGACAAAAGUGUACAUUAUCUAACGUACCUCAAAACCCGUCAGUAAACUUUUGACGGCCUCAUGCAAUCUGCUUUCUGCGGAUGAAAUCCUUUCAAUCACCGUGCCCAUUAAUGCACGGUGCUCCUCUGAGAUUGAAGCUCACCCCAGCAGAAUCUGUAGCUCCUCCGGUCGAGCACCAGACGGUGCCGGACUUGUCCUAUGGCCUCUUUCGAAGGCCGGACGCGGAGAACCUCGGGGGGCCACACAGCCACCUUCCGCCCCUACCGGAUUUGGAGAAACCCUCCGCGACGACACCUCAGGUUCGCCCGCCUCGCUAGGCGGUACGGUAGGGGAGGCAUCCCGCUCUCCAUCAUCUCCGGAAGAAGAUCCCCUGAAGACGAGCUCUGCUAAGAAGGGCUGAGGUCCAAGCUACAAGGUAAAAUUUCGGUUAAUCUUCUCAGAUAUAAAUCAAGGAUUUCUCUCAUCCCUCAAAAGGAAAACCUCUCUCUACUUACGGCUCGCUGGAGGGCUGAUCCCCUUGAGGGCGUAGUCCAGCCAAGGAACUCCCCGGCGUCGGACCCUCUGACGAGGAUUUUCUCCCCCGUUUUGAGGCCAUGGUUUCCGGGUCGUCAGAGGCGGCUCUCUUCUUCCCCUUAGGAGAGGAAUUGUCGGUUCGUCCCUUCGGAGCAGCCUCCUUCGAGGAGGCCAUAGAUUCCUUGUCCUCCCCCUCCAAAGGCAUUAUCUCCAGCAUCCUGACGAGCAUGGGAUCCGGCCUGGUUUUAGGAAGGGGAGCCGGACACCUGAUCAGCUUUGCCUUCGCUAUCCACUCCUGUUUAAAAGGAAGGCUCUUUUAGGGGCAAGUUUAUGACAAUUAUACGGAUAGAAGGUCCAGGCACAGGGUUGCUUACUUGAGUAUUCGGGCGAUUGUAGCUUAGGCCUGCGUCCUCGGUUAAAUCCAGACACAUCUCUUGUGAUCCGAAGAACAUUCUAUACAUCUCCGCGGGCAUUGCGCCCAUAAAAUUCUGGAGAGCUCGAGGUCCCUCUGGAUUAAACUCCCACAGGCGAAGGGGGCGAUGUUUGCCGGGCAAUAUUCGGCGAAUCAGCAUGACCUGCGUCACCUUGACCAAACUGAGGUCUCCUUCUGAAAGAUCCUUAAUUCGGCCCUGUAACAGGGGCACGUCUUUGGGCAAACCCCAAUCUAAUCCUUUGUUGACCCAUGACGCUAGCCGUGAUGGGGGACCCGAGCGAAAGGCAGGAGGCGCCGCCCACUUGGCACUCCUGGGAGUGGUGAUAUAGAACCAUUCUCAUUGCCACAAGCCGAGCUCCUCUUGAAAGGAGCCCUCGGGCCAUGGAGCAUCAGCAUUCUUACUUAUGAUAGCGCCUCCGCACUCUGCGUGCCGUCCCUCGAUCAUCUUCGGCUCCAAUCCAAAAGUCUUGAGCCAUAAUCCGAAGUGAGGAGUAACACGAAGGAACGCUUCGCACACAAUGAUGAAUGAGGAAAUGUGGAGGAUGGACUCCGGAGCUAAGUCAUGAAAUUCCAGCCCGUAAUAAAACAGCAGCCCACUCACGAAGGGAUCCAUCGGGAAGCCUAACCCCUGAAGGAAGUGAGACAUGAACACUACGCUCUCGCCGGGCUGGGGACUGGGAAUAGCCUGCUUUUGAGCAGGCAACCUAUGCGGAAUUUCGGCGGUCAAGAACUUAGCCUCUCUCAACUUUAGCACGUCCUCCUCCGUGACAGAGGAGGGCAUCCAUCGGCCUUGAAGGUCGGAACCGGACAUUGUCGAAGGUCCGAAGCGCCUGGAAUCUGGGGCCUAGGGUGUUGGAACUCGAGGCGAAGGGCGAACUCAUUUGAGAUUGGCAAAAAGAGUAAGGCCCUGGUCUCUUUAUAAGAGGUCGAAUACCAGGAGCUCUCCCCGUAACCAUUUGGGACUCGCCUUUAAUCGAGAAAACAUGCUAACGGGCACGGUUGGGUUACCCACGUCCGUAUUGAUGAGAAUCCCGUAAAAGGGGGGCACACGAUCUCUGCUUCGACAAGACGUGCCAAGGAAACCGCCUCGCAAAACAUGCUGAGGUGGAAAAGUAAAAACGAUUCGAGUAAAGAACUUGGCUGUAGUGUGAUGACGCACUGCGGAAUACGUCAGCAGAUUUGAUUUGUGUUAAUAUUAUUCUCUCUAUGGCAAUAUGUGGAAGCUUAUUUUGCAGAGCCGGACACUACUCUUGGUGUUUACAAUCUUCUAUGAAGGGCUUGGAGGAGGAACCCGCCUUGCAAUGCCGAAGACAAUUUGCGCGCCGGACUCGUUGUCAUUGAAGCUUGGUUCAGGGGCUACUGAGGGAGUCCUGGAUUAGGGGGUGUUCGGGUAGCCGGACUAUACCUUCAGCCGGACUCCUGGACUAUGAAGAUACAAGAUUGAAGAUUCGUCCCGUGUCCGGAUGGGACUUUCCUUGGCGUGGAAGGCAAGCUUGGCGAUGCGGAUAUUCAGGAUCUCCUACCAUUGUAACCGACUCCAUGUAACCCUAACCCUAUCCCGUGUCUAUAUAAACCGGAGGGUUGUAGUCCGUAGGCAAUCAACUCCAUAUACAACAAUCAUACCAUAGGCUAGCUUCUAGGGUUUAGCCUCCUUGAUCUCGUGGUAGAUCUACUCUUGUACUACCCAUAUCAUCAAUAUUAAUCAAGCAGGAGUAGGGUAUUACCUCCAUCGAGAGGGCCCAAACCUGGGUAAAAAACAUCGUGUCCCUUGUCUCCUGUUACCAUCUGGCCUUGACGCACAGUUCGGGACCCCCUACCCGAGAUCUGCCGGUUUUGACACCGACAACCAUGUCUUAACCUUAUUCCCCUUGAGCUAAGGACACCCAGUCCUCGCCCAAUCACUCUGGUAAGUCUUCAAGGGAGACUUCCAAACCUUCACAGACUUCGUUCACCGGCGAUCCACAAUGACUCUUGGAUGCUCAGAAUGUGACGCCUAACCGGCUGGAGGAUUCAUAGUCCUCAAGUGUAACAAGUCUUCAUAUCACACAAACAGGAAGACUUCAGUGAUGCCUAACACUCUUUGGGUCUGGAUGUUUAGGGCUUUGUCCCCGCAAGGAUUUCUCUCUCAAAGGCUUCAAGGUGGGUUGCUCUCAAACGACAAAAGCCGUGCACUAACUCUGAGCAGCCAACCAAUUUAUGGUGUAGGGGUGGGCUAUUUAUGGCCACUAGGCAACCCGACCUGAUUUGUCCGAAAUGACCCUGGGUCACUAAGGAACUGACACGUGUUCCAACGGUCAGAUUUCAAACACACACGGCAACUUUACUUGGGCUACAAGUAAAGCUGACUCAUCCAACUCUGGAUAAGAUUUGCUCUGAUUGUCUUCGCUCGAAGACAUAGGAUUUUGGUUAAGCAUCACUUCAGUCACUCUGACUUUGUUCACUGGGACCCCACUUAACAGUACGGUGGUUCCUAUGACUCAACAAAGAAGAAAAGGAAACAACGAAACAACUAAGUCUUCGUGAUCCAUAGUCUUCACUCAAUGUCUUCUCUUGUCAUAGUCUUCAAUGUGAAUAUCUUCACAUACCACCUUUGUCUUCAAUAUCUUCAUAGAUUUUUAGGGGUCAUCUCCGGUAGGAAAACCGAAUCAUUGAGGGACUACUACCUGUGUUAUCCUGCAAUUCUCAGAAACACAUUAGUCCCUCAACCAGGUUUGUCGUCAAUACUCCAAAACCAACUAGGGGUGGCACUAGAUGCACUUACAAUCUCCCCCUUUUUGGUGAUUGAUGACAAACUGGUUGAAAAUUUCAACAGGGAUAAAAGUAUGUGAAAUUGUAAAGGAUUUAGACAUUGUCUUCGUAAGUAGCAGAAGGGCUCCCCCUGAAGAUGUGCAUAUAAAUAUGUUGCUUUUGAAUGCAAAUGCAAAUGGCAGGUUGUACUUGCGGAGCUCCUCUUCUAUUUAUGAAGACAAUUCAUCAUGCAUGAAAGGAUAUAACAAAGAUAAUGACAUGCAUAAUGAAAAAUGGACGUUUGCAAAAUGACUUCGUGCAGAAUUUACCGUCGCACAUGCGGAAUUUAUCAUCGCAUCACAUAGUGUCGAAAAAGGUAGCAGACGACCAUCAAGUUUAAGUGUUACAACUCAAAACGAACCAAAUGUUUCAAAAGCGAGAGUUGUAAGAACUUGGCAAAUGUAGCAAAAGUAAAGCAACCACCCAUAUGGACCCGCUUGAAGACUAUCAACUCAUAUGCUUCUCCCCUUUUUGUCAGUAAUGAGCAAAAAGGUUUGAAGACAUAGAGCUUCUACUCAUUCCCAUGAGGAGUAGGUGAAGCAGCAGGGUCGUCGUUAAGGUUCGGUGGUGCAGAAGAACUUGGUGCAGUGUUGACACGCGCUGAAGUUGGAGGUGGUGAAGUAGCGUCAUCUUGAUCAUCUAUGACUCUGGCAUUCAUCGUUGCUGCUUGUCAGAGUCUUCAAGUGAGGGAGUCUGAGGGAAGUGAGCAUUCCUUGAAGGAGUUGUGUCAAACUUGAAUCUCUCUGUGAAGCCAUCGUCUUGAAGAUCAGCUUCAGCACUAAGCAAUGUCAAACUCUUGCUAGACCUCCGACAGGUUUCAUGUGUAACAAAGGCAUUCUUGGUGGCAAGGUUUUGAAUGCGAUUGACGUCCACCAAGAGGCUUUGCAUCUGACGCUUAAGCCAGUCGUGAUGCUUAUCCUAUUUCUGAUGUAGAGCGACGAGAAGCUCUCGGUCAUUGAGAAAACGAGAUCGCUUCUGAGGCCUUUGGGCAAUGGUACGAGGGGCACGUGUGUUUCCAGCUAAGGGGUAAACACGAGAAAUGGCCUGCACUCCUUCAAUGGGCUGGGUGAAGCUUUGACGAUCAACAUUGUGAAGAUAAACUAGCUCCUUUGCAGGCUCUGGGUAAAUAGCUUCAACAGACAGAUCAACCUCUGGCAAGAAUACGAGAUGAUUGCACGCAGAUGGUUGAUAGUUGAAGGCAGAGUGAAGCUUGAUAAGAUGCAUUACCCAUGGAGCAUAGAACCUCAGACCAAAGAUGUCAGAGCCAGAUGCAUCCAACUGCCUGAUGAAGAAGUCUUGAGCAUUGAAGCUAAUGUCAUUGAAGAUAUAGAAAAUCAAAGUCUUCAUUGCUCCUUCAAGCUUCGCUGUAGAUGAAUGUCCUUUGACAGGCCAUAUAGUUUUCCUGAUGAUGUGAUAAAUUGUGCGGGGCAGAUACUCUAGGUCUUCGACAAAGAAUUCCAUUGGGUAUUCAGCGUCGCGUGGCAGAGGCUUCAUCAUGCUCAGCAUUUGGCUCAUGUUAGGCUCUGGCUUCUGGAAAAUGCUCUCCAAAGCAUUCUGGUGUUGCUGACAACCUGGUUCAUAAUAUUCGCCAGGAGUGGGCAGGGCUGUAAGCUCAGUGAUGUCUUGGGCUUUAGCUUCAUGAUGGAUAUCGCCCGUCAUCCACUCAAGGAUCCAAGUCUUCGGAUCCCUAUUGUAUCCAUGAAUGUGGAGGGUAGCAUAGAAUUGAAGCAGAAGUUCUUCAUUCCAGUGUUCCUUGGCAGUCACAAAGGUGAGCAGACCCGCAUCACGGAAGCAGUCAAGAGCUUCUUCAAGGCAAGGCAAUCCAGCAAUGGCUUCGUAGUCUAGAUGCAUGUGAGGGAAAAUGCGCCCCUGAUUGUAUAAGAUGCAAGAAUAGUAGCUGCGUUGUUGAUAACUCUAGAAUCGAUCCGAGGAGAUUCUUGGCCUUGUGUUAGGGUUCUUGUCACUGUCAAAGAAUGUAUUGUGUGCCUUGAAUCCAUUCAGAUUAAACGAUCCUGGUGACAUUGCACUACCUGGAAACCGUGGUAGCCUUGGCUUUGCCUUCUGGACCUAAGGCCUGUGCUCCACAUGAUAGUCAAAUUGAGGUCCGGGAGCAGGCGGAGGAACCAGAAUUGGCCAGCGGAUGGUAACAAGCUAUCCAUGAUCAUAUGCUUGCUCGAUGGUGUGUGGCCUGGGAGGUGGUACAGGAGCAGAGGCAUUGACUUCAAGCUGCAGAUUUGCAUCAGGUGCAGCAUUAGCUUCAGGUGCAGUGACAUCUGGCACCACAUUAGCUUCACGCGCCACAUUAGCUUCAGCCAUGACAAUGUUAUUGGCUUCAGUGUUGGUGGCAGCCUCAGUAUUGGUAACCUCCACGUUCUCCUCGAGAAUAACUUCAGGAUUGGAUGGGGGUGUAGCAACUCUUUCUUCAUCUCUUGGUUCUUCUUCUUGGUCAUCGGCUGAUGCAGCCGGAAUAUCUUCAGCCGUUUUGGCUUCAGAUUCAGGGAUGUUUGCAGUAGGAUAGGCUUCAGGAAAGACUUCGCGUGAAACGGAUUGGCGCUCUUCUCCUUCUGGAACACUUGACAAUGUGACAUGUGGCCUUGGUCCUUUGCGAAGCCUGCGAAAUGCUGGCGACGCCUAUGGAGAUGGAGUUGAUUGGGCCUCAAGGUCUUCAUUGUCAAUCACUGGAGUGGUGACCUGGGUUGGGGGAGUAACUGGUGUUUCUUCGCCACGAGCAGAUUCUUGAGGGUGAUCAGCCCAUGAGUCAUCCUGAGCAAUUGGCGUCAAUGGACGACCAAUGCUGAUGAGUUCGCUGUUCGUGAGAACAGGCGAUGAUACCACAUUGUGUUCGAUCUGAGGAAGGACUUCAUCAUCUUCAACAUUGUCAUGCUGACCAAUGUCUUCAGCUGCGGUGGGGUCAGCAGCUGGAAUGUCUUCAACAACUGGAGCCUCUGUGGAAGCAGGCUCAUGAACGAUCAACUGGCGCUCACGAUGUUCAGAUGUAGGACGAGCAAUAGAAAUUGGUUCGACGACAAGGGGUCUGUGGAAGCAGCCCAGUCUCUCUUCUUUGUCUUUCUUUUAUUGGUUGGCGGAGCGUCCUCAGUGGUGUGCUUGGUCUUGCGCUUGCGAGCUUCGGCUUCAGCUACCCUCGUUUUCUUGAGUUCUGAAGCCACUAUGAGGACCUUAGGUUUCGAUCCUGUCAUACUGGCCGGGAAGACAAUGCGAGCUUCUUCCUGCCUUGAUGCUUCUAGUUGGGCCACAGCUGGCUUAUUCUUCUUCUUGGCAGCCAUUCUGGGGUCGAUGCCUAGUCGCCCCAAGGCCUUGCGCUUUUUAGCUUCAUUGUAGCCUUGAACACAUUUGGCAGCAAGAUUCUUCAUGCGCUCACGAGAACCUUUUGCUUCUUCUCAUUUCUUGUGGAAUGCCUCCUUGAGCUCAUGCAUCAUGACCUUGAAGUUUUGGAUGUCUUCAACAUUGAUCUUGGCCAUGUGCUGAGCCUUUUCAUAAUCAAUCUUGUGCUUCAGCUCAACAAUCUUCUGUGCAAGAGCCAGCUCAGGAGCAAUGGCUCCUUGGAAGGAGACACUGAGGCCAAUUGGGAGCUGAAGAUCAUCAAAACUGAGAUCUGGGUUGUCAAACCACUCAUCAAUAAACUUGUACAGAAUCUCCACAUCAAAGAGGGGAAGAUCAUUGAAGAUUUCCGCCUCUUGCUUGCUCUUUAUCAAUUGCUCAAGAGCAUCAUCACCAAGAUCAUCGUCGCUAGACAGAUCAAUGGCGUCAUUCUCGUUUCUCAAAACAGCAGCAGGGGUCAAUGCUUGACCAGUUGGUUGCAUGGGCUUUUUCAACUUGUCAGACUUGGAGAUGCGAGAGAGAUCUUCAGACUGCACACUGGUUUCAGGAGGUGCAGUGGCCAGAGGCUUCGCCCGUGAGACCUUUGGUGCAGAGGAGGGCUUUGAAGCCUUUGGUUUCUUUUGCUUCACAGGCUUCGGUGGUGCAGGCGCUUCGUCAGAAUCAGCGUCAUCUGCAGAGUGAUCCACGGCUGCCCCUUGAACCUGAAUGUGAGUGAUGAGUCCUUCUAAGUUGUAGAAGGGCCCAACAAAAUUGGGUUCAGCAUCACGUGUGCCGUCGGCACGAGGAGCAGAGGGACCGAGGUUGAAGUCCAACCCUAGUGACUUCUUGUGCUCUUUGGCAGAAGUUUUGGCAAACUGGAAGUUGCGCUUAAACAAAUUAUCUUCACGACACCAUAACAGAGAGGAUGGGUCGGCAUUAGCAGGCUGUAGUCCACGAAUCAUGCAGGGGUAGAAGCCUUGAUCAAUAGCUUCGGACUUCGACUUGGGCUGAAGACCUUUGUAUAUAAUAUCUCCCCAGGGGCCCUUGAUGGCAUUCUUUUCAGCAUAUUCGUCGGUGACAAAUCUGUACUUGAACCAUUCCUCUGCCCAAUGUCUUCGAAUCCAUUGGAUUCGGUUCUUGCGUUCUCCAUAGGUCUCUUCUGGAUCUGACUUGUAUAACUCAUAGAGAUCCGGUGGCAGGUCCUUACAGUGUUUUCACGUCGCUGUUUGCCACCCUUCCUGACUGAUUUUUCUAUUGCCGUGAAGUUUAGACUGAAAGGCUUCAACACUGUCAAAGUCUUCCGUCUAUUGGUCAGACAUGAAUUGGCUUCAGGAGAAUUUAUGUGAUGCUGUAAGAACUCUGCAAAUGAAUGCAGACUAUGAGAACCAAGGGAUUCUCCCACGGACAUGUACCUAUGACAGCAUUAGAGAUGCGAGGGAAGGGGAAGAGGUCAUAUGCAUUCUUAGAAGAUUUUGAAGAUAAAUCAGUUUAGAAGACAUUCACUCAUAGUGCGAAGACAUUCACUCAUAUGUAGAGAGUUGGUUCCAGAUUUGUACGAAUCCACGAAUAAGUACAAGUGAGGAAUCUAACGACUUUGUGAAGCAUAAGUGAACAUACUAGGCAUGCUAUGAGAUGCAGAACAUGAUAGAUCCAACUUUGUAGCAACAGAAACCACUUGUGGUUGAAAAGGAUGAAUCUAUCGGAUCAAAAAGACUAUAAAAAGAGUUUUUAUUUACCACUCGAGGAACUGCUAGGCGGAGUAGGAGAUGAGGCCGAGCAGUUCGAUCUUCCGUGCCCUAACUUGGCGACGGAGGACACCUACGGCGACGACGGAGAAGACGAUGUCCGCGGCCGGCGUGAUGACGGUGUCGGUGAGGUCGCGACAGCUAAGCGCUUCGUCGCCGGCGUCGUCGAGGGCUAGCGGUGGCGCUAGGGUUUGUGCGAGGAAGAGAAGUGGAAGAAGAGAUAAUGACUGGGGUGUGGUGAGUAUUUAUAAGGACAGGGACGGCGUAGCGUUAUUACGCAGGUGCCCCUGGCGGUUCACAUCUGAAAGACACGUAGCGAUCAUGCAACACAUCGGAGGUUGUUCCACGUUCCCACGUACGCCUGGAUUGUCGGGUGGGCGUUCCUGCUUCUCCGGGUUUCAGGCAAAAGGAUUGAGCAUUUAAAACAGAUUUAAUGAUUGUCUCUAUAUCUUUUGCUGACAAGGACGCAGCGAAGACAUUCAACAGUUUUAACAUAAUGCAUAUGAUUUGGAUAGAUAGAUUUGAGAUGGGAGCAUAGAAAGGUUACGCUCCGAUCACAUUCACUUAGUUCAAAAGAUUCAACGAGAAGACAUAUCUAUAAGUGAAUGUUGUAGAGGACAGAACGCAGUCAUAUGAAUAUAUCUGAAUAAGACCAAAUCAAUAUAGUGAAGAUAAACAUGAAACUGAGUUAAUAUUGAAAACAAACCAAAUGCGAAGACUUUGCAAGUGUAACGCCAAUAGAAAAUACUCCAAACAUAAGUUUGGUGGUGGCGUUACCCACCGUAUAGGAAGUAUUAGACCCAAACACGGCACACAAUUAUCGUGGCACUCCGAAGUCAAAUUCGUGUUAAUGUAUUCACACUUAGAGUGUAAGCCUUCAUUAGUUGAAGAUAUACGUUACUUCGUGUGUUGCACAUCUAAGACAUCAACAUGCAUAAGUGUUAGGAUGUGUGCAUGAUCAUGGGACAUUUUAGGAUUCCGAGAUAUUUAGCUCGCACCGCAACUUGCAAAAUCUUUUCUCAUCCAAGGGAUUUGUGAAGAUAUCUUUCAGUUGCUCUUCAGUGUUAACAUGAAUGAUAUCAAUGUCUUCCUUCAUGACAUGAUCUCUGAGAAAGUGAUGAUGGAUUUGAAUGUGCUUUGUUUUCGAGUGCUGAACUGGGUUGUUGGCGAUCUUGAUGGCGCUUUCAUUGUCGCAGUAGAGUGGCACUUGCUUCAGAUGAUUUGAGUGUUUGCUUCAUCCAUAGAAGCUGAGCACAGCAAGAUCCAGUAGCAAUGUAUUUAGAUUCAGCAGUGGAGAGAGAUACACAGUUCUGCUUCUUUGAAGACCAACACACAAGUGAUCGUCCCAGAAAGUGACAUGUUCCUGAUGUAGACUUGCGAUCCACCUUGUCACCAGCAUAAUCAGCAUCCGAGAAUCCAACUAGAUCAAACUCUAAGCCCUUUGGAUACCAUAAUCCUAGUGUUGGGGUGUAAGCCAAAUAUCGGAGAAUUCGCUUCACAGCUAAGUGAUGCGAUUCCUUUGGUGCCGCUUGGAAUCGAGCACACAUGCAAACACUAAGCAUGAUAUAUGGCCUAGAUGCAUAUAAAUAAAGCAAAGAACCAAUCAUGGAGCGGUAUACCUUUUGAUCGAACUCUUUACCAUUGGCGUCAGAAUCCAGAUGACUCUUGGUAGGCAUUGGCGUCGUAUAAUCCUUGCAGUCUUGCAUUCCGAACUUCUUCAGGCAAUCUUUGAGGUAUUUCUCUUGAGAUAUGAAGAUGUCGUUGUGUUGCUGCCGUAUUUGAAGACCAAGGAAGAACUUCAGCUCACCCAUCAUGGACAUCUGAUAUUGCUCUUGCAUCAUAUAUCCAAACUCAUCACUGUAUUUCUGGUUAGUGCAGCUGAAGAUAAUGUCAUCCACAUAUAUUUGACACACAAACAAUUCACCAUCAUAUGUCUUCGUGAAGAGUGUGGGAUCCAGGGAACCAGGUUUGAAGCCUUUGCUCUUCAGGAAGUCUUUGAGUGUGUCAUACCAAGCACGAGGGGCUUGUUUGAGGCCAUACAGUGCCUUGUUGAUCUUGUAAACCAUGUCAGGAUGUUUUGGAUCUUCAAAGCCAGGCGGUUGUGCAACAUACACUUCUUCUUCAAUCUUGCCAUUGAGAAAGGCGCUCUUCACAUCCAUUUGAUAUAGAAGGAUGUUAUGAUGAUUUGCAUAGGCUAGCAGUAUGCGUAUAGUUUCAAGCCUACCCAUAGGAGCAAAUGUUUCAUCGAAGUCAAUUCCUUCAAUUUGAGUGUAUCCUUGAGCAACGAGACGAGCCUUGUUUCUGACAACUUUACCAUGCUCAUCUUGCUUGUUGGGAUAUAUCCAUUUAGUGCCUAUGAUAUUGUGUUUACAAGGAUCAGGAAGCUUGACCAGUUCCCAUACAUUAUUCAGCUCGAACUGUUGAAGCUCUUCUUGCAUAGCUUGAAUCCAUUCAGGUUCCAUGAAGGCUUCAUCCACUUUCAUGGGUUCAGAUAUUGAGACGAAUGCAAAGUGCCCAUAGAAAUUUGCUAGUUGUGUUGCCCUUGAACGAGUGAGUGGACUAGGUGCAUUGAUGCUAUCAAUUAUCUUCUCAAUCUGUACUUCAUUUGCAACACGAAGAUGAACUGGACGAAGAUUUUGCUCUUGCUGAUCAUUUUCAUCAUUUGAAGGAUUGUCUUCAGGCUGAGCAUAGUCUUCGGGUUGAUUAGGUGCAGAGAUGAUAAGUUCCUCUUCAGGCUGUACUUCAGACGGUAUGAUUUCUCCAGUUCCCAUAAGCUUGAUGGAUUCACUGGGUGGAAUUUCAUCAGUGAGGAGUUCAUAGGAUGUUUUCUUUAGAAGCUUGUGAAGAUAAACACGGUUGAUGACAAGGCAAGCAGUAUCAAUAGCUUCAUGCCAAAACUUUCUUGGUGUCUUGUAUUCAUCGAGCAUCGUCCGAGCCAUCUCCAUGAGUGUUUUGUUCUUGCGUUCCACAAUGCCAUUCUGUUGCGGUGUGUACGGAGCUGAGAACUCAUGAGUGAUGCCCAAUGCAUCGAGAUAAGUGUCGAGGCCGGUGUUCUUGAAUUCAGUGCCAUUGUCACUUCUGAUAUGCUUGAUCUUGACGCCAUAGUUGUUCAUGGCUCGAUUGGCGAAGCGUCUGAAAACAUCCUACACUUCAGUCUUGUAGAGGAUUAUAUGCACCCAUGUAUAUCUUGAAUAAUCAUCAACAAUGACGAAGCCAUGGAGACAAGCAGUAGUGGUAAGGGUAGAGUAGUGAGUAGGGCCGAAGAAGUCCAUGUGUAGCAGUUUGAAGGGUUGAGUCGUUGUCAUGAUUGUCUUCGAGGGAUGCUUGGCCCUUGUCAUCUUUCCAGCUUCGCAGGCACCGCAUAAGUGAUCCUUCUUGAACUUGACGCCCUCGAUGCCUAUGACGUGCUUAUUCUUCGCAAGAGUAUACAAGUUCCUCAUGCCAGCAUGCCCUAGCCUCCGAUGCCAGAGAAAACACUCUGAAGCUUUUGCAAGAAGACAUAUGGUAAGCUGUGGUCCUGCUGAGAAAUCUACCAUGUACAAAUCAUCUUUCCGAUACCCUUCAAAGACUAGAGACUUUUCAUAUUCCAUUAGAACAAGGCAACGAUAUUUUCCAAAUAUCACAAUCAUGUUCAAAUCGCAAAGCAUUGAGACAGACAUUAAGUUGAAACCAAGGGAUUCAACAAGCAUCACUUUAUCCAUGUGCUAAUCCUUUGAGAUUGCAACUCUACCUAGACCCAAUACCUUGCUUUUGCCAGUAUCAACAAAUGUGAUGUGGCUUUUGUCAGAUGGACGUAAGGUUGAGUCCAUGAGAAGACUUCGUUCGCCACUCAUGUGAUUAGUACAUCCACUAUCAAUAAUCCAUUCUGAAGCAGCUGGUGUCAUACCCUAUAAUGCAGUUAGGGGGAUAGGCUUCACGAAGAGUAUUGUGAAGCAUAAACAUUUGACGAGCAAGUGGAUUAUGAAGGCUUAGAUCGAGGUUAGGACUGAUAGGACAAAUAGCAAGCGACUCAGGAACAAAAUACAUAAUAAGACCAUUUGGGCAUUUGAUCUUGCGCCCUACAAGAUGUUUUAGGUCCCCAGCAAUAGCUUUAGACACAUUUGUUUUUCGGCUGGAAACCUUUCCCUGCAAAAGAGAAUUAAGCUUUCUUAUCCACCCACAUCUUCAAGGGUGGCUUCGAAGCAAUGAGUCUAAGUGCAGCAUCUGAGAACUUUGGCUUUGGAGCCCUAGCAAAUAGUCUUGCAGGUGGAGAAUAGUACUCAUAAGAAUAAGUAGAGUAGUUCUGGGUCUUAUGAACAUGGUGGUUUGAUGAACCACGCUCAUAUUCAUAGGCCUGAGUAUGGUUUCCCUACAAAACAUUUGCGUUAGUGCGACUCAGGUGAGUCCUCUGUCUGUAUGAAGCCUUUGGACCAUAUGAAGCAUGUGGUCUGGGGUUUGUCUUCUUCCCUUCUGGUGUCAUGACGACAUUCACAGGAAGAUUUUCCAGACACCUUUUUGGCACCCAGACUUUCUUCAUAGGUGGCCCAUUCCUGAAGUUAGUACCAAUAUACUUGGCAAACACUUCACCAUUAUGAUUCUUAAACAGUUUAUAGUUUGCAUCAAAGGAUUCAUCAAUGACGAUGGGAUUAGCACAAGUGAAGCCAUAUAGGGUAGAUGGAUCCAUUGAAGGUUCCUUUGCAGCAACCCAUGUGGUUUUGGGGUACUACUCAGGCUUCUAGUAAGAGCCAUCAGCAUUCAUUUUCCUUUCGAACCCAACACCCUCUUUCCUAGGGUUUCAGUUCAGAAUCUACCUUUUGAAGACAUCACAUAGUGUCUGAUGCCCUUUGAGACUUUUGUACAUCCCUGUUUCAAGCAAUGUCUUCAACCUAGAAUUUUCAUCAGCAAUAGUAGUGGCAUCCUCAGCAAAGGGGUUAGUUACCACAUCAACAGUUGAAGAUAUUGCAAUAGUAGCAACAGUAGAACAUCCAGCAACAGAAGUAGCAUUAUCACGCUCAAGGCAUUUAAGACAUGGUGGUCCAAAUCCUUCUUGAGCACGACUGAUCUAUUCGGCGCGAAGUGACUCGUUUUCCUUUUGAAGAUCUUCAUGAGCCACUCUCAAUUUCUCAAGUUCUUGCUUCCUUUGAAGAUAAUCAUAGGAAAGCUUUUCAUGAGUUUUUGAGAGCGUUUCAUGACGACUUUCAAGUUCCUCAUACUUAACAUGAAGAUUUUUUAUGUCUUCAAUUAAGGACUAAGAUCGAGUCAUUUCAGCGUCCAACAGGUCAUCGCUUUUGUCUAACAGUUUUUGAAUAUGUUCCAUAGCUUUCUGUUGUUUAGUUUCAAUUUUAGCAAGUGUUUUGUAGCUGGGUUUGGAAUUACAAUCAGAGUCAUCUUCACUUGAUGUUUGAAAGUAAGCAUCACAUGAGUUUACCUUGGCACCACGUGCCAUGAAGCAGUAGGUUGGAGAAGAUGGAUCGGGUUCAGGAGACAUUGUUUUAAGUGACUCCUUGAAGUCGAGGAGGAUCCUAACAUGUCCAAUGACCUUCAUAAACAUCAGAAAUCCGAUCCCAUAUAAGCUUUGCAUUGCAGAGAUGCAUGAUGCGCCUGAACUCAUCUCUGGACAGAGAGGAGCAGAUACCGUCCUUCACCUUGACAUCCAGCAGAGUGAACUUCCAAAUGUCUUCGGCAUCCGCCAUCUUGCAUAAGUCAGUGAGGCCAAUCUCCUGACCGUCCAAAGCUCACUAUCCAUUGCAAGGAGUCGCUUCCUCGUCAUAGUCUUCCAUUUGGGAUAAUCAGUGCCAUCGAAGAUAGGGCACGCAGCGGAGACUUUGAUUAUCCCUGCAGUCGACAUAGCUAAAACUCCAGGUGGUUAAAUCGAAUCACAUAGAACAAGGGAGUACCUUGCUCUGAUACCAAUUGAAAGUGCUAGUGAUCGAAUAGAGGGGGGGUGAAUAGGCGAUUUUUAUGAAAGUCUUCAAAACAUGGAAGUUUCAAAGACAAUCGAUAGAAAUGAACCUAUUAACAUGCAGCGGAACGUAGACUACACUAGGAAAGCCAUAGCCAAGUAUUCAAUGAAGUGAAAGUACAAAGACUAAUAGCAACUAGGCAGUAUGGAUCAGGAUGGAAGACGGUAUGAAGCCAAUCAGAACAAAUAGUCACAGAGUGAAGACAAAUAGAUAAUGCAAACAGGCAAUGACUUCACAAGGACGAACUAUGAAUAAAGAGAUGGGAAGGAUAGAACUAGUUGCUCGUUGAAGACAAGGAUUUGUUGGACCAGUUCCAGUUGCUGUGACAACUGUACGUCUGGUUAGGGAGGUUGAGAUUUAACUCAGAAGACUGUGUCUUCACCUUAUUCCCAUUGAGCUAAGGACACCCAGUCCUCGCCCAAUCACUCUGGUAAGUCUUCAAGAGAGACUUCCAAACCUUCACAGACUUCGUUCACCGGCAAUCCACAAUGACUCUUGGAUGCUCAGAACGCGACGCCCAACCGGCUGGAGGAUUCACAGUUGAGGGAGUCCUGGAUUAGGGGGUCUCCGGACAGCCGGACUAUCUCCAUUGGCCGGACUGUUAGACUAUGAAGAUACAAGAUUGAAGACUUCGUCUCGUGUCCGGAUGGGACUCUACUUGGCGUGGAAGGCAAGCUAGGCAAUACGGAUAUGGAUAUCUCCUCCUUUGUAACCAACCUUGUGUAACCCUAACCCUCUCCGGUGUCUAUACAAACCGAAGGGUUUUAGUCCGUAGGACAACAACCACAACAUACAAUCAUACCAUAUUCUAGCUUCUAGGGUUUAGCCUCUCUGAUCUCGUGGUAGAUCUACUCUUGUACUACCCAUAUCAUCAAUAUCAAUCAAGCAGGACGUAGGGUUUUACCUCCAUCAAGAGGGCCUGAACCUGGGUAAAACAUUGUGUCCCCUGCCUCCUAUUACCAUCCGGCCUAGACGCACAGUUCGGGACCCCCUACCCGAGAUCCACCGGUUUUGACACCGACAUUGGUGCUUUCAUUGAGAGUUCCUCUGUGUCGUCACCGUUAGGCUUGAUGGCUCCUACUAUCAUCAAUAGCGAUGUGGUCCAGGGUGAGACUUUUCUCCCCGGACAGAUCUUCGUAUUCAGCGGCUUUGCACUGCGGGCUAAUUCGCUUGGCCAUCUGGAGCAGAUUGAAAGCUACGCCCGUGGCCAUCAGGUCAGAUUUGGAAGUUUGAACUACAUGGCCGACAUCCGCAGAGACUUGAUCUUCAACGGAUUUGAGCAACAGCCGGGCACGCCGCACUGUCACGAUGGGUAUGACCUAACUCUGCCGCUGAAUAAUACCCCAGAGGCCGCGCCCGCAUCAGCUCCGACCCUUAGCUCGGAGCCAACUGCGCCAAUCGAGGACGAGUGGUUAGACACCGCCUCAGGGGCUGCAGUCUCAACGGCGAUCGAGCCGAACACCAGCCUAAUCCUCUGCGAAGCCCGUGACUCCAAGGUGCCGGACUCUUUUCUGGACUCCGAACCGUCCGCGCCCCUGCCAAUCGAAUCCGAUUGGGCGCCGAUCAUGGAAUUCACUGCCGUGGAUAUCAUUCAGCACUCGCCCUUCGACGACAUUCUGAAUUCACUAAGGUCUCUCUCUUUGUCAGGAGAGCCCUGGCCGGACUAUGGCCAACAGGAUUGGGAUGCAGACGACGGAGAAAUUCGACGCCCACCCACCACCCACUUCGUAGCCACUGUCGAUGAUUUAACCAACAUGCUCGACUUCGACUCCGAAGACAUCGACGGUAUGGAUGAUGACGCGGGAGGCAAAGAGGAACCACCGCCCACAGGGCGCUGGACGUCCACCUCAUCAUAUGACGUAUACAUGGUGGACACACCAAAAGAAGACGAUGACGAGGAACGGAAGGACGCAACGGAGGCUUGUCCCCUCGAGAAGCAGUCAAAGUGGCAGCAUAAGCGCCGCCCCAAAUCCCGCCUCGGCAGAAAUAACGAUCAUACAGACCCAGCAUUGGAGCAGGGCGAACCACCGCCGGACCACGGCAAUACGGAGAAUCAAACCAAUUCUGUCAAAGAUAAUAGUCCGGACGACAUAACGCCGGACAGGCACCCGGAGCAGCAGAAUGCCCGUCAAAGGCUUGUUGCCACUGCGAGGAGUCUGAAAAGGCAGAAGCAAAGGCUCAAGGCUGCAUAGGACACACUCCAAAUCAGACGGAGUAAAGUACUCAACACAGCAGCGAAGUACGGCGGCAAUCGCCCCACCAAGUGCUACCCAAAGCGGAAGUUGCUACCUGAAUUCGAUGAGGAGGCCUCAGACCCCCCACAACCAAAAAUUAAAAGAUCCAUCUGGCCGGAUAGACGACCUCACGGCCAACAUAAAGCGGCAAGCAACACCGCACAUAAGCCAAUACGCGGUCUACGCGAGGGCUCACAUCAAAAGGAUGGCGAAACCAGAUCCAUCUAUGGACCAUGCAAGCGUGCUCCAGCAUACGAUGCAACACAACAAACAUCCGAACAAUGCGGUACACCCAGAUAUAGGGGUGCCGCAUACCCCCUAUGUUUCACCAAUGAGGUGCUGGAUCAUGAAUUUCCAGAGGGGUUCAAACCCGUAUCAAACCCGUAAACAUAGAGGCAUACGAUGGAACAACAAACCCUGGCGUCUGGAUUGAGGACUAUAUCCUCCAUAUCCACAUGGCUCGGGGAGAUGAUCUCCUAGCCAUUAAGUAUUUACCCCUCAAACUCAAAGGGCCAGCUCGGCACUGGCUUAAGAGCCUCCCCAAAAGCUCCAUUGGAAGUUGGGAAGAGCUCGAAGAGGCCUUUCGGGCAAAUUUUCAAGGGACUUAUGUCUGACCUCCGGACGCGGAUGAUUUGAGUCAUAUAACUCAACAGCCCGGAGAGUCAGCCCGAAAGCUUUGGAACAGGUUUCUUACUAAAAAGAACCAAAUUGUCGAUUGUCCGGACGCCGAAGCCUUGGCAGCUUUUACGCAUAGCGUCCAUGACGAAUGGCUUGCCAGACACCUCGACCAAGAAAAGCCGAGAACAAGGGCAGCAUUAACAAGCCUCAUGACCCGCUUUUGCGCGGGUGAGGAUAGCUAGCUAGCCAGAUGCAGCACCAGCGACCCCAGUACAUCCGAAGUUAGAGAUGGAAACGGGAAAUCACGGUGCAACAACAACAACAAACGCGGGAUAAAGAAGACAGCACGAAGAGCACAACAGUAAACGCCGGAUUCAAAAGCUCUCGGCCAGGUCAGCAAAAGCCGCCCUCUAAAGGCGCCAGAGACGAACUGUCCAGCCUAAACAAAAUUCUAGACCAAAUAUGUCAUAUCCAUAGCACCCCUGGUAAACCCGCUAAUCAUACCCACGGAGAAUGUUGGGUCUUCAAGCAGUCCGGCAAGCUCAACGCCGUACACAAGGGGGAGGAUACACCAAGCGAAGACGAGGAUGAGCCUCUCAAGCAAGACACUAGGGAACAAAAGAAAUAUCCACCAGAAGUCAAAACAGUAAACGUGUUACACGUGAUCAAGGGGAGAAACAAAACGGCACUCCCAUAAAAAUAUGCCCAAGGGCCUAUCACCGCGGAGUCCUGCCACUGGUCGUCUCAACCGAUCACUUUCGACCGUCAUGAUUACUCAGCAAGUAUCCGGCGUGCAGGAUGGGCUGCCCUGGUAUUAGACCCAAUAAUUGACGGAUACCACUUCACACGAGUCCCGAUGGAUGGUGGCAGCAGUCUAAACCUGAUAUACCAUGAUACAAUCCGCGAAAUGGGGAUAGACCCAACGAAAAUUUGCCAUAGCAACACUACCUUUAAAGGAGUAAUGCCAGGCCCAGGGGCUCACUGCACGGGCUCCCUGCUACUAAAGGUUAUAUUCGGCUUCCCGGAUAACUCCCGUAACGAACAUUUAACCUUCCACAUUGCUCCGUUCCAAUGCGGUUAUCAAGCACUACUUGGACGCGAAGCUUUUGCUCGCUUUAAUGUAAUACCACAUUACGCUUCCCUGACGCUCAAGAUGCCCGGUCCACGCGGCAUCAUUACAGUGAACGGAAGUAUUAAGCGAUCAUUGCGCGCCAAAGGGAAUGCGACUGCCUUGGCAGCCGCACACUAAAAACGGCCUCGCCAACUAAAGUAUUUGAUAGGUCGUCAUGACCACGGACGCGGUUAGACGAGUCCGGCGUUGCUAUAUGUAAUUUAUACCGGAUUGAUGGCCACACCCCUAUUAUAAAUACAAGGCGCUCAACGCGCGUAGACAAGUGGCAAUUUCUACUCAUUUCUAGUUAUACAUGGUCUCUUUAAAAAACCACCUUUUUGCAUGACAACUUUUUCACCUAAGUUCCUCUUUUUUACAGAUGACCAUCGUGCUACACCCAUCCAGGAUACGGCACAACGGAGACACAGGCGCAGACGUGCAGCAAGGACCCGCUCCAACGAUUCUUUUUAGAUUAAGACCCUACGUAAACCUUUUUUACUGUCUCUUGUUGAUACACAUCCACCGAAUUCUCACCGCAAUUGAGAAGGAUGCUGACGUCUUGGCAUGUGGCCACGUCAGAAUAAUGCACGUACCUGGACACAAGGGGCUUCUUACAAAGGGCACUAUUUAGGCCCGGUUUAUACCAUAAAGACUGAAUAUCUUAGGGAGUGUUCGGCGUCGCGAGUUUGGCCUUAUAUGCAUCAGCUCCGAAUCAUUGUCUUUGGUCAAAUGUUGGGUUUGCCCGGCUCCUGUAUUUUGGUGCCUUACGUUCUGCUUUAUCGGCUAAGGCAGCACUAGGAGAACUACUGCGAUUGUGCCCUGGUUCCUCCGGACGAGCACCUCAGUAGAGAAAGCCGAAAACUGACUGUCAUGAUAUAGCGUGAGACUGGUCAACCACUCGAUGACCUAUCGGAAUGUUAGAAUUCCUCCGCCUUAACGAAGGGCCAUUUUCCGGCCAGGCAUGUACGCACCCCGAGAUCGGGAGAGUGCGGAGCCACCAGGGGCUAUCUAGUAGCCCCACUAUCAAACUCCUAUGGCUAAGUGAAAGUGUUAAAGAAUUAUAGUCUGGUUGCCUCGUUCGCUACGCUAUCACCUCCUUAAUAGGACCAAGACGUUGGGUUAAGUGUGAACACGCGUUUUUCGCGAGCACCUCCGCAUUAUAUGCGUGAGGGUUGAAGCCGAUGACUGCAAUCUUUUAGGUUAUACACAUGUAUACAUAAACGGCCGCACAGGAGGCAUCAUACUACUUUCGGGCAAAAGUAUAAACAUAGCCUUAUAAAAUUUCAUAAAAGCAUUAUGUUUACAAUGAGAAUACAUAUCACUCAAACAUAAUAUUCUUCGAGCACUGGGCCUCUAUCAAACGAGCACCCUCGGGAACCUCCUCGAAAUAGUGCUUGGCAGCCACUCGGCCUAUGGCCGAACCCUGCGCCGCAACAGUGGUAGCGUCCAUCUCCGCCCAGUGUGCUUUAACACGGGCAAGGGCCAUCCGCGAGCCUUCUAUGCACCCCGACCUCUUCAUCGCAUUAAUGCGCGGCACCACACCAAGGAACCGCUGCACUAAACUGAAAUAAUUGUUUGGCUUUGGCUUUUCCGGCCAUAGCUGAUCCACGACAGACCUCAUGGCGAGUCCAGACAACCGAUUUAGUUUGGCCCAUUCGGCUAGCUGGUCAGUCAAUGGAAGCAGACGCUGUGGAACGUUGAAUUGCAACCAGAAAAGCUUGUCCACUUCACGAUCUAUUUGACCUUGGAAGUAUUGGCCGCAUCGGCAGCGCUCGCCGCCAAGUCCAUAUACGCAUCUGCUGAACUCCACAGCCAAUCCAGAGGGGCAUACCGUGGAUCUCCGAACUUCCUCUAUAGCAUGACGGGCUUCCCAGCCGCAAUAUCCCCGGCUUCCCGCAACUCCUCCUUCUUCGCUCUCAUAGCAGAUCAGGUGUCUUUGUCCGCCAUCGUGGCCUUCUCAAGGUCCGUUGCCUUCGCUCGGUUUUCUUUUUCAAGGAGCCGGCAACGGGCGGCAGUGUCUUUUAAUUCUACGGCCAUCUUGGCCAUCUUCUCUUGGCUCUCGCAAUGUGCGGUCUUCUCGGCUUUCAACUCUUCGGCCGCCUUCAAAGCAGCCGCAUUACUAAUCCUCGCUUGUUCCUUGGCUCGGGCAAGUUCUGCCCGCAAGGUUUCCACGGUGGCAGCUCCAUCUGCAGUCACAACAUAUUAAAGAUACUGGCAUCAUGUUGCUCUUACUAUGUGGCGUUCACCAGAUAAUAACACUUACCACGUGCCUCGUCAAGCCUCUUGUUAACAAGCUCGAUGUCGGCGUCUGCCGCAUCCAGUUGCCGUUUUAAUUCGGCAAACUCACUAGUCCGGCUAGCCACCGGAGCUUCCACCACCUGCACAUAAGGGCAGUCUAGUUAUUGCCUGGGACUAUGAUCCUCUAUUCGCCGCCGUUCUCGACGAAAACCAGAGUCUCAGGGGCUACUAUCUACACAGGGCACACCUAACAUGUGCGGUACUAUCACAUAUUAUCUCACGUACCUCAAAGCCUGUCAGUAGACUCAUAAAGGCUUCAUGUAAUCCGCUUUCGGCAGACGAAAUUCUCUCCAUCACCGUACCCAUCAGCGUAUGGUGUUCUUCUGAGAUGGCCGCUCGCCCCACCAGCUCCCUCAGAACGUCCGACCGCACACCAGACGGUGCCGGACUCUUUUGUUUGCUCUCUUUGGGAGUCGGACACUUGGGACUUCGGGGGUCUAUGGGAUUAUCUUCUGGCCUCACCGGAUACGGAGAGGCCCUCCGUGAUGACACUUCGGGGUCGCCCGCUUCUUGAGCGGAGGAGUCCGGGGGAGGCGUUUCGCUCUCCAUCAUCUCUGUAAGAAGAUCCCCCGAAGACGAGCUCAGCUGAGAGGGGCUAAGGCCUGAACUGCAAGAUAUAUGCGGUGGUUAUUUUCUCAGAAAAAAGAUAGUAUACCUUCACUAUUAAAGUAUUUUGGAUCACUUACGACUCGUUGGAGGGCUGAUCCCCCCGUGGACUUUGUGCGGCAAAAGCACCCCCCGAGGCAGGACCCUCUGUGGGAGACUUCUUCUCCCGUUUGGAGGCCUCGGCUUCCGGAUCCUCGGAAGCAGUCCUUUUCCUCCCCCGGUUAUCCCCCUUCAUGGAGACGCUCAUUCCCUCGGUUNNNNNNNNNNNNNNNNNNNNNNNNNNNNNNNNNNNNNNNNNNNNNNNNNNNNNNNNNNNNNNNNNNNNNNNNNNNNNNNNNNNNNNNNNNNNNNNNNNNNNNNNNNNNNNNNNNNNNNNNNNNNNNNNNNNNNNNNNNNNNNNNNNNNNNNNNNNNNNNNNNNNNNNNNNNNNNNNNNNNNNNNNNNNNNNNNNNNNNNNNNNNNNNNNNNNNNNNNNNNNNNNNNNNNNNNNNNNNNNNNNNNNNNNNNNNNNNNNNNNNNNNNNNNNNNNNNNNNNNNNNCUCCGGGCAAGGUGCGAGCUCGAGCAUCUUUUCCAAUACCGGAUUUUCCAAACCCUCAGGGAGGGGGGGCAAACAUCGAAUCAUCUUCGCCUUUGUUAGCCAGUCCUGGUCAAAGAGCGAACUCUCAGAAAUAACUUCAUGAUGAAUAAAAGACAGUGUGUUCGGCUAGAGGAUUUCUUACUUGUUCGGCGGCGCAGUUACUGCUCAGGCCCACGUCCUCGGUAGUAUCCGGACACUCUAUUUGAGGUCCGAAGAAUGACUUGUACAUCUCCUCGUGCGUCAGGCCGAGGAAACUUUGAAUGGCACGCGGUCCUUCUGGGUUGAACUCCCACAAGCGAAGGGGCCGGCGUUUGCAAGGCUGGACUUGACGAACCAGCAUAACUUGUAUUACCAUGACCAAAUUAAAAUCUCCCUCGAAGAGAUCUCGAAUGCAGCUUUGAAGUAUAGGCACGUCCUUGGCUGGACCACAGCUCAGACCUCUGCUAAUCCAUGACAUUAGUUGUGGUGGGGGGCCCGAGCGGAAAGCGGGGGUAGCCGCCCACUUGGCACUUCUGGGAGCUGUGACAUAAAACCACUCCCGUUGCCAUAAUUCGGACACCUUUGGAAAGGAACCUUUCGGCCAUGGAGCUCCUGCCAUCUUGCCUAUUGAUGCACCUCCACACGCUGCAUGUUGCCCCUCGAUCAUCUUCGGCUUCACUUCAAAGGUCUUGAGCCACAGGCCGAAGUGAGGGGUAAUGCGGAGGAAGGCCUCACACACGACAAUAAAUGUCAAGAUGUGGAGAAAGGAGUCCGGAGCUACAUCAUGGAAAUCUAGCCCGUAAUACAACAUCAAACCCCUGACGAAGGGAUCCAAAGUGAGGCCUAGGCCUCGGAGGAAGUGGGAGACGAACAUGACGUUCUCGUUGGGUUUGGGAGUAGGGACGACCUGCCCUCGAGCAGGUAGCCGAUGCGAAACCUCGGCGGUCAGGCAUCUGGCCUCCCUCAACUUCUUGAUGUCCUCUUCCGUCACGGAGGAGGGCAUCCAUCAGCCUUGAAGGCUGGAUCCGGACAUGAUUGAAGAUCCGGAGCACCUAACCUGGGCUUUGUGUGUUGGAACUCGAGGCGGGGGAAGGGUUCGAUUGAGCACGAGAGGGAAAAAGCGAAAACCUUGUCCCUUUAUAAAGAGGGUGAAUAUCAAGCGUCCUCUCCGUAGCCGUUUAGGACAUGCCUAUAAUCUAGGAGUCCUAGACAUGGUUGGGUUACCCACGACCGCAUUAAUGAGAAUCCCGUAAUUGGGGGAACACGAUCUCUGCUUUGACAAGACGUGUCAAGAAACCGUCUCGCGUUAUGUGUGGAGCUGGUUGAAGAAAAAUGGUUCAAAUAAUCACCGGGCCAUGACGUAACGUCUUGCUGCCAAAACAAGUCAGCAAAUUGGAUUUGCGAAAAUAUUAUUCUCUCUACGGCGGUAUGUGGAACUUAUUUUGCAGGGUCGGACACUAUCCUCGUAUUCAAAUUCUUCUGUGAUGUAUUCGGAGAAGGAACCCGCCUUGCAACGACAAAGACAAUACUGCGCGCCGGACUCAUCAUCAUUGAAGCCUGGUUCAGGGGCUACUGAGGGAGCCCUGGAUUAGGGGGUCUCCGGACAGCCCGACUAUCUCCAUUGGCCGGAUAUUAGACUAUGAAGAUGCAAGAUUGAAGACUUCGUCUCGUGUCCAGAUGGGACUCUACUUGGCGUGGAAGGCAAGCUAGGCAAUACGGAUAUGGAUAUCUCCUCCUUCAUAACCGACCUUGUGUAACCCUAACCCUCUCCGGUGUCUAUAUAAACCGAAGGGUUUUAGUCCGUAGGACAACAACCACAACAUACAAUCAUACCAUAGGCUAGCUUCUAGGGUUUAGCCUCUCUGAUCUCGUGGUAGAUCUACUCUUGUACAACCCAUAUCAUCAAUAUCAACCAAGCAGGACAUAGGGUUUUACCUCCAUCAAGAGGGCCCGAACCUGGGUAAAACAUUGUGUCCCCUACCUCCUGUUACCAUCCGGCCUAGACGCACAGUUCGGGACCCCCUACCCGAGAUCCGCCGGUUUUGACAUCGACAACAGUCCUCAAGUGUAACAGGUCUUCAGAUCACACAAACAGGAAGACUUCAGUGAUGCCUAACACUCUUUGGCUCUGGAUGUUUAGGGCUUUGUCCUCGCAAGGAUUUCUCUCUCAAAGGCUUCGAGGUGGGUUGCUCUCAAACGACAAAAGCCGUGCACUAACUCUGAGCAGCCAACCAAUUUAUGGUGUAGGGGUGGGCUAUUUAUGGCCACUAGGCAACCCGACCUGAUUUGUCCGAAAUGACCCUAGGUCACUAAGGAACUGACACGUGUUCCAACGGUCAGAUUUCAAACACACACGGCAACUUUACUUGGGCUACAAGUAAAGCUGACUCAUCCAAGUCUGGAUAAGAUGUGCUCUCAUUGUCUUCACUCGAACACAUAGGGUUUUGGUUACGCAUCACUUCAGUCACUCUGACUUUGUUCACUGGGACCCCACUUAACAGUACGGUGGUUCCUAUGACUCAAUAAAGAAGAAAAGGAAACAACGAAACAACUAAGUCUCCGCGCUCCAUAGUCUUCACUCAAUGUCUUCUCUUGUCAUAGUCUUCAAUGUGAAUAUCUUCACAUACCACCUUUGUCUUCAAUGUCUUCAUACAUUUUUAGGGGUCAUCUCUGGUAGGAAAACCGAAUCAUUGAGGGACUACUACCUAUGUUAUCCUACAAUUCUCACAAACACAUUAGUCCCUCAACCAGGUUUGUCGUCAAUACUCCAAAACCAACUAGGGGUGGCACUAGAUGCACUUACAAGGUAAUUGAUAAAAACAAAAUUUUUGAUGCGGAAUGCUACCUAUCAUUCAUCAUGUAAUCUCUUUUGUGGCAUGAAUAUUAAGAUCCGAAUGAUUCAAAGCAAUAAUCUAGAAUUUUACAUAAAGACAUCAAUACUCGGGCAUACCAACAAACAAUGAUGCCUUUCAAAAUAUCAAUGCUAAAAAACGUUAUCCCUACAAAAUCAUAUAGCCUUGACAUGCUCCAUCUUCUUGACACAAAGUAUUUAUCAUUCACAACCCCUAUGACAAGCCGAGCAAUUGGUUCAUACCUUUUAAUGUGCUUCAGCUUUUUCAACCCCCAAGCAAUACAUGAGCGCAAGCCAUGGAUAUAGCACUAUGGGUGGAAUAGAGUACGGUGAUAGAGGUAAUAUGAAGAAGACAAAAAAGGAGAAAGUCUCACAUUGAUAAGGCUAAUCAAUGGGCUAUGGAGAUGCCCAUCAAUUGAUGCCAAUGCAAGGAGUAGCGAUUGCCAUGCAACGGAUGCACUAAGAGCUAUAAGUGUAUGGAAGCUUAAAAGAGAAAACUAAGUGGGUGUGCAUCCAACUUGCUUGCUCAUGAAGACCUUGGGCAUUUGAGGAAGCCCGUCAUUGGAAUAUACAAGCCAAGUUCUAUAAUGAAAAAUUUCCACUAGUUAUAUGAAAAUGAAAGUAUAGGAGACUCUCUAUAUGAAAAACAUGGUGCUACAUUGAAGCACAAGUGUGGAAAGGAUAUCAACAUUGCACCUUCUCUCUUUUUCUCUCAUUUUUUUCUAUUUUCUCUCUUUUUUGGGGAUCUUUUUGGUCUUUUUCUCUCACUUGGGACAAUGCUCUAAUAAUGAAUAGUGGUGAUCAUCAUACUUCUAUUUACUUGCAACUCAAAAUUAAAACUCGAUACUAGAACAAAAUAUGAGUCUAUGUGAGUGCCUCUGGCGGUGUACCAGGAUGUGCAAUGAUCCAGCGUAACAUGUAUAAAAAUAAUGAAAGGUGGCUGAUACGUCUCCAACGUAUCUAUAACUUUUUAUUGCUCCAUGCUAUUAUAUUAUCCAUCUUGGAUGUUUUAUAUGCAUUAUUAUACUAUUUUAUUUCAUUUCUUGGGACUAACCUAUUAUCCUAGUGCCCAGUGCUAGUUGCUCUUUUUUCCAUGUUUUUGUCUUUUACAGAAAAUCAAUACCAAAAGGAAUGAAACUUUUUGAUAAUUUUUCUUGGACCAGAAGACACCUAGGAAGCUUCGGGAGGAGGCCAGAAGGUCCACGGGUGAGCCACAAGCUCACCAGGCACGCCCUAGGGGGGCGCCCUAUGAGCUUGUGGGCCCCCCAUGGUUCUUCCCACCCUAAUCUCAGCUCCAUAAAUACCCAAAUAUUCCACGUAUACCAGAGGGCACACCAAAUAUACUUUUCCGCUGCCACAAGCUUCUGUCCUCGUGAGAUCCCAUCUUGGAGCAUUUUCUGGUACUCUGCCGGAGGGGGAUUCAAUCACGGAGGGCUUCUACAUCAACCUUGCUGCCCUUCCAUUUGGUACCGGUUUUUUAAAAAGCCAAAAAAACAAGCAAAAAAUAGCAACUGUCAUUGGGCGCUAGGUUAAUAGGUUAGUCCCAAAAAUAAUAAUACAUAAGUGCAUAAUAAACAUCCAAGAUUGAUACUAUAAUAGCAUGGAACAAUAAAAAAUCACAGAUACGUUGGAGACGUAUCAAUGAGCAUACGUAUGGAUCACAUCAUUAGUAGCGUCGACGGGGCAAUGCACAAAGUUCGCUAGCAUCCACGUGUAAGGAGCGUCGAUUGGGAGUCUGUCUUUAGUCUUAUCUUCAGCCUCCUCAGGAGCCAUACCAAUAAGUGCCUCCAUCUGCUGGCUCCACCCGUCAGAAUCUAUGCUCAUAGACAAAGGCUUCCCCUCAAUAGGAAGUGCAAGGAUCAUAGAAACAUCCUGAAGUGCCACGAUCAUCUCUCCGGUCCGGAGGUGGAAAGUGUGCGUCUACGGCCUCCACCGGGCCAUAAGUGCAGUGAUUACCGCAGUGUUCAGGUUUGGCGUCGACCGGCUGACAAGCUGGAUGGGCGGGAGGAGUCUUAGCAUCUCGAUGUACCGUGUGUGCUGCUCAUCGUACAUCAUAUGGCACUCGACAGGCCCUGUGAGACCGAAUCCUCAGGGGUCCAAGCUUCUACAAACAUACAAGUGAGAAUAUUAAGGCAUAUUCUACACAUUUGAAACAAUACAAAUUUAAAACAUACAAGUCCAAGAGUAUUUUUGUUACCAUUUUCUUCUCCGCCAUCAAGUAUGCUAGGUGUUCAACAUCUUAGUAAUUAUCGAGAAGCCACACCAUCUACAUUUUUGAAACAAUAAGACAUUGCACUAUGUGAGCAUGUGAGUAUCUCAUACAAAUCCCAUAAGAAAUUACUCUAUGUGGGCAUGUGAAAAAUAUUUGAAACAUGGUUUCUACACACAUGUUCCUAAUUUGAACAAAUAUUGAAAGAAAUACACAUAAGGGCCAAUUACCGUAACACACACAUGUUUAUAAUUUGAACUAAACCAACUACCAUAGUACACAUAUGUUUCUAAUUUGAACAAAACCAACUUCCAUAGUACAUUUGGUUCUAAGAAAAAUUAACCUCGUACCCCCCAAUGAAUCUACUAUAUCACUAAGCUCCCUAGGGGUAAAAGGCCUCACAAUCAAUUGAGGUGUCUGAGGGAGUCCUGGAUUAGGGGGCCUCCGGACAGCCGGAUUAUAUCCUUUGGCCGGACUGUUGGACUAUGAAGAUACAAGAUUGAAGACUUCGUCCCGUGUCCGAAUGGGACUCUACUUGGCGUGGAAGGCAAGCUAGGCAAUACGGAUAUGGAUAUCUCCUCCUUUGUAAUCGACCUUGUGUAACCCUAACCCUCUCCGGUGUCUAUAUAAACCGGUGGGUUUUAGUCCGUAGGACAACAACCACAACAUACAAUCAUACCAUAGGCUAGCUUCUAGGGUUUGGCCUCUCUGAUCUCGUGGUAGAUCUACUCUUGUACUACCCAUAUCAUCAAUAUUAAUCAAGCAGGACGUAGGUUUUUACCUCCAUCAAGAGGGCCCGAACCUGGGUAAAAUAUUGUGUCCCCUGCCUCCUGUUACCAUCUGGCCUAGACACACAGUUCAGGACCCCCUACCCGAGAUCCACCGGUUUUGACACCGACAUUGGUGCUUUCACUGAGAGUUCCUCUGUGUCAUCACCUUUAGGCCCGAUUGCCCCUCCGAUCAUCAACAACGAUGCGGUCCAGGGUGAGACCUUUCUCCCCGGACAGAUCUUCGUGUUCGGUGGCUUUACACUGCGGGCUAAUUCCCUUGGCCAUCUGGAGCAGAUUGAAAGCUACGCCCCUGGCCAUCAGGUCAGAUUUGGAAGUUUGAACUACACAAUCGACAUCCGCGGAGACUUGAUCUUCGACAGGUUCAAACCACAGCCGGGCGUGCUGUACUGUCACGAUGGGUAUGACCUAGCUCUGUCGCCGAACAGUACCCCAGAGGCCGCGCCCGCAUCAGCUUCGACCCUUAGCUCGGAGCCAACUACGCCAAUCGAGGACGGGUGGCUAGACACCGCCUCAGGAGCUGCAGCCUCAACGGCGAUCGAGCCGAACACCAGCCUAAUCCUUUGUGAAGCCCGUGACCCCAAGGUGUCGGACUCUUUUCCGGACUCCGAACUGUCCGCGCCCCUGCCAAUCGAAUUCGAUUGGGUGCCGAUCAUGGAAUUCACCGCCGCAGAUAUCUUUCAGCACUGUCGGCGACAUUCUGAAUUCACUAAAAUCUCUCUCUUUGUCAGGAGAGCCCUGGUCGGACUAUGGCCAACAGGAUCGGGAUGCGGACGACGAAGAAAUUUGACACCCACCCACCACCCACUUUGUAGCCACUAUUGAUGAUUUAACCGACAUGCUCGACUUCGACUCUGAAGACAUCGACGGUAUGGACGACGAUGUAGGAGACGAACAUGAACCAGCGCCUAUAGGGCACUGGAAAGCCACCUCGUCAUAUGACAUAUACAUGGUGGAUACACCCAAAGAAUGCAAUGGCGACGAGAUAACGGAGGAUGACCCCUCCAAGAAGCAACCCAAGCGCCGACGUCAGCGGCGCCGCUCUAAGUCCCGCCAAAGCAAAAGUGGUGAUACCAGCACAGGAGAUAAUAACACUCUGGAUAGUGCCCAAGACAACAACAAUCCCCUCCAGCAAGAUUUAGAGCAGGAGGAUGGAGGAGCAGCCCUCCCGAGAGAGCGGCAGACGGAGAGGAGGAGGAUGACAAUUACAUGCCCCCCUCCGAAGACAAGGCAAGCCUCGGCGACGAUGAAUUCGCCGUGCCAGAGGAUCCCGUCGAACAAGAGCGCUUCAAGCGCCGGCUUAUGGCCACGGCAAAUAGCCUGAAGAAAAAGCAGCAGCAGCUUCAAGCUGAUCAAGAUCUGCUAGCUGACAGAUGGACUGAAGUCCUCGCGGCCGAGGAAUAUAAACUCGAGCACCCCUCCUAGAAUUACCCAAAGUGCAGGUUGCUACCCCGAUUGGAGGAAGAAGCGUAUGAUACGGCUGAUCGGCCACCUCGUGGCCGCGAUAGACAGGCAUUCCAGCCAAAAACUCAGCCUCCACCCUGACGCCAUUCAAAUAAAAAGGCAUGGGGAGAUACGCCAGACAUGCGAGACAUAUUGGAGGACAAAGCAAAGCAUGCAAGAUCGAUCUACGGAUCACGAGGGCGCACAACUCUACGGGACGAUAAACGUCAUGCCGGAUACAGUAAAAGCAAAUCCGUCUGGGCCGAACACAGCGGGCAAGACCCAUUCGAGCUGCGUCGCGAUAUAGCCCAAUACAGAGGCGCCGCACACCCCUUAUGCUUCACAGACGAAGUAAUGGAUCAUCAAUUCCCAGAAGGUUUCAAACCUGUCAAUAUUGAAUCAUACGACGGCACAACAGAUCCCGCAGUAUGGAUUGAGGAUUUCCUCCUCCACAUCAACAUGGCUCGCGGUGAUGACUUACACGCCAUCAAAUACCUCCCACUAAAGCUCAAAGGACCAGCGCGACAUUGGCUUAACAGCUUUCCAGCGGACUCCAUUAGCUGUUGGGAAGAUCUGGAAGCCGGAUUCCUCGACAACUUUCAGGGCACUUACGUGCGACCACCAGACGCCAAUGACUUGAGCCACAUAAUUUAGCAGCCAGAAGAGUCGGUCGGGCAAUUCUGGACUCGGUUCUUUACAAAGAAAAAUCAAAUUGUCGAUUGUCCAGAUGCAGAGGCCUUAGCGGCUUUCAGACACAACAUCCGAGACGAGUGGCUAGCCCGGCACCUUGGUCAGGAAAAGCCGAAAUCUAUGGCAGCUCUCACGACGCUCAUGACCCGUUUUUGUUCGGGAGAAGACAGCUGGCUGGCUCGCAGUAAUAACAUAUCAAAGAACCAUGGUACCUCCGAUACCAAGGACGGCAAUAGCAGGUCACGUCACAACAAACAUAAGCGCCGCAUUAACAACAAAAAUACCAAGGAUAUGGCAGUCAAUGCCGGAUUCAAAGGCUCUAGACCCGGUCAGUGGAAAAAGGCAUUCAAACAAAGUAUGCCGGGUCUGUCCAGCUUGGACCGUAUACUCGAUCGCUCGUGUCAAAUACACGGCACCCCAGACAAGCCAGCCAAUCACACCAACAUGGAUUGUUGGGUGUUCAAGCAGGCCGGCAAGUUAAUUGCCGAAAACAAGGACAAGGGGCGGCAUAGCGAUGACGGGCAGGAGCCCCGGCAGCCGCACACCGGAGGACAGAAGAGGUUUCCCCUGCAAGUGCGGACGGUGAACAUGAUAUACGCAACCCACAUCCCCAAGAGGGAGCGGAAGCGUGCGCUCAGGGAUGUAUAUGCGUUGGAGCCAGUCGCCCCAAAGUUCAACCCUUGGUCCUCCUGUCCGAUCACCUUCGAUCGCAGGGACCACCCCACUAGUAUCCGUCAUGGCGGAUUCGCCGCACUGGUCCUAGACCCAAUCAUUGAUGGAUUUCUCCUCACUCGAGUCCUUAUGGAUGGCGGCAGCAGCCUGAACCUGCUUUAUCAGGACACAGUGCGCAAAAUGGGUAUAGACCCCUCAAGGAUCAAACCCACAAAAACGACCUUUAAAGGCGUCAUUCCAGGUGUAGAGGCCCAUUGCACAGGCUCAAUUACACUGGAAGUGGUCUUCGGAUCCCCGGAUAACUUCCGAAGUGAAGAGUUAAUCUUCGAUAUAGUCCCGUUCUGCAGUGGUUAUCACGCGCUGCUCGGGCGAACCGCAUUUGCUAGAUUCAACGUGGUACCGCAUUAUGCAUACCUCAAGCUCAAGAUGCUAGGACCUCGCGGAGUUAUUACAGUCAAUGGAAACACAGAGCGCUCUCUCCGAACAGAGGAGCACACCGCGGCCCUCGCAGCAGAAGCGCAAAGCAGCCUCUCAAGGCAAUCGACCAGUUCGGUGCUUCAAAGCCCGGACACCUUCAAGCACGCUCGGAGCAAUCGGCAAAUAGACCUCCUGGCACGAUCUGAGCUCGCGUAGCAAUACGGCGGCUACCGCAAUCCCAGCCCAACGGCAAAACUCGUGUCGCGCGUACAUAAUUACGCAUUAAAAAUACCAUGAACACAAGUGGGGAGGGGGGCACAACCGGGGCACGCCCCAAGACGCGGCUUAAACCACACUAGGGGCUUCCCGUUUGGUUAUUUUUCUUUUUUUAGGACAUUAAUCUCUGGAAACACUGUCCGGCAGCACUAUUGCCGAACACAUGAUGCAGCAACUAAGGAGGCAGACAACUACGUCAUACCACAGAAUCCCAGAUGGAUUUAAGUAACGAGCGAACUAUUUGAUUUAAUAUCAUUCCUCAGCUUGCCUUUGGAAGGGACAUAGUCCUACUCUUUGCUUAUCACACUAUCUGUAUCACUCUGCUUUAACGCAAUUUUUUUAAAACAAUGCAUGACAUUACGACUAUUAUUGCAUUCUUGUUAUAUAUAUAUAUGUGUGUAUAUAUAUAUAUAUAUGUGUGUGUGUGUGUGUGUGUGUGUGUGUGUGUGUGUGUGUGUUCAUUAAUGACGCCUUGCAACCGUACACUUUGGUACGGACAAUACACCAGGGGCUUACGUACCCCACAAUAUGGUGUGAAAAGUCCGAACACUUUCACAAGUGCGGCACCCCGAACUUAUAACAUUAUAUGCAUCAGCUCCGAAUCAUGUUUUUGGUCAAAUGUUGGGUUUGCCUGGCUCCUAUGUUUUGGUACCUUACGUUCCGCUCUAUCGGCUAAGGUAGCGCUAGGAGAACUACUGCGAUUGUGCCCCGGUUCUGCUGGGUUCAACACCUCAGUAGAGAAAGCUAAAAUUGACUGUCAUGAUAAGGCGAGACACUAGUCGCUGUUCGGCGAGGUUUUCGAGUCCCUAAAGACUUAUGCCGCUUAGAGCGAGGGGUCGGCCCUGUCCGACUUAAAGGCGUGUAUCGCGCCCCAAAUUUGGCCUUCUGAAUACCAGGGGCUUCGCCGAAAUUUAAAAUUAUAUAAUUCUAUGGCUAAGUGAGAGUGAUAAAGCAUUAUUAGUCCGGUUGCCUUGUUCGCUGUGUUGAGCACCUCCCUCGAAGGACCCAAACAUGGGAACAAGAGUGCUCAGGUUUAUCCCGAACAGCCCAGCACUCGUGGCAUGGGGGCAGAAGCCGAGGACUAGCCAUCUCUCAGAUUGAUAAACAGCCAAACAGAAGGUAAUAUUUUAAAUUCAAACAAGCGUUGCAUAGCGCAUACGGAACAAGUUUUCAUAAAUACAGGAUAAAACGAGCAAGUCUCACUCAAAUAUUACAUCUUUUGAACACUCAUCCUCUAUGAGACGGGCACCCGGCAGAACACCCUUGUAGUACAUCUCAGGGUGGCGGUGCUCCUUGCCCUCCGGCGGCCCCUCCUUGAUCAGCUUCACGGUGUCUAGCUUGACCCACUGCAAUUUGACACGGGCCAAAGCCCGGCGUGCACCCUCAAUGCAGACAGAUCGCUUGACGACCUCCAGCCGCGGGUAGGCAUCCACAAGCCGCCUCACCAGGCCGAAGAAGCUGUUCGGAAGGGCAUCGCCAGGCCACAGCCAAACUAUAAAGCCCUUCAUGGCCUGAUCGGCCGCCUUAUGUAGCUCGACCAUCUGCUUCAGCUGGUCGCUCAUUGGCACCGGGUGUUCGGUCUCAGCAUACUGAGACCAGAACAGCUUCUCCGUGAAGCUUCCAUCCUUGGCCUGGUAAAAUUGUGCGGCAUCCGACACGCUGCGGGGCAAAUCUUCGAAUGCUCCUGGAGAGCUCCGGAUUCGGGCAAGUAAUCGGUAAUUUACUUUUCAUGCUUGCUUUGCAUAUAGAAAGCCUUACCCGCCGCUAUCUUCUUCAUUGCUUCGAUCUCCUGGAGGGCCCUUUGGGCUUCGGCCUUGGCACUUUUUGCACUCUCGAGGGCCGCGGCAAGCUCAGACUCCCGCGUCUUUGAGUCAAGCUCCAACGCCCCGUGCUUCGCCACGAGAGCCUGGAGCUCUUGCUGCACCUCGCCCACCCGAGCCUCAUGCUUUUCUCACUCGGUGCGCUCCUUGGCCGCGUUAUCUUCGGCCUUGGUUAGCGCUUACUUCAGGGUCGCCACCUCGGUCGUGGCCCCUGGCGAAUAUACGAUGAUCCUGUCAUUUUGCAAUCGCAUCUUCUUUUAUAUAUGCAUAUCUAUAGACAGGGUAUUACUUACCAUUGUUCUCCUUGAGCUGCCUCUUGGCAAGGCCGAGCUCUUUCCUGGACCCCUCGAGGUCCUACUUUAGUACGGUGACCUCCGCAGUCGGUGCGGCGGACGCCAGCAGCGAAGCCUGCAUAUGCAUAUUGACAUACUUAUAUUAGACUCCUGCAAUAUUAUUUGAUCCUCUUUUCGGCUUUUCUUUGUGAACACCGAACAAAGCAUCGGAGGCUACUGUCUAUGCGGUAAUAUUUCUACUACAUUUUAAAACACUUACCUCGAAGCCUGUUAGAAGGCUGGCACAGGCUUCAGUCAACCCACUCUUGGCGUACUAAACCUUCUGGACCACCGCACUCAUAACAGUACAGUGCUCCUCGUCGGUGGAAGCGCUGCGAAGCGCUUCCAACAGAUUGUCCGGCGCCUCUAGAUGGACAGAGGUCACCGGCACAGGCGUCUUGCCCCUCUUAGAAGGAGGCUGCAUGCCCGAGCCUGGAACCGCUGGAGGUUCCGGCGUGGUGUUCGGCUGAGGGCCGAACUCGGAGCUCUCAGGGGCCCCGUCCCCUCGGCUCCCGAAGUCCGGAAGGUCGCCUUGAGGCACCUCCGGGACUGUCUCCCCUCGGUCCGGUGCCUCUUGAGACAGCACCUCGGCAUCGUCGGCAGGAUGAGGGGAGGUGGCGGUCGGGACUGGAUCACUAUCCAUGUCCGACGAGCCCAGGGAGUCGUCCGAUGAUACAUCGAUACUGGCUCGUGGCGGCCUGCAUAAUUAUGUUCGGCGUUAGGGAAAACAGUGCGACAAAGGAAUUCUAUGAGUUACUCUGGUAUCCGAAUACUUACGAUCUCCCCGGCGGCUUGGCCCUGGGCAACCACUCGUCUUCGCUUUCGUCGGCGGCGGUGGAACUGUCCGGAAGGAGAGUCCUUCCCUUCUUGGACCCUUCGCCCCCCCCCCAGUUGGGGCGGCCUUCCUUUUCUUAUCUCCCCCAGCCGGUGGGGGAGCAUCUUCUUCUUCUUCCUUGUAUUCGGGGGAAGAGUGCGCCGCAGAGUCAUCGGACGGUGAGUCCGACGAUGCCUGGCGUCGGGAACUCUUUCAGGUUCCCUUGGCCUUCUUGGUCUUCUCCGGCACCGUAUAAGGGGCCGGAGUCAGCAUCUUCGCCAGAAGAGCGUCUGCGGGGCCUUCAGGCAAAGGAGCCGGACAGUCGAUCUGUCCGACCGUCUCCUGCUAGUCCUGUCAAAGGUACAGGAGUUUAGAUCCCGCAUGGAUUCAAUCUAUAGAAAAUAAGUAUUCUGUGAAAGGUAAAGCAGCUUACCGCACUGGCUUGGCGCUUCGCGCUGAAUCCGCGAUUCUCGGUAAUAGGAGGUGGGACCUCGGCGCUUUUGAACAACACCCUCCAGGCAUCUUCGUGAGUCGUGUCGAAGAGCCUGUUCAGAGUUCGGUGUUGCGCCAGGUCGAACUCCCACAAGUUGAACUCCCGUUGUUGGCACGGGAGGAUCCGGCGGUGGAGCAUGACCUGGACCACGUUGACAAGUUUGAGCUUCUUGUUCACCAUGUUUUGAAUACAUGUUUGGAGUCCGGUCAGCUCUCCCAAACUACCCCAGGACAGGCCCUUCUCUUUCCAGGAAGUGAGCCGCAUGGGGAUGCCAGAUCGGAACUCGGGGGGCCGCUGCCCAUGCAGGGUCGCGCGGCUCGGUGAUGUAGAACCACCCCGAUUGCCACCCCUUUAUGGUUUCCACAAAGGAGCCCUCGAGCCAUGUUACGUUGGGCAUCUUGCCCACCAUGGCACCUCCGCACUCCGCCUGGCGCCCGCCCACAACCUUCGGCUUGACAUUGAAGGUCUUCAUGUUGGAAAUAUGCCCUAGAGGCAAUAAUAAAUUAGUUAUUAUUAUAUUUCCUUGUUCAUGAUAAUCGUUUAUUAUCCAUGCUAGAAUUGUAUUGAUAGGAAACUCAGAUACAUGUGUGGAUACAUAGACAACACCAUGUCCCUAGCAAGCCUCUAGUUGACUAGCUCGUUGAUCAAUAGAUGGUUACGGUUUCCUGACCAUGGACAUUGGAUGUCGUUGAUAACGGGAUCACAUCAUUAGGAGAAUGAUGUGAUGGACAAGACCCAAUCCUAAGCAUAGCACUAGAUCGUGUAGUUCGUAUGCUAAAGCUUUUCUAAUGUCAAGUAUCAUUUCCUUAGACCAUGAGAUUGUGCAACUCCCGGAUACCGUAGGAGUGCUUUGGGUGUGCCAAACGUCACAACGUAACUGGGUGGCUAUAAAGGUACACUACUGGUAUCUCCGAAUGUGUCUGUUGGGUUGGCACGAAUCGAGACUGGGAUUUGUCACUCCGUGUGACGGAGAAGUGUCUCUGGGCCCACUCGGUAGGACAUCAUCAUAAUGUGCACAAUGUGAUCAAGGAGUUGAUCACAGGAUGAUGUGUUACGGAACGAGUAAAGAGACUUGCCGGUAACGAGAUUGAACAAGGUAUCGGGAUGCCGACGAUCGAAUCUCGGGCAAGUAUCGUACCGAUAGACAAAGGGAAUUGUAUACGGGAUUGAUUAAGUCCUUGACAUCGUGGUUCAUCUGAUGAGAUCAUCGUGGAACAUGUGGGAGCCAACAUGGGUAUCCAGAUCCCGCUGUUGGUUAUUGACCGGAGAGUCGUCUCGGUCAUGUCUGCAUGUCUCCCGAACCCGUAGGGUCUACACACUUAAGGUUCGGUGACGCUAGCGUUAUGAGAUAUUAGUAUGCGGUAACCCAAAAGUUGUUCGGAGUCCCGGAUGAGAUCCCGGACGUCACGAGGAGUUUCGGAAUGGUCCGGAGGUAAAGAAUUAUAUAUAGGAAGUACUAUUUCGGCCAUCGGGACAAGUUUCGGGGUCACCAGUAUUGUACUGGGACCACCAGAAGGGUCCCGGGGGUCCACCGGGUGGGGCCACCUGCCCCGGGGGGCCACAUGGGCUGUAGGGGGUGCGCCUUGGCCUAUAUGGGCCAAAGGCACCAGCCCCAAGAGGCCCAUGCGCCCAGAGAAGAGGAAAAGGAAGAGUCCUAAGGGGGGAAGGCACCUCCGAGGUGCCUUGGGGAGGAGGGACUCCNNNNNNNNNNNNNNNNNNNNNNNNNNNNNNNNNNNNNNNNNNNNNNNNNNNNNNNNNNNNNNNNNNNNNNNNNNNNNNNNNNNNNNNNNNNNNNNNNNNNNNNNNNNNNNNNNNNNNNNNNNNNNNNNNNNNNNNNNNNNNNNNNNNNNNNNNNNNNNNNNNNNNNNNNNNNNNNNNNNNNNNNNNNNNNNNNNNNNNNNNNNNNNNNNNNNNNNNNNNNNNNNNNNNNNNNNNNNNNNNNNNNNNNNNNNNNNNNNNNNNNNNNNNNNNNNNNNNNNNNNNNNNNNNNNNNNNNNNNNNNNNNNGCCCCUCUCCCUUGGCCCUAUAUAUAGUGGGGGAAAGGGAGGGCAAUCUAACCUAAGCCCUGGCGCCUCCCUCUCCCUCCCAUGACACAUCUCUCUCCUCCCGCAGCGCUUGGCGAAGCCCUGUUGGAAUCCCGCUACUUCCACCACCACACCGUCGUGUUGCUGGAUCUUCAUCAACCUCUCCUUCCCCCUUGCUGGAUCAAGAAGGAGGAGACGUCGCUGCUCCGUACGUGUGUUGAACGCGGAGGUGCCGUCCGUUCGGCGCUAGGAUCAUCGAUGAUUUGGAUCACGACGAGUACGACUCCAUCAACCCCGUUCUCUUGAACGCUUCCGCGCGCGAUCUACAAGGGUAUGUAGAUCCACUCCUCCCUCGUUGCUAGAUGACUCCAUAGAUAGAUCUUGGUGACACGUAGGAAAAUUUUGAAUUUCUGCUACGUUCCCCAACACUUCAACCAUAAGCCGAAGUGGGGCUUGAUGCGGAGGAAGGCCUCGCACACGAAGAUAAACGCCGAGAUGUUGAGGAUGAAGUUCGGGGCCAGAUCGUGGAAAUCCAGGCCGUAAUAGAACAUGAGACCCCGGACGAACGGAUGGAGAGGGAAUCCCAGUCCGCGGAGGAAAUGGGUGAGGAACACUACCCUCUCAUAGGGCCUAGGGGUGGGGAUGAGCUGCUCCUCAUCUGGGAGCCGGUGCGCGAUGUCGUCGGGCAGGUAUCCGGCUCUCCUCAGCUUCUUGAUGUCUCCAUCCGUGACAGAGGAGACCAUCCACCUGCCUCCCGCUCCGGACAUGGUUGGAGAAGGUGGAGGUGGGAAGUGCGGACUUGGGCGCUAGAGCUCGAGUGUGCGAAAAAGGGUGAGCAAAGGAGGAAGAAGGCGUGGAUAGAAAGGCGAAUCCUUAUCCCUUUAUAUGGGCGGACGAAACUAAGCGUCCCCACUUGCCUGCUAAAACCCGCUCAUCCCCCAAGCGCCGUAAUCGAUGGCGCGGUUGGGUUACCCACGCCCGUAUUGAUGAGAAUCCCGUAAUAAGGGGACACGAUCUCUGCUUUGACAAGACGUGUCGAAAAACUGCCUCGCAUUAUGUGCAGGGCUAGUUAAAGGAAACGGUUCGAAUAAUCACCGGGCCAUGACAUGACGUCAUACUGUCAAAAAAAGUCAGCAAAUUAGAUUUGCAGAAAUAUUAUUCUCUCUACGGAAGUAUGUGGAACUUAUGUUGCAGGGUCGGACACUAUCCUCGUAUUCAAAUUCUUCUGCGAUGUAUUCGGAGGAGGAACCCGCCUUGCAAUGCCGAAGACAAUACUGCACGUCAGACUCAUCGUCAUUGAAGCCUGGUUCAGGGGCUACUGAGGGAGUCUUGGAUUAGGGGGUCUCCGGACAGCCGGAUUAUAUCCUUUGGCCGGACUGUUGGACUAUGAAAAUACAAGAUUGAAGACUUCGUCUCGUGUCCGGGACUUGGCGUGGAAGGCAAGCUAGGCAAUACGGAUAUGGAUAUCUCCUUCUUUGUAACCGCCCUGGUGUAACCCUAACCCUCUCCGGUGUCUAUAUAAACCGGAGGGUUUUAGUCCGUAGGACAACAACCACAACAUACAAUCAUACCAUAGGCUAGCUUCUAGGGUUUGGCCUCUCUGAUCUCGUGGUAGAUCUACUCUUGUACUACCCAUAUCAUCAAUAUUAAUCAAGCAGGACGUAGAGUUUUACCUCCAUCAAGAGGGCCCGAACCUGGGUAAAACAUCGUGUCCCCUGCCUCCUGUUACCAUCUGGCCUAGACGCACAGUUCGGGACCCCCUACCCGAGAUCCGCCGGUUUUGACACCGACAGUGUCCAAUUGAAAUUGGGUCACCCGAUUUUGACCAAGUCAACAAUUCCACAAAGCUCUCAUCCAAUUCUUUUAUACUAUACACCAUGCUUCCUAAUUUUUAAGUCUUCACAAUUAAUUGAGCUCAUCAGUUUAGAACUUGAUGACCUAAUUUUGACCGGGUCAAUAAUUUCUCAAGGAGCUCUCUCAUUUAAUUAUUAUAAUUAAUCAUAUUCCCUAAUUUUGAAGCUCUUUUAUUUGAUUGACAUAUUCGAUUUUGAAUUUGGUUUAUGAUUUUGAUCGGGCCCACAGUUUUUCAAAUCAAUCAACAGCAACCGGCUAGAAAAACAUAUCAACCACAGAUACUAUAGCACUAAUAUAGUACAUAUAGCCACCGAUGCAGAAAUUUACUCACAAAAGUUUGAGUUGAUUAGUGCAUAACACAAAAUCACACUAUGAAAGGCCCACAAAUAAUCGCAUUAUAAAUAAACAUAAAACACACACCAUCGUCUCCCCCAUUCGCCCAACUAAAUAUGCCAUCAGUUCCAAAAUAUAAGGGGUAUUAGUUCUUUGAAAAGUCAAAUUUCUUUAACUUUGAGCAAGUUUAGAGCCAAAAAUAUCGACAUCCACAAUAUUAAGCGAAGAAAUUAUGGAAAUUUAUUUCCUGAUGAAUCUAAUAUAACAUCAAUUUGAUAUUCUUCAUAGAUUUGAUCAAACUUAAAGAUGUUGGACUUUUCAAAAAAAAAGUAAUACACCUUAUAUUUUAAAACAAAAUUGAGUAUUUUUUUUAAGAAUCUCAACAACACCAAUGGCACAGCAAAGCGCGCCCAACCCUUCUGGUACUAUGCCAAUGCUAAUGCUACACAUCAAACAAUCAUGCCAUUGUUCCAUAACAAUUUAAAAAUAUAAUAGGACUUAUGGUCUCACCGAAACUUGCACAAUGGGGACAAAUGUGAUGGAUUUUUCAGAUGAAAGCAAGGGGAUCGGAGGAGAAUACCUUGGGGGAUAUUUGUAGGAUCAAAUGCCCAGCAAAUUCCUUCAAAUUGGGUCGAUUUGGGAUAGGGGUAGGAGAGGGCGCACGAACCCUAGCCGCGAGCCCAUUCUGUGUUCAUGAGAAUGAGAAAAUGAGGACUAGGUCGGGCCGUGGGCCGUCCGCCGUGCCUUAACCAUAACAGGAGCAUAGCGCCUAAGAGAAAGACAUUAUCCUCCACAGUAUAGCGCCUAUGGGGUGGGUGCUGCUUAACCAGGGUGGGGCCCGGCCCGGCUCUGGGGAAGCCACGCUGAUAAGGCGUAUACUCCUGACAGACGGGCGCUACGAUGUAUAGUAAUAGCGCCCACGCGUUUUGGGCGUUACCCGAAAAGGUUAGCUUGGGAGAAAUAGUUUUGCCGAUAAUUUAUUUUUCGAAUACCUUUGGCCUUUGGGUUAUCUACUUAUUUUUGUCCAUUUUGCGGGCCCAUGGAUCGAUGGAAGGGGAGGCAGAGGCAAAGCUGCGGAACCAUGCGGUCAAUCUGGGGCCCUCCCCUGCAGGACCAAAUCUCAUGGACACAUCAACACUCCUCUCUCUCUCUCUCCCCCCUUGCUGCAUGCGUGCCUACGCUAUACCACUGUUCCGAAGAAGAUCCCUUAGGCAAAGGCUUUGCCAAAGGACGACGAAAGAGGCAGAAAACAAAAACAGACGCCGGAGCCGCUGCUGCUGCUGCAGGCUUCCUUUCUUGCGGCGAGGGUACAGCACUCGGUUCCUUUCCCUGUGGUUUGACCCACCAGCGGCCCUCCUUUGCUCGCUUUAUUAGUCUUUACUCUUUACACCCCCUAAAACACGCUCGAACUCAAAUCAAACCUACUACUACUAUAGUAGCAGGAGCAGACCUUUUCUUUCCAUCAGCGAUGAACAUACUAAGAGGCUUUUCGGUGGUUAGAUCUUGAUCAACUCUGCCCUUGCUUUAGACCCUGCAUGCACUGUCACAAAGUCACAANNNNNNNNNNNNNNNNNNNNNNNNNNNNNNNNNNNNNNNNNNNNNNNNNNNNNNNNNNNNNNNNNNNNNNNNNNNNNNNNNNNNNNNNNNNNNNNNNNNNNNNNNNNNNNNNNNNNNNNNNNNNNNNNNNNNNNNNNNNNNNNNNNNNNNNNNNNNNNNNNNNNNNNNNNNNNNNNNNNNNNNNNNNNNNNNNNNNNNNNNNNNNNNNNNNNNNNNNNNNNNNNNNNNNNNNNNNNNNNNNNNNNNNNNNNNNNNNNNNNNNNNNNNNNNNNNNNNNNNNNNNNNNNNNNNNNNNNNNNNNNNNNNNNNNNNNNNNNNNNNNNNNNNNNNNNNNNNNNNNNNNNNNNNNNNNNNNNNNNNNNNNNNNNNNNNNNNNNNNNNNNNNNNNNNNNNNNNNNNNNNNNNNNNNNNNNNNNNNNNNNNNNNNNNNNNNNNNNNNNNNNNNNNNNNNNNNNNNNNNNNNNNCUCUCUCUCACAAUGGCCAGGGAGGGAGGAGCGAUCUCCACAGUGGCAGCUUGGGGGGUGGCGAUCCUUUCUGCGUCAACAAAAGUGGAAAAGGGCGCAAGAACCGAGGAGGAGAGGGAGGGGGAGGGUGCGCGGCGGGUUCGACGCACUGAUGCACAUGCAAAAGCCUAACCUUUGGAAGUUACAAUGGCAGGCCGGUUCUUCCUUUACAAAACAUCCAGGCUACGGUGGCCGCUUUGUCGCAGCAAUGAUGCUGCCCUCUGUCUGCUUCGGUUUCCAGCCUAGGAAGAACAUCGAUCGUGGUCAAAGCAAAACAAACACCGCUGGGCGAUGCUGCUGCUGCUGUAGUCGGAGUGCAGGUGUCGAAUGGACAAUGCAGUACGUAGAACCGUUUCUUUCCAAACAGAGAACUCCGUUUCUUACCGGCAGCCCGUGACAAGUUUUAUCAGAUUUGAAACAUUUUAGACACAAUUUACCUAGUUUCGCACUUUAUUAUAGCCCUAAAACAGAAAAUUAUAGCCCUAAAACAGAAAAUAUCCCCGUGGACACACAGUUUUAGGGCUAAACCGCGGCACGCCGCAAAUCAGGCGAACGAAUCGGCCGCCACACUCUACGCUAGAAACGUGUGGCCCGAUAGCAUGACGUGUAGUAGGACUGCGGCGGCAACCAAUGGCAUCUUUUAUUUGGCAUGCCACGUCUGCGGCUAGGCAGCCGUAGGCAUCAUCCAAACACAGCCUUAGUGAAAAAUGGUGAAAACCAAGUGAUAGUCAUGUUUCUGAAAUUUGACUCAAACUUGAUUUUUGUUGAAUAUUCUCUUGCCCUAGAGAGGGCGCGAUGCUAACACAUGCGAACAACACCCCACUCGCUGGCUCGUCACGCGCGGCUUCUACUCCAAAAGUGAAGAGGUGAGAGUAAUUGCAACAUAUGCAAACAAUACGUUACCACUAAGUCCACCACAACACCGAUGACACCCUUGUCCGCCAAAAAAAACGAAAACAAGGAUGACACCCUCAUCUUCUUAAGGCUUCGAUAAUCACAAUUAUCGGAGAUAGCCUUAAGAGGUUGUUUGCCACAUCAAACAUAAAUAAACAAUCGUUGUAUAACCUCUGAGGUGUGUGUGUUUGUGUGUGUGUGAGAGAGAGAGAGAGAGUAAAAUUAUAUACUCUCUAUCUCUUUUUCGAUAAUUGAGCCAGUCCGUUAAGAUAUUUGUACGAUAGAUUGUUGGUUUAUAACAUUAUUCAAGCAUCCAAUCGGGAAAUGGGAGUUAGAUAAUUUAUGAAAUUGCUCAAACCUACAUUGCAAUUUUAGGCCUCUUUAAAACAAAGGAUUAUGCCUUAGGAUUUAGGAAUUCCUAUGGAUUUGGUCACUAACAUCCUUUGGUUCAUGUGAAUGAGCCUAAGGGAAAGACAUGGAACAUUUAACAUCUGCAGCGGCCUCACUUUUUUUUACUCAUAAGCAUGGGAUUGAGGCAAAGCAAAUUGUCUAUGGCAACGAUGCGACCCAUCUAGUGAGUGUUAGAAUUUCACUAGUGUGAUUCAUGUAUUAUGCAAUUUGUGUCAUUCAAAUAACUUAUGCCAAAUUUUACCAGUUUCCAAUCCUUUGGUUUAGGCGUACAUUCUUACAUAUAAUAUUUCUUCUAUUCCCUUCUUUUUUAGAAUCCUGUGAAUUAAGGAGGCCCCUCACGCAAAUUUUAAAGGAGUUGAAUCUUGAAGGUUUUUUUUAUGUCAUUCGAUUCACGAUAAUGAGAUGGUUAGGAUUUUGUUGGAAGAUUCCUUUGCCAUAUUUUGGAAAAAAAAUCUAUCCACUAAACCUCUUGUUACAAUUCAUUUCUUCUUCAUGUAGUGACAAAUACUCUUUGGUUGUAACUUCAUGUAAUUUUCUAAUCAUAUUGGAUUGAUUAGAACAUGAGACUCCAAUGCGACAUAUUUCCAAUAUGUUUUGAAAAUCGCAACAAUCAAAUAGGCCCCGUUGUCGAGAGAAUAUCCCAUGGAAACAAAAAAAAUCGGUGGAAAUUAGUAAACGGAUCAAGUGAAAAUGUUUCAAAAAAUUAAAAUUCAAUUUCAAGUGGGAGCUAGCUCCCAUGUGGAAUUGAAUUUGAAACAUAAAAUUUCACAUUUUUGUAGAAUGCCACCUCUCCAUCAUACUGUAUUUUUUUCCAGAAAUUUUGAAACAUGAUUUUCACUUGGUUUUCAACAGUUGAUCAAAACUUGUUUCCACCGGAUACUUUCUCCAACUGUGAUCCCUUUUUUCUCACGGUAAAUUGAAAAUCGAAACAAUUUUCCAUUAUUGCUUUUGCAUUCCGUCCUGCAACAAAUAGUUCAAACCUUUGGUUCAAAGGAAAAGUAGAAGAAGCACAUUCGUAUAACGAAUAGGAAAUUUUCCUAUGGUGGCAUUAUUAAAGGCUCGUUUGAUUCAAAGGUUUUUUCAUAGAAAUUUUGUAGGACUAGAAUCCUUAGGAUUUUUUUCCAAUGUAGGUUUUUUGAUUCAUAGGAUUGAAUCAUAUAGGAAUUUUUUCUAAGGAUUUCUUUGUACUACUUCUCAUAUAGUAUUUUUUAGCAUCCAUGCCAACCUCUUUGGAAGAAUCCUUUGUUUUUCCUAUAUGCAAUCAAACAACCCAAAAUCCUUUAGGAUUGAGAUGACCAUGAAAUUCCACCCCUAUGUUUUUCCUAUUCCGUGUUUUUAGAAUGUUGCGAAUCAAAGAGGCACCAAGCUUUUGGUUCAAAGGAAUGUGGCAAAGGAAAAUAGAGAGAGAAAAAUAAUCUUUGUUCUUGGUUUUAGAGAAAAAAACACAGAAAUUUUACAAUCCACUUGAACCUCUUGUCCAAAUUCUUCCACACAAAGAACGAGACUGAGAUCCUUCAUGGCAUAAGAACAUGCUAAGUACACAAGAAUUCCUGUGAUUUUUCUAUUCCCAUGAGCCAAACAGCCAAGCCUGCAAAAUUCCUACGUUUUCUAAUCUUCUGUUUUACGCAUGCAUUUCUAUCUAAUUCCUGCGUUUUUAGAAUUAUGUGAACCAAAGAAGGCCAUGGUGUUCUCUUCAAAUCUUCUAUUAUGUUGCUAUAUUCCUAUGGUUCCUCUAUGUCUAUGAGAUAGAUAUAGAUACAGUAGUACAUGACGCAACAUGUGUUUUGCUGUUUUGUUUCUUUCCUUCUCGAACGGACACAUGCAGCAGGACUGAACAUUGACCAUUGGAUUUCAUACGGCGUACUGUACUACUAAAUUUGAUGGGACAGGCGGAGGUUUUGUACACUGGCAACAAGCAUAAAGAAAACAUCUCAAAUGGAAAGUCGAUAUGAAAUAGCGAGGCGAGCACAUCUCAGGUAACAAAAGAUUUCCAAUUUCCCCAGCCAUUAACAACAAAUUUCCAAUUUCCCCAGUCAUUAAUCACAUUUCACAUGUUCGCAAUGCUAGCAAAUACACUAACAACUCAGCCCGAGAAGCUGUAAAACUACUAGUAGAACACUGACCUCCAAUUAACCACACGAAAUGUGGCUCCAUCGCCUGAGAAGAGAUGUACUUGGUCGCCAUAUUCUGCUGAUCUUGCACGACAAAAUCACAAUGAGAGCCCAAGAAGAGCACUCCAUGAAUGAACCAACUUGCCAAAACCUACUUUUGUCUAGAGGAUGGAUGUUAGGAGCAAGAACACCAGGAAAAGAGUUAACGAUCGAUCCAUCAG